rnacentral:lncRNA from 1 species
AAGAGAUCAUUCGUUUGUUUCUUCAACAGCCGAAGAAAGCGGAAGCUCUGGUUUCAAAGUGCUCAAGCAUCCGUCGCUGGAACUUGUACAAGAAGAGGAAAUACGAAAAAAGGCUUCGGAAUAUGGAUUCUUCUCUUCGUGACCUUUCCACAGUGCUCCAGGUUGGACAAGCGCUUGAUACCCAGCGCCUUCAACGUAUAAUACAAGAUAUGUACCACUAAUUAAUUAAGGGCGCCGGGCACGAUUGCUUUUGUUAUGCCCAGCCGAUGGGUUGCCGCAGCCUAGCUGUUGGGGCCUGUGAGUGCUGAUAUUUAAAAAAAAUAAAAUUAACAAAUAAAAUUAUGACACUGUGGGUGUUAGAGAAAAAAUAAUUAAUUAAUAAUAUAAUUCUGCAAGGUAUGAUAGUUCAUUAUUUUGUUGGCUUUUUAUCAGCCUUUAGUCUCUUUAGAUGUGUUUUUUUUUUUUAAUUUCAUCUAUGUUUCUAAACAAAAAUGUAUAUACAAACUAGUAAUUGUUUUUACCAAUCAUCUUUUCUAAUUAUCUAUGAACUUUUCUUUGAUAGAUGUAGUUUUUAAUCCAUUUAGAGGCCACAUUACCUCACUACCAAAUCGGAUUAAAUUAAAUCUCAGACAUGCAUGCAUUGAAUUGGUCUAAUUCUCUAAAGAUUAUGCUAUGACUAUGAAAAAUGUCGUGAGAAAGAGAGUUUACGGUAUAGGGUUGAUUCCAACGCAAGUAAUGCUAAUGCAUAUCGAAUUAUUAUGUUAUAAUAUGGAAAAAAAAGUUUUCUAUAUUAAAAAAUUAUCAAUAUAGAUUUUUUAAUUUUUUUUUUAAAUUUAAACAUACGCAUACUGCAUGGGACUUAUGACAUGCAGCCUACCCCAGUCAACUCAUUUGAUUAUACAUAACUUGAUCGCUUGAUCUGCAAGUUAUAUUGUCCUCUCAAAUUAUUUAUAUAAAAAAAAAAUGAUCUGCAAGUUUCAAUUAACUAUUAGUAAUAACAUCCAUUCGUCUAGAACUCGGCAUAUUGAUUUCAUCAUUGCAUGUUCUUAGAAAUUUCAUCAUGACUAGUUAGUAGUUAACUAACCACCUUCAAAAAGGAGGACAAAAACGAUAAAAGAUAAAAUAAAUAAAGAAAUAAAAAGACAACUCGUUACUUUAAACUAGUUGAUUGUGCGUACACAUGUCAUUAUUCAAUUGGAUCAUGUCCUCCAUUUUCUCUCCAUUUUUGUACAUCAAUUAUGGGCUAAGGCUUCAAGCUAAAUAUUUUAUUGAUAAAAACCAAGACUAUCAUGCAAUUUAUAUAUAAAUGGUUAGAUUUAAAACCAUUAUAUAUAUAUAUAUAUAUAUAUAUAUAUAUAUAUAAAAGAAUAUUUACAGUAUCAUAAAAGUGCACAUCCGUUCAAAAAUUCUGAGCGGAUGUCUGUUUCUGUAAAGAGUUAAAAGAACAAGUAGUCAAGCAAUUAAACCCAAUUGCAACAUUCAACCUGUCAUCAAUCAAGUAAAUUACUGGCUCAUUGCUUAAUCUUUAAUUUUUAUUUCCCAUUCCAGUAUUAAAGAUUAAUUCUACUUCCAUACUUGGUCAAAAGAGGAAAAAAAUGCUACUUGUACAUGAUGGCGACAUAAAAAAAAAAUUGAAAAUUGGUUCCUAAUUCUCAUCUGAGGAAAAAUUACAUGUUGGCUUUAAUUAAAUAUUGAAUAUCUUUUUAGUAGUAUCUCAAUCUCGAUACCAUUGCGAUGCUUAUUUAAAAAGUUUAUAGUUAAUUAAUUAAUUUUUUUAUUAUUAUUAUUAUUAUUAGGAUUCCUCUAUGAUGCUGUAAUUGUUUUACAGCAUCAAUAAUAUUUUUAAUUGUGCACCAUUGGAUUUAAUCAAUUGUACACAAUAUUUGUAGGAAAAAAUAAAAAUAAAAAAUAAUGGUAAACGGUUAGCAAACGUGUAAGGGGUGGAAAAGUUUGUAAAAUAAUUAUGACCACCCUUAGAGUUUGAAACAAUUUCACUUAAAUAAUAUAUUUUAUUUAAAAUUAUUUUUCAAUCCCCCUUUAAAUUUGAAAUGUGAUAAUCUUUUUUAAAUAAAUCUUCCAAAAUCUAUUACCAUUAAGUAUAAAAUAUAAUGGUAGGUUAUUUAACACAAAUCAAAUAAAUAAGUUGUAAUUGCAAAACUUAUAUAUGAUAUAACACUAAUAAAUAACACAACUAAGUACAUAUACUUAAGUAAAUGUCAUAGUUACAUCAAUAAACUCAUUGUUGAGAUUGCUUGUAACAUAAAAAUUACUUGAUCACACAUGUUUUAAUAAAAUUUAAUAUCGUAUAUUAAAAUACUCAUUAUUUUAUAUAAUAUUAAGGGCCAUUGUAUAAUUAAUCAUGAAAUAUGUAUCAUUUUUAACACCCAUUUAACAUACUUAUUUUCUGAACUUUAUAUUUAUCUUACUGUUAAUAUGCUUACAUGGUAGGAGUUUUAAGUUUUAUAAGCUUAUAUAUUUUCAUUUUAUUUUCAAAUAUCACUUUAUUAAUUUCAUAAAAGUUAAAUCGAACAUAUAUUCCUAUUGAGUUUUAGUUUAUAAAUCGUGAAAGAUUAUUUUAUUGAUAUCCUUGGAUUGUAAUUAUAAAAUUUUAUGUUAUGAAGAGUCAUUACUUUUGUUGUGAUAGGUAAUAGGGACAAUAAAUAAAAUAUUACCUCCGAUAAUAUUUACGUGGGAAAAAAAGUAAAAGAAAAUCAUUUAUAUUUUUAGAUUUUUAUUGAUAUGGUAGAAAAUUAUCUGAGCCUUAUAAAAUUUAACUUUCACAAGCUUGUUUUCAUUUUAUUUUCAGAACUCGGCAUAUUGAUUUCAUCAUUGCAUGUUCUUAGAAAUUUCAUCAUGACUAGUUAGUAGUUAACUAACCACCUUCAAAAAGGAGGACAAAAACGAUAAAAGAUAAAAUAAAUAAAGAAAUAAAAAGACAACUCGUUACUUUAAACUAGUUGAUUGUGCGUACACAUGUCAUUAUUCAAUUGGAUCAUGUCCUCCAUUUUCUCUCCAUUUUUGUACAUCAAUUAUGGGCUAAGGCUUCAAGCUAAAUAUUUUAUUGAUAAAAAUCAAGACUAUCAUGUAAUUUAUAAAUGGUGAGAUUUUUAAGGAGUUCUAGUCGAAUAAUUUGGGCUUUGCCCGUACUCCUACAUUCCCCCCCCNNNNNNNNNNNNNNNNNNNNNNNNNNNNNNNNNNNNNNNNNNNNNNNNNNNNNNNNNNNNNNNNNNNNNNNNNNNNNNNNNNNNNNNNNNNNNNNNNNNNNNNNNNNNNNNNNNNNNNNNNNNNNNNNNNNNNNNNNNNNNNNNNNNNNNNNNNNNNNNNNNNNNNNNNNNNNNNNNNNNNNNNNNNNNNNNNNNNNNNNNNNNNNNNNNNNNNNNNNNNNNNNNNNNNNNNNNNNNNNNNNNNNNNNNNNNNNNNNNNNNNNNNNNNNNNNNNNNNNNNNNNNNNNNNNNNNNNNNNNNNNNNNNNNNNNNNNNNNNNNNNAAUUUACAGUAUCAUAAAAGUGCACAUCCGUUCAAAAAUUCUGAGCGGAUGUCUGUUUCUGUAAAGAGUUAAAAGAACAAGUAGUCAAGCAAUUAAACCCAAUUGCAACAUUCAACCUGUCAUCAAUCAAGUAAAUUACUGGCUCAUUGCUUAAUCUUUAAUUUUUAUUUCCCAUUCCAGUAUUAAAGAUUAAUUCUACUUCCAUACUUGGUCAAAAGAGGAAAAAAAUGCUACUUGUACAUGAUGGCGACAUAAAAAAAAAAUUGAAAAUUGGUUCCUAAUUCUCAUCUGAGGAAAAAUUACAUGUUGGCUUUAAGAAUAAUAUUACUGUCUUUUUAGUAGUAUCUCAAUCUCGAUACCAUUGCGAUGCUUAUUUAAAAAGUUUAUAGUUAAUUAAUUAAUUUUUUUAUUAUUAUUAUUAUUAUUAGGAUUCCUCUAUGAUGCUGUAAUUGUUUUACAGCAUCAAUAAUAUUUUUAAUUGUGCACCAUUGGAUUUAAUCAAUUGUACACAAUAUUUGUAGGAAAAAAUAAAAAUAAAAAAUAAUGGUAAACGGUUAGCAAACGUGUAAGGGGUGGAAAAGUUUGUAAAAUAAUUAUGACCACCCUUAGAGUUUGAAACAAUUUCACUUAAAUAAUAUAUUUUAUUUAAAAUUAUUUUUCAAUCCCCCUUUAAAUUUGAAAUGUGAUAAUCUUUUUUAAAUAAAUCUUCCAAAAUCUAUUACCAUUAAGUAUAAAAUAUAAUGGUAGGUUAUUUAACACAAAUCAAAUAAAUAAGUUGUAAUUGCAAAACUUAUAUAUGAUAUAACACUAAUAAAUAACACAACUAAGUACAUAUACUUAAGUAAAUGUCAUAGUUACAUCAAUAAACUCAUUGUUGAGAUUGCUUGUAAUAUAAAAAUUACUGGAUCACACGUGUUUUAAUAAAAUUUAAUAUUGUAUAUUAAAAUACUCAUUAUUUUAUAUAAUAUUAAGGGCCAUUAUAUAAUUAAUCAUGAAAUAUGUAUCAUUUUUAACACCCAUUUAACAUACUUAUUUUCUGAACUUUAUAUUUAUCUUACUGUUAAUAUGCUUACAUGGUAGGAGUUUUAAGUUUUAUAAGCUUAUAUAUUUUCAUUUUAUUUUCAAAUAUCACUUUAUUAAUUUCAUAAAAGUUAAAUCGAACAUAUAUUCCUAUUGAGUUUUAGUUUAUAAAUCGUGAAAGAUUAUUUUAUUGAUAUGUACACAAUAUUUGUAGGAAAAAAUAAAAAUAAAAAAUAAUGGUAAACGGUUAGCAAACGUGUAAGGGGUGGAAAAGUUUGUAAAAUAAUUAUGACCACCCUUAGAGUUUGAAACAAUUUCACUUAAAUAAUAUAUUUUAUUUAAAAUUAUUUUUCAAUCCCCCUUUAAAUUUGAAAUGUGAUAAUCUUUUUUAAAUAAAUCUUCCAAAAUCUAUUACCAUUAAGUAUAAAAUAUAAUGGUAGGUUAUUUAACACAAAUCAAAUAAAUAAGUUGUAAUUGCAAAACUUAUAUAUGAUAUAACACUAAUAAAUAACACAACUAAGUACAUAUACUUAAGUAAAUGUCAUAGUUACAUCAAUAAACUCAUUGUUGAGAUUGCUUGUAAUAUAAAAAUUACUGGAUCACACGUGUUUUAAUAAAAUUUAAUAUUGUAUAUUAAAAUACUCAUUAUUUUAUAUAAUAUUAAGGGCCAUUAUAUAAUUAAUCAUGAAAUAUGUAUCAUUUUUAACACCCAUUUAACAUACUUAUUUUCUGAACUUUAUAUUUAUCUUACUGUUAAUAUGCUUACAUGGUAGGAGUUUUAAGUUUUAUAAGCUUAUAUAUUUUCAUUUUAUUUUCAAAUAUCACUUUAUUAAUUUCAUAAAAGUUAAAUCGAACAUAUAUUCCUAUUGAGUUUUAGUUUAUAAAUCGUGAAAGAUUAUUUUAUUGAUAUCCUUGGAUUGUAAUUAUAAAAUUUUAUGUUAUGAAGAGUCAUUACUUUUGUUGUGAUAGGUAAUAGGGACAAUAAAUAAAAUAUUACCUCCGAUAAUAUUUACGUGGGAAAAAAAGUAAAAGAAAAUCAUUUAUAUUUUUAGAUUUUUAUUGAUAUGGUAGAAAAUUAUCUGAGCCUUAUAAAAUUUAACUUUCACAAGCUUGUUUUCAUUUUAUUUUCAAAUGUCACUUUGUUAAUUUCAUAAAAGUUAAAUCUAACAUAUAUUUCUAAUUAACUUUAGUUUAUGAAUCAUAAAAGAUUAUUUUAUUGUCAUUCUUUAAUAGUAAUUAUAAAAUUUUUAUGUUACGAAGAGUCAUUAUUUUUAUUAUGAUAAUUAAUAGUGACAAUAAAUAAAAUAUCACAUCAAAUAAUAUUUAAUGGACAAAAUGAGGAAAAAAANNNNNNNNNNNNNNNNNNNNNNNNNNNNNNNNNNNNNNNNNNNNNNNNNNNNNNNNNNNNNNNNNNNNNNNNNNNNNNNNNNNNNNNNNNNNNNNNNNNNNNNNNNNNNNNNNNNNNNNNNNNNNNNNNNNNNNNNNNNNNNNNNNNNNNNNNNNNNNNNNNNNNNNNNNNNNNNNNNNNNNNNNNNNNNNNNNNNNNNNNNNAUUUGUAUUUGAGUUUUAUCAUUCAACAAUCAAAGCUUUAUUAUAAGCAUUUGAAAGUUUUCUUAAGAGUUCUUCUCUUUUGCAAUUUUGUGAGAUUAUUCUAAAGAGAGUUUUUCUUCUUCUUGAUCAAUUAGAGUUUUUACUCUAUUUUGAUUCAACAAUAAAUAGUUUAAUUUUUUGUUAAAAAUUUAAAUCAAAAUAUUUAUCACUCUAUAGUUAUAUAGACAUAUAUAUUUUUCAAUAAUAAUUGGUGAAUAAAAUAUUUCUCAUUUGUUGUGACUCAUAUAGUAUUAUUAAUAAAACACAUAUAAAAUAGUUUAUUGAAAUGCCUUCUAUUAUCAUUAUUAUUUAGGUAUUAAUGGUUUGUAAUUAAAUUCAUACAAUACAAAUUAUUAUAAGACUUUGUGUUAAAUAACCUACUUGAUAUUAUAUUUUAUACUUAAUGGUAAUUGAUUUUGGAAGAUUUAUUUAAAAAGAUUAUCAUAUUACAAAUUUAAAGGAGGGCUGAAAAGUUAUUUUAAAUAAAAUAUGCUAUUUAAGUGAAAUUGUUUCAAACUCUAAGGGUGGUCACAAUUAUUUUACAAAAAUUCUCCACCCACUUGAACGGUUAACAAACUGUUUACUAUUAUUUUAAAAUUAUUUUUUUAGUACAAAUAUUAUAUACCAUUGAUUAAAUCUAAUGGUUCACAAUUAAUACAUUAUUGAUGCUGUAAAUUUUUUACAGCAUCAUAGAGGAACCCUUAUUAGGAUUAUUAUUAUUGAAUAUCCGGAUUAGUACGCUUUAUAUAUGGUGGUUUCAGAUUUCAGUCGCCAAAGUCUCUGCACGUGUGAUUCAUCAAUGAAAAUGGAUAUUCCACAGGCGGCUCAGUCCGAGGAAAAUUGUGAAGGAAGUUAUAAUUCUAUAAUUAUUAUUAUUAUUAUUAUUAUUAUUUCUUUUUCUUUUUGUAAAAUGGAUGAGAUUCAAAUUGAAAAUCUUGAUGGUCAGUUUCUGGAAUUUCAAAUCAAAGAGAUGAGUGUUGAUAGGGAAAAUGUUCUACAUUAACUGAGAAUAGUUACAAAACUCUUGAGCUAGUUAUUAAGUAUAAAUUAGCCUAAUGAUAGACAUACAAAAUUGGAGACAAAAUCAGGAAUAUGAAUCAAUAGAGCAAUAACAUGUACCAAUAUUAUGAUCAAUUAGUUAAAUAAAGUAAAUGAUUUGUCUUUUAAUUACUUUUAAAAAGUAUAUAUUGAAUAGAUUUUGGGGGCUAAAAUGUUAUAAUUGCUUUAACUUAUUAAAAAAAAAAGGUUAUUGUUUCGUCUAAUUGAAAGACAAAUAUGUCAAUGCAUUAUAGAAUUAGGAUCCUCUCCUUUUUUUUUUCUUCUCUCUCCUUACUUCUCCUUGCCUUCAUAAUCUAAUAAAAAAGCUAGCUUGAUUGUAAAUAAAGUGAAAAAGGCAAACACAAAACUCAAUCUUAACCACUCACUAUAUAAGGACAAGCAAUGACAGAAAAAAAAAAGAGAAGGAGAGGAUCCUUCUCCUGUAUUAAAACAUCGAUCGUCACUGGUAGUAUUAUAAAGUUAAAAUGGCAUAUAGUAUAAUUAAUUUAACAACAUUUUCAUAAUUUUAUGAUUUCUUUUCUUUACAGUCAUAUAUUCUCUUUUUCUAUUUAUUACAUCACAUUAUUUAAAUAUGUCACAUUCUCUAUUAAUAAAAUAAACAAGAAUCGCAUAAAUAAUUUUUCAUUGCACAAUUUUAAUAAUUUAUAUUAUUAUAAGCUUAUUGUUGCAUUAAUGUUGUUAUUAUUUUAUUAAGUAUAUGUACUUCGCUAAGAGCUUUGAUGCCGUGUUACUCGAUAUAUGUGUUUAUUUUUUACUCCUCUACAUAUACCGACACUCACAUAAAUACUUAAAAUAAAUAUAUAAAUUAAUCCAGACUAAUUAAAAGUCCUAGGUCCUGUUUAGUUAAUUUGUUGUCUUUGAAGCCUUAAUUUGCUAUAUAAAGGAGUAGUUGCAAAUGUGGCCCACUUCAUUUGACAUUCUCCUACUUGGAGAUUAGAUUGAGGACCAAUCAAUCUCCACACCAUCCUUUCUACUUCGCCAUUGUCAUGUUGCUUACGUUUCUGCUAGGCCACAAGAGAAUCUACUCCAUACAAAUUUAUCAGUAUUUAUCGGCUUGGUCAAAACAUCUGUUAGGUUCUCAUUCGUAUGGAUUUUUUGUAAAUCCACACUUCCAUCUUCUACUACUUCUCGAACGAAGUGAUACUGAACUCCUAUGUGCUUCGUCCUGAAAUGAAAGGUUGGAUUCCUUGCAAUAUGCAAGGCACUCUGACUGUCACAAAAUAUAGGAAUUUUCUGUUGUUUGUGCCCGAACUCCUCCAAUAACCUUUGUAUCUAAAUAACUUCUUUACUCCAUCAGCAUACCCCAAGAAGAUACACCUCCUAAAUUUUGGAUCUAGCUUUGUUCUUUCUUGGGCAUUGUACAUCACGUACACAGGACAUCCAAAUGCAUGUAGGUAGGACUAAUCAGCUGGCUUUCCAGUCCACAUCUCCAUCGCUGUCUUCAGCCCAAUUGCUGUGGAUGGCGACCGAUUUAAUAUAUAACAGGCAAUUUUGGCUACUUCUGCCCAGAAUGAAUUGGAUAGACCAACAGUCCUCAACUAACUCUUAUAAUUUCUAUAAGAGUCAUAUUCAUCUGCUCUAUCACUCCAUUUUGUUGAGGAGUGUAUACUACCGUGAAUUGCCUCUGAAUACAUUUUUGCUUACAGAAAGCAAGAAACUCGCCAUUUGUAUACUUUCCACCAUUAUUCAUCCUUAAGCACUUGAUCCUUUUGCUGGAUUCAAGUUCCACCCGCGCUUUGUAUUCUUUAAACACUAGAAAUACAUCUGACUUUUUCUUAAUUGGAUACACCCAAUAUCUCCUGGAAUAAUCAUCAAUGAAAGUCACCAUGUACUUUGCACCUCCCAUGGAUAUGUCUGGUGAUUCCUAAACAUCAGAGUGAACCAAGUCUAGAAUGCAUUUACUUCUAGCAAUAGAUCUACUGAACUUUAAUCUAUACUGCUUACUUGUAACACAAUACUCGCAAAAUGGUAAGCUUACUGAUUUGAGCCCUGGAAGCAAUUUUUGCUCAGAGAGAAUCUUCAAACCUUGUUCUGACAUGUGGCCAAGUUUGAGAUGUCACAUCAUCGUUGAUUCUUCUCCAUUUGAUGUGACAUACACAUCAACCUCCUAUAGUGUUUCUCCUUUAAGUAUGAAUAGAUUAGUGCCGAUCUUUUCUGCCUUCAUCAAUACAAGCACACCUUUAACAAUCUUCACAAUUCCAUUCUCCACAUGAGUUUUGUACCCAUGACUAUCCAUUUGUCCCAAAGACAAUAGAUUUUUCUUCAAGCCGUUGACAUGUCGUACCUCCUCAAUUGUGCGAAUUGUACUAUCAAACAUUUUUAUUUUGAUAGUACUAAUAUCAGCGACCUCCAAGGCAUGAUCAUUACCCAUAUAUACAGAUCCUCCUGAGAUAGGUUCACAUAUGUGGAACCAUUCUCUCCGAGAGGUUAUGUGUUAGGUAGCUUCUGAGUUUAUAAGCCAGACAUCAUAUAGUCGUUUUCUGCCUUCUGAAAUAGUUGUUGCCUCAUUGUAGAGAAUUUUGCCAUCAUUCGAGGUACUUGUUACACACCCCUGAGCAUUUGAUGACUCAAGUUCUUUGCCCUUUUUUCUCUUCUGGUUACUCCAAGACUCUUUCUUGACGUGCCCUUUUUUACCACAGUUGUAGCAUUUAACAUUCUUCUUACUUCUGAAUUUUGAUCUACCAUGAUUAUGACUCCCACUGGGGCCACGUUACAUUGAUCUCCCUCUGUUUUCCUUAUUUUUCCGCCUGCUCUCCUCAUUUAAUACGGAGGCUGCAACAUCGUCGAAAAGCAGACUGUCCGUUAGAUUGUUGUUCGUCAGGUUGAUGAUGAGUUGAUCAUAUGAAUUUGGUAGACUUUGAAGUAGAAGUUCUGCAAGUUCAUUUUCCUCUAUAUUAUGACCCAACAUUGUAAGUUGUGAAAAUAGAGUCUUGAAGGCGUUGAUGUAGUCGGUCACCGUUGUAGAUUCCGCCAUUCGAAGAGUAUAGAGUUUCCUCUUCAAGAAGAUUUUGUUGUGUAGUGACUUGACCUCGUAUAAUUUUAUGAGAGUAUCCCAUAUUUUCUUCGCUGUAUUUUUCUCUGUCACACUGGAUAAUACUCCAUCUGCAAGUGCCAAGUGUAGAUCAGAAAUGGUGUUGCCAUCUAUCUCGUUCCAUUUGUCAUCAGUUAUCUCCAUGGGCCUUUCUCCAAUUGCUACCAAGCUAUUAUUUUUCCUCAAUACAACUUUCAUCUCCAUUUUCCACAACGAAAAAUUAUUUUCGUUAAGCUUCUCAAUUUCAUACUUUACCGCCAUUUUAUUGAUAAAUAUUGUACAUAAACUAGUGUAUCACCUCGAAUAGUUGUGAGUAUGUGUGAAUAUGCACACUAGGAAAGUUCCCAGGAAAGGCUGGAGGGGUCACAACUGUCCCACUUAAAACCUAGACUCCUUAGACUCUUAUUGUCUUUGUGACAGAACUUUCCUAGACAUGUACAAAACCACACAGUUGCUUUACUCACACCACUAUUCCCUUCCUUGCACUGCAAAAUUCUUGGAUCGCUCCCCCCGUUUCUCGUGAACAAUACCAUAUAUAUGAACAGUGCCGUAUACAUGAACAGUACCGUACGAGAACAGUACCCGACUCCAAAGAAUACAACCAAUAGCUCUGAUACCACUGUUAGGAAAUUGAUGGGUGAAGCAGACACGCAACUAAAGUGAAAUUGAGAAAUAAUAAGACAAAAGAAUCACACAAGGACACCAGAAAUUACGUUGUUCGACUUUUAGCCUACGUCCACUGGCGAAGAAAGAAGGAAAAUAUUUCACUAGUAAUAUGAGGAUUACAAGUAUUGUAAUAUUUUGACUCACUAUCCAAAACUCCAAUACACCCAAUCUCUCACUCACUAAUUACUUAAGAGUUUAUUAAAACUCUUAUUCUCUCACUCUACAAUUUCUUAACUUCUCUCUCUAAAUGGAAUUAAUGAGCUCUCCCUUAGCACUUCUAUUUAUAGGAAAUAUCAUGGCCAAAAAAAGGUCAUUAAUUGCAUCAAAAACUCAAACAACACAGCUAGCAAUCAUGACCAAAUUUUGGCAAAUUUUCCUCCACCAGUUAAGCGCCGAAUUUGGUGCUUGUAAUGUCAAAAAGGGAUGUGGAAUUCUUGCUCUUCUAGAAAGAGUGGCCCACCUCAUUUGACACUAAAUAGCCUUGAAAACACCAUCAGCUUGUUAAGUCCUUUGAUCAAAGAAAUGGAUAGGUUAAAUCAAGCGCUGGGGGAAUCUAAUAAAAUAGAAGUGAUCAUUCAUUUGUUUCUUCAACAACUGAAGAAAGGGGAAGCCCUGGUUUCAAAGUGCUCAAGCAUCCGUCGCUGGAACUUGUGCAAGAAGAGGAAAUACGAAAAAAGGCUUCGGAAUAUGGAUUCUUCUCUUCGUGAGCUUUCCGGAGUGCUUCAGGUCGGACAAGCGCUUGAUACCCAACGCCUUUAACGUAUACUACAAGAGAUGUACCAUUAAAUAAGGGCGUCAGGCGCAUUUGCUUCAGUUGUGCGGAGCAAAUGCGCUGCCACAGCCCAGCUAUUGGGGUGUGUGAGCACUGAAACUAUAAUAACACCAUACGGUGUUAAAAGAAAAAGAUAAAAUAAUCAGUUAAUACUCUAAUACCACACUGUAUUACAGCUUAUUUUGUUAUCGUUUUAUGAGCUUUUAGUCUUUAGUAGGUGGUUUUUCAAUUUAUUUUGUAAAAUUUCAUCUAUGUUUCUAUAAUUGUGCAAACUAAACACUUAUGAACUUUUUCUUGAUAGUUAUAGUUUUUAUUUCAUAUCAGUUAUAGCCUAAAAAUUAUAUCAUCCAUGUCGUACCAAACAAAGCCUAAAUUAAUUCUUACACAUGCAUGCACAUCAUUGAUAGGAUUCUUUAAAGAGUAUAUCUGCUAUUGCCUAUUCACACUUCAGUUAUUAGCUUCUUUUAGUUUGUGCUUUUGUAAAAAUCUGCAAUUUUUUUCGGUUAUUAGUUAAUAAAGCAUCUCAAACUUCAAAUUGGUAAUGAUACCAGAUCGUGAAGAGCUAGGUUUAAUGAUUUUAUCAUUGCAUAAUCUUGGAAAUUAAGUUAAACUUGCGGGCCAAUUUGAAUCAAGACUAGUUAAUGACGGGGUUGAAACCUUGAAAGUAACGCUAAGUUUUAUAAUUUAUCUACGUCGCGUACAAGUAGCACUAAUCUUUAAUUAAAACAAAAAACCGAAGGUGAAGAUCAGUACUUGCAUGUUCAUCUGCUACAUAAUUGUUUUGGCAUCUUUUCAAACCUCUUCUUGUUCUUUAGCUUGUUUGACAAGAAGAUUCGAAAUAUUUAACUCAAUUCCCUUCCUAACUCCAUUUGUAUCCCAUUUAUGUGUGCUUGACCAGUUAAUAUUGAACACCAAAUUAAUAUAAUUAAAGGGUACCAGGCUUUUUUAGUCCGACAAUGAAAGAAUUAGGGGAGGUGCUUUCAGCAAUUUUUUUGAGAGCACCCAUUCAAAUCUUCAUUGACUGAAUAUUAAUCCUCAUACUUAAUAUGGGUGAGAUAGAUACAUCUCACUUAAUAUCGGUGAGAUAGAUACAUCUCCUAAAAAAUUAGUAGAAGAAUAGAUAGAUCUCCUUAAGUGCGAGGACAGAGUCGUAGAGUUAUCACCUUUAGUGGGCGUAGAUUUCUAAACUAUUCCUAGUAGACUCUAGCUAUUCAGUAUACACCUUGUGUUGAGAUAGUGCACUCAGUUCUUUAAACAUCUUUUAAAACUCUAACUAUGUUUUAACAAUAUUAGAUUCGGUUUUUUGAUUAUUCCUAUAUAUUCUGACCUUCGAUUGAAAAUCCAAAGCUACCAUUGGAAUCAAGAUGAAAAAUCGAGUCGGAAGGUGCCGGACCCGACGUCACCGGGGACAAAAAAGGUGGUGCAUCGUACUGUAUCGAUACUGUAGCGAACUGUAGCAAGCACUGUAUCGCAUGGAAUGCACGCGCCUGACUGUGCGUGUGAUAUAAUGUAUUCAUAUUAAUAUUUUCAAUGUAUUUUGCUAUCCGGGAAUCUGUUUUGGGCGUCGUUUGUACUGUUUGAUCCAAAAUUUAAUUUUCUAUUUAUUUUUAACUUAGAAUCAAAGUUUUUUAAUUUUUAAUUUUGAAAUAAAAUUCGGAUCAAAUAUAUAUUAUUUCUUGGAUGAGCAUUAUACAUUAAUAAAUAUUUCGCUCUAGUGAGAGCUCGGAAAUAUUUCUUUCAUGGAAAGUGGCUGAAAUUUGAUUAUAUCUCGUGUUUUAGUCAUUUGUUAACAAUCACUAAUAUGAAUUUUAUGUUAUUUGUCGUAGAUGCCUCCCGUUAGAAAAUUGUGGACUGAGGAAGAGGGAUUAAUGACAAUUAGAGCUUGGGUUUCACCUAUGGAUCUAAUUGAAACUAAUGAUGACUUAUCUCAUGAAGAAGUUGUGAAGAAAAUGAAAAAUUAUAAGAUGGGUCCUGAUCGUACUGUGUAUGAAUAUAGAAGAUAAAUAUGACGUCUUUAUGCACUUGAUGUGUGGAAAAGUGAAUACUAAGUAUACAGACUGGGAUAAUUAUCAACGGAUCCUCAUCAAUUUCUUACUUGAUGAUGAUAAUACGCUUGUCUUUAAGGCUCCCAUGUUAGAGGAGAUCAAGGAUCCCUCGUACGCAUAUUAUAUGUUGAGGUGUGAAAUUGAGCUAAUGGAGGAACACCGUCUUGUUUUAAAAAAUGUGGUGAACUUUAGUAUUUAGCAUUCACACGAGCCUUUGAAAUGGAAGACAAGCUAGUCGCCUUGGUAGAGGGCAAAAAUUAUGCUAUGAGAAAAUCAUAAAUUGAAUCAUCGAGAAGGAACAAUUAUUUUUAUAUGAAAAUUUAGAUGAGUAUUAGUUGGAUGAAAGAAUCUCAAGAAACAAAGAAUAUUUUAAGAAAAUGUAGAAGAGUCGAGAUACUAGUUUAACUAUGUUUGGUUAUUUCUUUCAUUUGUUAUGUUUUAUACUUUUAGAUGUUGUUUUUCUCUUAAUUGGUUGAACAAUAUGUUGCUAUGCUUUUAAUUGAAUUUCUACAUUAGUUGUUGCUCUACUUUAUAUAUGUUUUUAUGACAUCUCAUGAAUUAUUCUAUUGAGUGGGAGUUCUGAUCAAAAUUAAAUUUGACGAAUUCAUGAUUAGAACUAAUCAUUUUGCGCAUUAAAAUCGAAUUAAUGAUGAAUAUAAUAAAGGGAAUCAGAUGAUGAUUGGAAGCUUCCACGACCUUUUGAUUUCAUUCUCGAUAUUAAUUUAUCAUUUUUUUAGUUUACGUUUGUGGCAAAAUUAAUUGUUUCUGUGUAAUUAUUAGAUGUCUUUAUUGAUUGUAUUUUGAAUUGUCGUUGUGUUAAAAGAAAACUAAGAUGACAUCUGCAUCUAAAAACAUUGUGGCUGAGUGAAUAAGGGUGAGAAGCUGAAUGAUGACAAUUAUGAUAUUUGGCAUCGUAAUAUUCCAUACAUCCUUAAAGAGCAAAAGACUCUAGAAGCUCUCAACAACACCUUAGUUGAGCCUGAGCAUGGCAAUACUACUCAACACAUGAGGGAUCUUGAGGACCAAGCCUAGAAAAAGAAGAAUAGCAAUGCUCGCAUAACGAUGUUGAGCAGCAUGCAAGAUGACCUCAUGUGUGAGUUUAGGAAGUAUGAGACUACUCAAGAGAUGUGGCUCACUCUGUAAGAUAAGUUUGGUGGCACUUCAACCACUAAGCUGAGAAGGCUUAAGAUCAAAUUUGACUCUUAUCGGAAGCGCUAGAAUCAUACUAUGAGGCAGCAUCUGAGGGAGAUGUCAAACAUGAUUUCGUGAACUUAAGGCUGUUGGACAUAUUUUGAUUGAUGAACAACAAGUCUAGGUAGUAAUAAGAUGUCUACCUAAUUCUUGGGAACACAUGAAGGUGAAUAUGACUUACAAUGAAAGUAUCAGAGCUUUCAAUGAUAUAGAACAUCACCUAGAGCUAGAAGUAGAGCGCCUUGAGACAGUUAAGCUUUCUGAUCGUGUUUAUAUGGCCGAGUCAAGUUCGCGCAAAGCUUUGGACUUCAAGCGCAAAAGAGGUCAUAAGUAUAACCAGAAGGGUGAGAGAUCUGAUCCUAAUCAGAAGAAGCCAGAUGUUAAGAAGUGCCCAAGGAGUAGGCGUGUUGGCAAGAAAAAGAAUAAAUCCAAGAUGAAAUGCUACGAUUGUAGCAAGCUAGGUCACUUUGCUCGUGAGUGCACUAAGCCAAAAAAGGUGAGACCCAACUCCACUCUAUUAAAUUAUGUAUUAGUUUCAUGUUCUGUACUCCCAACUGAUUCUCGUCCUAUGUGGAUUGUAGACUCAGAAGCAACAAACCAUAUAGCUUAUGAUCGUAAUGCAUUUGUGGAGUAUCGUCAAAUUAGCCAAGGGACUAGAUGGAUAUACAUGGGCAACAACUCCAGAGUUGAAGCAAAAGGAAUAGGCACUUGCAAAUUGACUUUGUGUAGUGAUCGUUUUCUUUUGAUACACGAUGUCCUUUAUUCACAAAAAAUUCGACGAAACUUGAUUUCCGUUCCUAUUCUUCUUGAAUUAUGAUGUAAUUUAAACUUUCAUGGUGUUUGUUUGGAGAUUUUUCUAAAUUCAGUCUUUAUUAGAAAUUUUAUUUUGAUUUAUGCUUAGACCCUAAGAAACAAGGCCAAUUGGAUUGGUCAAGACAUUACAAGAUAAUUGGAGGCAUGGCUCGAGGAAUUCUUUAUCUUCAUGAAGACUCCCAGCUCAUAAUUAUAUAUCGUGAUCUCAAAGCUAGCAAUAUACUCUUAGAUGCACAAAUGAACCCAAAAAUUUCAGAUUUUGGUCUGGCAAGGAUAUUUGGAGUUGAUCAAACUCAAGGUAACACAAGCAGAAUAGUCAGGACAUAGUGAGUAUUGACUAAUAUUACCCUUUCUACAUAUAUACCCUCUGCUUAUUUAGUUCACAACUUAUUUAUUACCUCCCUUAGCAGAACAAGUUAGCCUUGACUUAGUUGAUUAAUUUCAAAAUAUUCAUAAUUGUCUUUAAUUAUAUUGACUUAGUUGCUGGUUUGCAGUGGUUACAUGUCCCUAGAAUACGCUAUGCAUAGGCAAUUCUCUGUGAAAUCAAAUGUGUAUAGUUUUGGUGUCAUAGCUCUGGAGACUAUAACUGGCAAGAAGAACAACAACUUUUAUCAAACAGAUGGUGCUCGAGAUCUUUUAAGCUAUGUAAGCAUAAAUAAAAUUAUAUAUUUUGACAUUUCUAAGUGCUUAUAUGUGUCAUAUCAAACACGACUAAACAAGUAAUAGAGUGGCCCUAAAAAGGGUAAAGAAUGACAAAACUUUUUUUUAUUAUGACUUGAUAUACGAUUUGCAGGCUUGGAAGCAUUAGAGGGAUGGAACACCCUUGCAGUUGUUGGAUUCAAAUCUUACAGAUUCAUACUCAAGAGAUGAAGUGAAUAGAUGCAUCCAUGUGGGCUUAUUAUGCGUCCAGGAAGAUCCAGCUGAUAGGCCUUCAAUGGCAACAAUAGUUCUCGUGCUAAACAGCUACUCUGUCACACUUCCAAUGCCCCGAUAGCCUGCAUUGUUCAAUAGUAGUCGAACAGAGAAGAGCUUUCCAGAAAGAGAAUUUGAGUGCUCUGAUAAAUCUACGAGCAAGCCGAUGCCAUGGUCUGUUGAUGAAGCAUCAAUUACUGAAGUAUAUCCUGGUUAACUAGUAAUGACGUAUCUGUCUGUCGAAACAGGCAUUUGUUAGUGAAUGAUGAAACUUGAAAUAUAACUUAUCCUUUGAGAAUUACAAACUGUAAGAUGUAUGAUUGAUCAGUUUGAAACCACGAUGCUUCUUCUUUAUGUUAUUGUAUGAUCUAAUUCUAGCAUCGGCACAGCUGGUACGGUACGUAGAACGUAUGAUUUGUGUUUAAAAAAAUAGCUUACAACAGAUUUAAAUUAAUCGUCGGUUAUGGUUUGUGUUUCGUUGUGUUUGCUUUGUCGAAAUUUUGAGCUGAGGAAGACCAAGAUCAUGUGCUGUACAGGUUAUCUUUUGCACAAAUAAUUUGGUGUUGGCUUGGUAGUACUAGUGCCCUCUGCUUCAGCAUUUAGUGCUAAACACGGUCUCCCUUCCUUUCUUUAAAGCUCAGGGUUCGGGAAAUUAGCUGGUGCUCUCCUCCAACUGGUUGGGUUACGGCCAAUUUUGACGGCAGGAAGACUUUAAUUAGAGCCAGGAAAAUGGGUCAUCGGUCUAGUGGCGAAUCAACAUACGACCAGUGGAGGAAGCUUUGCUGGAAAAAUAAAAAAUAAAAAAAAGUUCUAAAAACUAAGGAAAAAUUACUUUGAUUUUUAAUUAGCGCCCAUUAAAUCUAUAAUUUCAAAAACCCAUAAAAGUUAAACUUUAAAAAUUAUAAAAGUCCACUGUUUAAUUAAAAAAUAAAAAAUCCACAAUAACUCGUAUAGAUGAUUUUACUAUCAUUUAAUUUAGCCUCAAUCAAUUGAAAAUUAACUUAUAAAUCCAUAAAAUUUCAGUUUUCACAUCUAAUGAUGUGUAAUUUAGCCCCAAUAAAUCUUUUUUUGGAUUCAUCACUGACUGACACAUAUUCAUGUUGUGUGAACUGAAUAUCAUAUCAAAUUUUGGCUAAUCCAACACGAUCCGUUUAAUAAUCAAGUAAUCAUGUCACCCGAUAGGAUACAACCUAAUAAACCACUUAAUAUCUAUAUAUUUAACAAGAUUUACAUCAAACAUCACACAAUAUUUUUUAGAAAUUGAUUAUAUAUCACAUAUAAUUCUCAAAUGCAGAUGUGCUCACACGAAUUUUCAUGUGGAUAUGCACUUUUACAGUUUUGUAGAAUAUUUUAUGAUGUUGUAAAACUUUUUGCAAGAACAUACAAGUGUCUGUCCACAUGAAAUUUCUUGCCGACAUCUGCAUCUAAGAAGCUAUAUAUUCGUGUGCACGCAUGUGUGUAAAUAAUAUAAUAUAUUAAUAUGAGAAAAUAUAGUAAAUAAUAUAAUAUAUUAAUAUGAGAAAAUACAAUAAUAAUAGACCUACAAACAGUUUUACACAAAUCGAUGUGGCAUGAAGAGAUUAACUAAAAAAUUAUAACAAUUAUUUUUUCAGUUAUGUGAACCCAUGAUGGUUUUAUGUAACCAAUCUCAUAUAUGUCUACCAAAAAUAUCACAUAGUUACAUGUUCAUUCUUAAAAAAUAAAAAAAAAAUAAAAGAGAGAGAUAAAGAGAGAAUUUUUAUUUUAAUUGGUGGCAAUGUAAGUUUUAUCUAUUAGUAGUAAUUUUUUUUCAAUUAGCAUCAAUUUAGAUUUUUAUCAAGGUAGUAACGUUAAGUUUACGUUCAUUUAAUUUUAUUUAGCAUAAUUAAAAAUGUAUUCUUACAAUUUUUGUAGACGUCAAAAAGGUCAUAUUUUAAUGGGCCUUGUUAUAGGGUUCCGAUUGACACAAUACGAUUAUCUUUUUAAUAAUCUUAUUAUUAAGAACUUGAACGCUAACUCUACAUGGAAAAAAAAAAUUUGUGUUGACUCGAAUCCAUCCUAUUUAAUAAUUGCAUCAAAUUUGAUGACCCAAACUCAUGUAUUCAAAUUAUAUUCAUGUUGGGUAAAUGGGUUGUGUCAAAUUUUUCUAGCUCUAACUUCAACACUAGAUGAACUAGGCAGUUGCCUAAGACUCGAAAUUUUAAAAAGCCCUCAAGUUUGAGCAUUUAUUUAUUAAUACACUAAUUACUAAUCAUUAUUCUUUACGAUUUCAUAGAUUUGUUUAAGUUAUGUUUAUAGGAAAUCCUAAUUUUAGGCAUCUCCCUAUUAUUAUUCUCAUUCAUAAUCAUCUAAAAAAAAUUUUUUGCACAAAUUCUAUAUUUGAUAAUUUAAGAUUUAUUGUUAAAAAAUUAAUAUUUGAUAAUCUUCACAGUCUAAUUAAUGAUUUUAACUGUUAAUUUCUUAUUUUGUUAAUCUUUCCAAGGAAAAAAUUUAAAUGCUUUCACUUUCCAAAAGAAAAAAAUACUAUAUUAAAAUUAUGUACCUUAGAAUUGACUGCUUGUAUUCCUUCAAACUCUAACGAAAACCUCAAAAUCAGUAUACAUGGAAUCAACAAUAAUAUCAAUUAAAAAGUUUCUUGCUCGUUCAACAAUAAUCUCGAUUAAAAAAUUUCAUGCUCUUUUCUCUAGAAAAAAAAUUAUUCUCUAUGAAAUCUAGUUCCAUCAUCUAAUCAUCAUAUUUAUCUCAACUAGUCAAUUUUUUCAGGUGUUAUCAUUCUAGUUGUACAGUGUAAAACUAUUGUUAUUUUUUACGAAUUUUUUUUAUAUUAACGUAUAGCUCGAAUAUAUUUUGAACUAUUUUAUAUUUCUUGACAGUUGAUGUUAUUGAACGUAUGAAGGCAUAAAAAAAGAAUUUGCCUAAGAUCAUGAAUCCUUGGAGCCGGGCCUGUCUGAUGGUAUAGCUAAGAGUAACCUUGAUUUAUUAGAUUGUUAUGGGAUAAAGUAAAAUAACCUUUAUUGGGUUGUUUUACUGCUCUAUUGAGUGAUGUGACUAAAGAUGACAAAUAAAUCUGAAUCUAACCCACAUCCGCAAAGAGGUAGAUUUGGAAAAAUCUUGAUUCACAUAAUAAAUAAUGUGGACCUAGAUGUAAAAAUUUAGGAUCCAUACGAAUCUGGAUGCACUUGCAUCCGAAAAAUUGAACAUUCAAUUUGUAUUUUUUUUAAAAUAAAUUAAAUAAAAAUAAAAUCUAUAUAAGAGAACAGAAACUCUAAGCUAAAAACUCAUUACACAUAAAUAUUGUAAUACACCCAAGUACCUAUAACUAUUAUUUUAGAAUAUUUUAGAUUUGUUUAGUAUUGGAUAAUUAUUAUUUUAAAAAAAUAGUUAAAAUAUAGUAAAUUUACAUAUAAAUAUUUUUAAUGUGUGAACCUAGAUACCCGUAAUUAGGGGUGGCCAAAUACGGGUUCGAAUGAACCCGAUUGAAUUUCAAGUUAAUCAGAUUGGGAAAAAUGCAACCCGAAUUUAACUAAAACAUAUAAUUCGACCUGAUCCGAUCUAAAAUAAAUUUAGAUUGGAUCGAGUCAAAUCGAUAAUUUAUGUUUGUUUGUACUUUUAUUUCUUUAUAUUUUUAGAUUAAAUCAGGUGACCCGAUCCAAUCAUGAUCUGAUCAGGUUGGCCAAAAUCCAAUCUGAUCGAGAUUAGGCUCUUCAUCCGAGUCCGAAUCAGACCUAAAUUUUUCAUAUCGAAUCGGGUCAGAUCGAUUUGGAUUAAGUCAUUUGUCCACCCCUACCCGUAAUAUCCGCCUAGAAUCUGCACGAACAUUACCCUCAUCCAAAUCCAUAAUAAAUAAUACAGAUUCAAAUGUAGAUUCGGAUCCAGAUUUUACUAUCCCUAGACGUGGCUUUGUUUAAGGUAGAAAUUGUGGUUGUGAUUUAUGUUAUUGAGAGGCUCUUGCUCGUUGUUGGCAUUCUUUGUGGAUUGAGUGUGAUUUUUCGUCCCAUUAAAUUUAUUAAAAAAUAGGCUUAAAAUAGAAAAUGAGAAAGAUAAUGAAAAAAUGUCCCCACCCACCUACUAUCAUCCCUCCGUACUAUUAGGUUAUUUUUUCUAUUACUUUGAUUAACAAGUUGCUUAAUUUAUUAAAUAAUGUUCAUAUAAUGACAAAUUGGGAAUAUUUCUCACAAAUGAAAAUAUAGGUUGGAUAAGAUGGGUUCCAAGAAGCAAUUCUAAUUUGAUAUGUUAGCAAUCUAGUUGAUUUGACACCACAAAAGAGAAUUAGAUACGGAAUUUUCCUAAGUUACAUUUGUUGUAACUUACAAUUCAAUUAAAACAUGCAAAAAUAAGUAACAUGAGAGAUGGGGCUUGUAGACCAGUGUGUGGUCUUUACAUUGUUUUAACUAGAAUGUAUGUUACAACAAAUGUAACGUAGCAGGACCCAUAGAUAGGACAUAUAGUUAGUCACACGUUAACACUGAAUCAUACGAUCAUAUCAUAUCAUGCACAAGGACAAACUGCAGUUGAUCUACUUUACAAAAGAUAUUAUUGUAUUUGAGGAGAGCAUGUGAAUGUAAAUAUAGCUAUGUGAAUAUUGCAAGAAUUUCUUAAUAAAAAGACCUUGCACUUUUCAAAUUUGUGAAAAUAUCCCAUCUGAAUUUUAAAACUUUGAAAAUGCCCCAUAAAAUUUUGGAAAGUUCUGAUUUCCCUUCUCCAAAAAUCCCAAUGCUCUACAAUUUGAUUCGUUAUUUUGAUUUUAUAAAAACGGAUUAUUCAUUAAGAUAAUUAAUAACUCACAAUAAAUAAAUCAAAAGGAGAGAUUCUCUUCUUUUUGUUUUUAAUUUUUUUUGUAUUUUUUUAAAAAAAGAUUGAGAGUAGACAAAGACCAAAUUAAUUUUUUUAAUGUUUGCCUUCAAAUUCAAGCAAUCAAUAAAAUUAAAAUGUUUUUAAAUGACUAAAACAGUUCCUUGAGGCCUAUUUUUAGUGCUUCUUCUUCAAAAACAAACAGCUAAUAAAUCAUGCAUCAUUUUGAAAACAUGAAAUCAGCUAUAACAAUUGUAAUGAGUAGAAAUAUUGUAAAUGAAUAUUAUAGUUGUAGUCAUAGGCGGUGCCACGUUGGGACUAGGGGAGGCUCAAGCCCCCCCUAACUUUUCAAAAUUUACAAAUUUAAUUUAAUAUUUACCUCAUUUACCAUAAAAGUCCCUAUUAAAAUUAAAAAAUAAUCAAGAUAUUAAGUAUUUAUGUUUAACUUUCAACCCACAAAGAAAUUGUUAUUUUGAGAUUCGUUGCACGCUAACUCUCCUCACACAAAAAAAAAAAGAAAUUAUUUUAUCUUAUUGAAUUUAUCAAAAUGAUUUUUCUUCAAUGAAUCUUAUGAUUCUUAAAAUUUAAUUUGAUGUUUACAUUAUAUAGGUGGGUUCUAAUAACAAAUUUUCAAAAUUGAAAGAGAUUGAUAGGCUAACAAGAAAAACAGUUGAUACUAAAAAAGAUAAAUUGUAUUCGAUAAUUUGUUUAUUGAUAACAUUAGCAUUGAAUUUACUAGUUGUCAUGACUACAGUAGUAAAAGGCAUUUUCAACUAUGAAUUUUGUGAAAAAUCGUUUGUGAAAUCAGAUUAGAGAUUAAUAAUUGAGUAAUGUUAUUAUUACACAUGUAGAAAAAAAAUUAUUUUGUACUAUGUCCCUGAUUGUGAUUAUCUACAACUUUUGCUACAGUUUUUAAUUUUAUAUUCCAGGACCUUCCUGAAUUAGAAGACAUAACAAUCUUCGGAUACUUCGAUGUGUCAAAAAGGAAUGCAUUUACAACGUAAGAUAUAUAUAAUCAUCACGAUCUUCAGUUCAGUAAAGCAAGUUACCGGCACUUUAAACUUGCAAAACUAUCAGCAUUCCCUGCUGCUUGGCUCAGUAUGUUAAUUGUUUUGCUUAUUUUCAGAUCAAAUGAUUCUAUGGUCUGGGAACACUAAUAAUGGCACUUUGUUAAAUAAAUGCCUGGUUUUUACAAUAUUAAUCCACCUGCAUGUGCGUACCCUAAAUAAUUAACAAAAAUGGAUUGAAAACUAAAGAUGGUGAAUUGAAAACUAAAGCACAGAGGACAAAGAUCAAAAUAAGAGAGUUGAAACGAGCCAUUAAUGUGGGUUAAUGUGGAACAAAUUUAGAUAUAUACUAUAAUUUUGAGGAUGAGUUUAAGUUAACAAAUUGGUACACGGGAUAAUGAGUAUCAGUAGUAAUAUAUAUAUGGCUCUGAGAAAGGAAAGGCGUGAGGGUAAAGUACCAAGUUUAAUUAGCUGGUAGCUCAAGUUGGCAAUUUUAAAAUUUUGGAAAGUUAUAAUUUGGGUUAGGUACAUAUGCACUACGCAGCCGGCGGCCAGUAAUGUAGCUAGUAAGAACUGGAUUAAUUUCAUCAUGCUUGCAUGAUAAUUCUCCUAUUGCUGCCGGCAAAUUCCUAGAAUUUUCAAAAAUAUCAACAAUUAAAACUCAUUUUUGCUCCUUUCAUUGAUUCAAUUGAUAAGAUCUUUUGGAUUUUUUUCGAACAUUGCAUGCAUGUUGUAAGACAUUGUGUAACUAGUUGUCACGGGAUGAGUGUAAUGCACAGCAACCCUGUAUGGCAUUUAGACAACUUUUAGUACAAAAGUUGCUAAAUAAGCCUUUCGAUUAGGGAUGGCAAAAGUCGGGUUCGGGUCCGGGUUUGGCCUUCCCAGUUCCGAACCCAGAUACCAUUUUCAUUAUACCGGACUCGGAUGUUAACUUAGUUUUCUUGCAUCCGGGUCCGGUCCGGGUUAAACCCGGAAAAAUCCGAGUUUCCGGAUUCUGGGUUUUGAACCCGGAUCAAUAAGAGCAGUUUGAAAAAGAAAAAAAAAAGAGUUUUAUCCCAUCACAUGAACCGGAAAAAUUUAAGGAUUAACAUGAUAUACAGACUCAUAAAAUUAAAAAUCCAUCAUGUUGGUGAAUCGCAUACUUAUUCGAAGUCAGAAAAAUGCCAUCCAAAAAGAAAAAAAAAAGUCGAAAAAAUGAGUAAUUGCAAAAGCUUUUGAAGUAGGAAAAGUUUUCCAGCAGGAGAAACACAUAAGACAGCACAUGAGGAAGAAAGUAUAACUCUUUCAUGUUUUUCCCAGUCUGAGUAGUUUUACGGGCAAUUUCGCAAAUCAGUUCAAUUUCGCAAGUCGGCCGUGAUCGACUUUGCCGUAUCAGUGUUGUUUUCUCCACAAGCUGAUGAAGGUGCGUCUUCAACCAUAUCACGACUCGAAAUACGGCAACUGGCGAUGAUGAUGAUAAUGAAAAGAGCUGCGACGGUAGCGAAGAACAGUGAUUUGAGUUGAUGAGGAGACAAUUUGAAGAGAAAGAAAAAGGUUGGCUCUGAUUUUGGGCUACGGUGGCUGCGAUAUACGAGUGAAAUUAGGGCACUUGUGUGUUGUGUGUGUGUUUUUCUAAUGUUACUAUUUAUAUUAAAUAUAAUUAAAAAAUAAUAAAAAUAAUAUAUCCGGGUCCGGGUUUCGGAUAUGCGGGUUAAAUCAAACCCGCAUCCGAACCCGGAUAUAUCCGGGUUAAGAAAAAUAAUUCCGGAUCCGAAUUUUAUUGCACUCCAGUAUGGGUUAAACCCGGACCGGAUUGUCCAGGUUUGUUCGAGUCCGGGCUGGGUCCAGAAAAAACUGUCAUCCCUACUUUCGAUCUUCUCAAACUAGCAAAGAAAUUAUACUUGUGGAAAUGCUAGAGAGAAUAGAGAGUAAUAUGACUAAAUAUAAUUUUAUCACUCAUUAAAGAGGAAAAAGAGAGCUUUUUGCAAGAGAGCUUGUGUGUUGCAUGUGUGUGCUGGUGUGUGUUGUUGUGCAAAAUGGUGAGUGCUCACCCCUAUUUAUAGAGUUGGGUGCUAACUCAUGAAGCUUCCUAUCAAGUGGGAGUAACUUGCCUAAAUAUCUAGUUAGGGACUAAAGUACAAAAGUGUAAAAACGUCUAGUAAUUUACAAAUUGUUAGAGAAUUUUAAAAUUCGGGCCGAGCAUGUUUAUUUACUAAGUGCACCACAGCUGAUUAGUUGUAAAAAGUGACCCAUUGUUGAGCCCACUCUACUGCAAAGUGCAUCUUGCAUGCUUUUAUUGAGCGUACCUGCACACGCCAAUUUAGCCCCAUGACAAAGUGUCUUUAAUAUGGCUGGAUAUUUAUUGGGCCAGGCAUAUAUGUUAGAUUUGUGAGUAUAAUAAAGAGUUGGACUAUUGGCACCCCUUGAUUAAUCUCAUAAAAUCUCUGUUAUAUUACAAUUAUUUUUAAGGACAAAUUUAACUAGAAUUAAACCAUUUAUAUUUUCUUUCUCUCCUCAUUUUUAUUUUGCUUACACAAUAUAAAUUUUUUUAUUAUCAUUAAAAUAAUUUGAAAUUAAGAAUUAAUCUUCUAAGCCAAAACAAAAUUUAUAGGUUGGAUAAAAUUGUAUUAAACCCAUAAAAUAUUCAUUAUUUUCUAAGUAUAAUGUUUUUCUUAUUUUUUCUUUUAUAUUUUUUAUUUAAAAAUUAAAUAAUAAAGAAAGUUUGAAGAGAAGAAUAUAGAUAUUAAGACUCAAAGAAUGAGAAAAUUAUUAAAAACUGAAAAAUUCAUAAAUGAAAAGAGUAUUUAUUAAAAAGAAUAUUUUUGAUAUUAUAUGAAAUAUAAUUAAUAAAUGGGUUUUAAUAGGAUUCUGAAAGGGUGCUAAUAGUCCGACUCUAUAAUAAAUUGUUUUGAAAAUCGUAAUGAAGGAUUAAAAAAAGGCCUCCGAGAUGUCCAUUGAAGUCUUACCAAAUUUUGCUGUUUCGAAACUCUAAAUUCCAUAUAGGGUAUUUUAUAACAUUUUUUAUAACUUUUUCACUGAGUACUGUAAUAAACUUAUCAUAAAGGUUAAAAAUAUAGUGUGGAAAACAUCAUUAUCGUCAUCACUCAUUGUAGUUUUCUUCAAUUGGAAAAAGUAUGUGUGAGAAUUUUGUAUACUACGUGGCAUUACAUAAUUCAAUUAGAUAGGAUUCAUUACAUAUCAAUUACAACGGCACACAUUAUGUAACUACAAAAAGUGAGUAGUUCUAAAAAUUUCAAUUUUUGGGCCUCUAAGGGCCCACCCAUAAAAAUAUUUGCGCACCUGCUUAAACCAUAAUGAAAAACAGUAAAGAAUCAAAACGAACAUUCACUAUUCUGGAAGUUGGAGUUUGUCAAUGAAAUUUUUAGAUAAUAUAAUAAUACACAAAUAGAUUGCCAUGACUCAGUAUUCAAAAACAAUAUGUUGAUGUAAGCAUUUGAAGAAGAAAAUGUACUGAGAUGACAAGUUUCCUCAGUUUUUACAGAGUCACAGAUGAACAAUUGAAGACUUGGCAAGCCUUCAUCGAUCUGCUCCGAGCAGGGAAAACAAGACCGGUUCAAUAAAUCCUCAUCUAUAAAUAGGGUUGCUAACCUUGCAACAUUUCUCACCUCGCACUAAACCAAUAAGAAUAAGUUCAGAGAUUAAACAGAGUGAGAUCCCAAAGCUAGCUAGCUAAUUAAACACAAUGAGAAAUGUUCAAUUUCUUACAGGUUUUGCUCUCUUGAUUUUGGCUUCUUCAUUGGCCUCUGCCUUUGACCCUAGUCCUCUUCAGGAUAUCUGUGUAGCCAUUGAUGAGCCCAAGAACGCAGGUAUAUUUUUUACACUUUAAUUUUCUCUGUCCUAAAAAAUCUUUUAAACUUGUUUAUGUAUACGUGUACGUUGGUCUCAAAUUCACCUUACUAAUUAAUAUUCUGAAUUCUUGGACGCAGUCUUUGUCAACGGGAAGUUCUGCAAGGACCCCAAGCUUGCCAGGCCAGGAGAUUUCUUCUUAUCAGGGCUAGACAAGCCUGGAAACACAGCAAACCGACUUGGUUUCAGUGUAAAAAAUGCAAAUGUUGAGCAAAUUCCGGGACUCAACACUCUCGGAAUAUCAGCAGUCCGUAUAGACUAUGCACCCUAUGGCCAAAACCCUCCUCACACUCACCCUCGUGCCACUGAAAUCCUGACGGUCUUGGAAGGAACACUUUAUGUCGGUUUUGUGACAUCUAACCAGCUAAACAACACACUCAUUGCAAAAGUUCUGAAAAAGGGAGAUGUUUUCGUGUUUCCAAUUGGUUUGAUUCACUUCCAGUUCAACAUUGGAAAAACAAAUGCAGUUGCCAUCGCUGCUCUAAGCAGCCAGAAUCCUGGUGUCAUUACCAUUGCAAACUCGGUCUUCGGAGCCAAUCCUCCGAUCAAUCCUGAUUUUCUUGCCAAGGCAUUCCAGCUGGACGUAGAUGUGGUGAAAGAUCUUGAGGCUAAGUUCUAAAUGUGCAGAAUCCUGGUGUCAUUACCAUUGCAAACUCGGUCUUCGGAGCCAAUCCUCCGAUCAAUCCUGAUUUUCUUGCCAAGGCAUUCCAGCUGGACGUAGAUGUGGUGAAAGAUCUUGAGGCCAAGUUCUAAUGUGUAGAUUAUUUGAAUAAUCUUGCCAUUUAUAUAUGUUUCUCGUUCUAAUUAUUGUCAUUAUCAGUUAGUUUUGAUGUAAUAAAGAGAUUCGUACAUGUGUACCUGUCUCAAGUCAGCUUUGUUUGAUUUCCUAAUUAACCCGUAAUUAAAUAAUGUAUUUUUCGUUCAUUGUGAUCAAUGAUCUCUUAUCUGAUCUCGGAUUAUUAUUAUUAUCAUUAUUUUUGAACACGGUGAUUGGUGAACAUGUAGACUGAUAUAAAGAUUCACGUCUAGCAACUAGCAGAUGUGUUCGCACUUGCAAUCAAGGAUUCAACAAGUUGAGAUGCAUUCAAGAGCAUGUCAUCCUUGCACAUCUUAGAAAUCACAGUUCUCCAUGUGUCAAAAUCAAUAACGUUCCCCUUAAUCAGGGCAUUCAAAACUGUCCACAGAACCUCCACAUUCCCUAUGUCACACAUCUGACCAACAAAUGAAUGUAUACGAGCAGAACGAGAUACAAAACCCUUAAAAAUCAUCUCAUCCAAAAUUAAAGCAGCUUCCCCGAACUGCAUCCCAACGCAUAGCCCAUCAAAAAGUAUCCUAUAGGACACAACAUCAGGAUUGCAGCCCUGUCUAGGCAUAUCCUCAAACAAGUCUUUUGCUUCAUUGCAUUUUCCGUCCUUACAAAGCCCCCCAAGUAUUACAUUAUAACUAAUAGGAUUUGCCUUACACCCUUUAUGCCCCAUUUCAUCCAAAAUUGUAAACGCUGCUUCAAAAUCCUUAUCUUUACAAAACCCACUGAUCAAUGCAUUAUAUGUCACAGAAUUCGGUUUGCACCCACCCUCCUUCAUUUCCUUUAAAAUCCCAGGAACUUCAUUCUUCCUUCCCGCCGUAAAAAGCGCAUUGAUCAAUGUAGAAUAAAUACCCGCAUCCAAUUCAAUCUUAUUUCUCACUAUCUCUUCUUUAAACCCAAGUGCCAAACUCAACUCACCAACCGCACAAAGCCCUUUUAUCAAUGACGCAAAGACUUGUCCGUCAGGCUUCACAUUAUACACUCUCAUCAUAUCCUCCUUCAACUUUAAUGCCUCAUCUACCCUCAACUCCAAACAAAGACCAUAAAUUAACGUCCCAAAUGUCACCAGUGUUGGCUGCAAUCUUCUUUUAAGCAUUUCAUCAAACACCUUCCACGCGUCCUCUAAUCUCCGACUUACAACGCAACCGUGCAUCAAUAUAUUAUAACUACAAGCAUCUGGGCUAACAUAUUUCUCCAUAAUUUGAAACAAAUCCUUCAUUCUAUCAAGCUUUCCGCACGUUAACAUUGCAUUCAACAACGUGUUGAAAGAUUUGACCGUCCUUUGAACUUUAAAACUCGACAUUUCAUCAAACACCUGGAGUGCGUGUUCGAGUAAUCGCGCACGUCCAUAAAAGCUAAUAACAUUGCAGAAAAUUAUUUCCUCGGGAAUGACACUGGUGUCAUGUUUGAGCUGGCGAAGGAUUUGCUGCAUUUCGUCAAACAUCUUGGCUCGGCCAAGCUUAGUGAUGAUAAGGUCGUAGUGAAGGAGAUUGUCGUUGGAGGGGCUUCAGUGUCGUUGGGGUUAGGAUCAGGGUUUUUGAAGAGUUGCAGAGCGAGUUUCGGGUCUUUUUGGAGGCGAAGAAGAGAGGCGAGACUGAAGGGAGAUGUGGGUUUUGCUUUAUUCAUGUAGUUUUUUUAGAUGGGGUACUGAAACUUGAAAACGCAGUUAAUUAUUUGGGAAAAUAUCCACCGUCUAUCUGAUUUUGUCCACUUUAUUAAAAAUAUACAAAUCUUAAUUUUUUUAGCUGCGCUCCACCUGAACUUAUAAUUUUUUUCACAUUUCCACCUCCGUUUGCAAACCGUCAAUAAAAUUAACAGAAUUUUAUGCAAAUUACUUUUUAACCCUGAUAAUAAAAAAUUACAUAUUUACCCUAAACAAACACCAAAAUAUUAGCUUUGUGAGUAUUGUAGCCGUUGCCUCCCAACGGUUACAAUUUUUGGUAUUUAAACCCAUGAACCGUUACAUAUGCAAUACAUGAAAGCUCUACCAUUCAAGCAAAUAUACAGCUGCUCACAAACCAGCCACAGCUGACAAUUAUUUGUUCAAAUAAACCUACUCAUACACAACCCAUCAUCUACACAUUCAAGCAAAUAUACAGCUGCUCACAAACCAGCCACAGCUGACAAUUAUUUGUUCAAAUAAACCUACUCAUACACAACCCAUCAUCUACACAUUCAAGCAAAUAUACAGCUGCUCACAAACCAGCCACAGCUGACAAUUAUUUGUUCAAAUAAACCUACUCAUACACAACCCAUCAUCUACACAUUCAAGCAAAUAUACAGCUGCUCACAAACCAGCCACAGCUGACAAUUAUUUGUUCAAAUAAACCUACUCAUACACAACCCAUCAUCUACACAUUCAAGCAAAUAUACAGCUGCUCACAAACCAGCCACAGCUGACAAUUAUUUGUUCAAAUAAACCUACUCAUACACAACCCAUCAUCUACACAUUCAAGCAAAUAUACAGCUGCUCACAAACCAGCCAAUGCAAUGUUUUGGUCAUGCAGGUUCAAUAAAUGCAAGUUUUGGCAAUGGUUUAUAGCCGAAACUCUCAUAUACCCUAGCAAUAGUGACCAGACAGCAGAUACCAUCCAUGCCAAUAGCAGCUAACAGUACUCCCCCAUAUUGCCACAGCUGACAAUUAUUUGUUCAAAUAAACCUACUCAUACACAACCCAUCAUCUACACAUUCAAGCAAAUAUUCAGCUGCUCACAAACCAGCCACAGCUGACAAUCAUUUGUUCAAAUAAACCUACUCAUACACAACCCAUCAUCUACACAUUCAAGCCAACAAUUGUCCCAUUCUUUCAAACACAUCAUCCACACAAUCAAUUAAAAAAUGGCAUCAAGUUAUAAUUCAAGUUCUGUAACCAGUGGACAGCAACAUAGAAAAGUUAAAUGCACUCCAAUUCACUACUGGUGUGGUGUGCAAGCAUGUGCUAUGGUUUCCACUACACCACAAAAUCGUAAUGUAAUGUUUUGGUCAUGCAGGUUCAAUAAAUGCAAGUUUUGGCAAUGGUUUAUAGCCGAAACUCUCAUAUACCCUAGCAAUAGUGACCAGACAGCAGAUACCAUCCAUGCCAAUAGCAGCUAACAGUACUCCCCCAUAUUUACCCUUUAAGUGACAUCUAUCUACCCCGAUAAAAGGCCUACAGCCAUUAAGAAAUGCAUUUCUUUGUGCUGGAAAUGAAACAAAAAAUCUUUGGAAUAAUACCUUAUCGGGUAUAGAAACACCAUCACACAACACCUUACAUAUUGCUCCCAGAUCAGCUUUGUGAAUAGCUGCAGCAUACUUAAACAGUUUCUGAUAUCCCUUCGAAUGAUCUCCAAAAACCUCCGUUCUUGCCUUUGCUCUAGCCAGAUACAAUGUCAAAUUUUCAAUCUUCAAACCAUAUGUCUCUUGCAUAAAAUUCUUCAAAAGAUCAAUUUUCACAUUCGGGUCAAUGGCAACCUGACUUUUUAUUUUGCUAGCUACCCAAGAAGAAGACACUUUCACUGUCUUGCUGGUAAGUCUGCACUCAUGCUUCUUAUUAUACUGUCGCAAUAUAAAACUAGUUCCAUCGUUUAGUUUUGCACCAGCCACAUACCACGGACAUCCAGCCUCUUUACAAGUACCCACAAACCUUAUUGGCUCACUGUAAAUUGUUUUAAUGGCAAACCCUUUCCUAAUCAUCACUUCAUGCAAAAUCUCUCUAAAAUGAACAACAUCUCUAAACACAUGUCCUAAUUUUAGCCUAUUUUUCCCAUCAGCACCCACUUUAUACUCAUGUUGUUGUAUGUAAUUGGUCAAUUUGACAGUCCCAAGCUCAAUAUCAUCAUCAGAAGAAUCAACAACCCCUUUUACCUCCUUAUUAUCACCAGAUAAACUACCAUCUGAAUCUGAAUAUGAAUCAACGUCAGUUUCAGUUGUGCCUUCACUGUCCUCAUCAACAAGAGUACCUACAGCAGCACCAUCAACUUCAGCUUGCAUGACUUGUGCAUUAACAUCAUCAUCGCUGCAAUCAUUUCUGUCCGAGUAGUCAGAUAGUAAUGCAUCUUCGUCAGAUUCACCACCCCCAACAGUAGCUUGUCCCUCAACAACAUCAUCCUUUCUAACAGUAGCUUGUCCCCCAACAGAGGCAUUUUCGCCGACAGAAUCAUUCAACUGAUUAAUCAGUUCAUCAGGCAAUACAACUCCUAGGUUAGUCAAUAAUGCCUGAAGUAAGGCAGAAUCUUGAAACUGAGGGUACAGUGCUGGUGCAACUUCAACUGUGAGAGUCUUCACACCCAAAACCUGAUGAAUUUUAAGCAAAACGUCUAGCCCAAAAUCUGAAUCCAGUGCAAUCUUAGCCUGAUUCUCUGGAUUUGUAACAUAUAACAUGACUUUUGAAGCACAAUCUAACCCAUAUGGACUCGUAAUGCUUACAACAAUAUCCUUAAUCUUCGCAACUGUACAAUCAGGUUGAAGCAACCCUAAAUUUUUUUUCAUGCCUCGAAAGGAUAUCACUAACUCUACUUGUUGCAUCUUGAAUGCCCAAAAAAAAAAAAAAUUCAGCACUGGUUUACAGUUCUUGAGUUUUGUUGGUAACUCUACUAUCUUCCUAUUAAUGUAUUAUUAAUAUUGCAGGUCAGACACUUAAAGAAAAAGCAUGUAAACAAACAUCUAGCUGGAUAUGGAUGCAUGUAGCUAGCUUUUUAAACAUUCUAAUUUUACAUGCAAUAUUAAAAUUAGCCAGGGGUUAAAAACCAUGACCCAUACAUCACCAACGAAAAAUUUUCAAAACCCCCAAAUUUUAUAUGUAAACCACAGACAAAGAUACAUAACUAGGCAGGGGAUAAACAUGCAUUCAACUAUAGUAGCAUAAUCUUUCAUAAAUUUGCAUCUCAACAACCGAAAACACCAUAUUACUCCCCAAUUUAUCAUUACCCCCAACAAAUAUGUCACAAAUCAAACUAAUCUAUAUUCUAGGGUUUCCAGUAAUAGCGAAUGAAUGUGUUAACAACAAUCACCAGACAUUAUUUCAAAAACAUUGUUGCAUGUCAAAAAUUAACUGAAAAUAAGUAAACAAAACAAAACUUGAUUGUAGCUUCAAACCCUUAAAAAAGCAAAACUUCGCGACUUCGUAACAGCUCACCGCUUUCGUCAAUGCCUCUGAAUCUUCGAUUUAACAAAAUAUUUGAAACUUAAGCGUGGUUCGUUGAUGAAAAUACAUGGAAACUAUAGGAAAAAUGGCUGGAUUUUGUUGUUUCUUCGUGCAUGUGGUGGGGAAUAAACUAUGGUUGUUUUCGUUGCUUGAUGUACUGGUGGACCACUAUGCCUCCUUUUCCUUUUUUUUUUUUUUGCUUAUUACAGAUCUUAAACGAUGUCGUUUUUUAAGCCCAAGUGAAAUUAUCAUUUUAACCUUAGAUUUGUGUAUAUUUUGAUAAAGUGGACAAAAUCAGGGUGGAUGGUGGAUAUUUUCCCUAAUUAUUUUUGACUGCUUGUUUAGUCAUAUGUUUUAAAUGUUUAUUAGUCGAUCACAAAGUUUGAGAGACUCUUUUAUCUCACAAAUAUCGCAUUUUCUUUAUGCACAAUUAGGAUAAUAAUUUUGUUUUCAAAAAAAUUGUACACACAUAAUCUUGAUUUUCUUAAAUAUAAUAGCAUAAUCAUUUUCUUAAAUAUUGACAGCGUAAUCAAGACUAUUAUGUGAUUCAUUCAUUCAUAUAUAAAAUGGCAAGUAAUGUUGCGUUUACUUCAUGGAAUGAGAAUAAAGUGGAAUGGAAAUGAGAUAGGAAUAAGAAUUGGCUGAAAUAGGAAUGAAGAAUGAGAAUGAGAAAUGAUAAUGAGAUUCCAAUGUUUACUUGACAAAAAUAAAUGGGAAUAGAAAUGUAUUAGAAUAUCAUUGAUGUAUUUACUUGGCAAAAUAAAUGGGAAUGAGAAUCAAUUUACCAAAAUACUCAUAGUAUUAAAUAAUGUAAUUUUCAUUAAUUAGAUACAUCUAUAAAUCUUAUUAUAAAAAUGAUAUUAAUUAAAAAAUAAAUUAAUAAUAAUAAAUGUUAAUAAUGGUAAUAUUAAUAAUAAUAAUAAUAAUAAAUAAUAAUAACUAAAAUAAUAAUUUUAAUAAAAUUUAAUAAUAAUAAUAAUAAUAAUAAUAAUAAUGACAUUUAAAAUAAUAAAAUUAAUUGAAAUUUGAAUGAGAGUAAUUCAGAAAAUAUAAAAACAUUAGAGAGAUACAAAAGUCAGUUUAGGGAAUAGGAAUUCCCAUUCCUAACCGCCCAUGGAAAUGGAAUUCUCAUUCCUUAUUCCCAAAUUUUGUGGAACCCACACAUUUUAUUUUUAUUCUCAAAUUACAUUUUGUCAAGUAAACAUGGGGUUUCAUUCUUAUUUCUUCAUUCGCAUUCAUUAAACCCUCAAGUAAAUACACCAUAAAAUCAUUAAUGUAUUGAGUGCCUUGAGCUUGAUUUUGUUGAGGUAAACUUUGUUCUUGAUCAAGCCGUUGUCUAUUGAGUGCCUUGAGCUUGAUUUCAGUUGAUUCACUUACAUAAAUAUCAUCCUUCAAGAAGUAGUGAAUAUGUGAAAUACAAUAUUUAUCAUAUCACUUAAGACACAUGUUUGUUAUCAUCAAAAUUAUAAUAUGUGUAGCCCUUUAGGCUAACAGUCUUCAAUGUUAGUUAACAAUUAUUGUCUGAUGCAUAUGAAAUCGAAGUAGUUUAGUGUUUAGUUGUUGGAGGGAGUUUGAGAAGUCAAAUGAGAGGAGUUUUAUGGAGUUUGUGUUUAGCUGUUGAGGUCAAAUGGUUUGUAUUUAGUUGUUGGCAUGAAAUGAGAGAGGAGCUUUGGGGAGGGGUAAUUUAGUUCAUAAAAAGUGUGAGUGAUUAUUAUUUUAAGAACUUUUGUUCUAUAGCUAGUUUUGAUAAUGAAUUUUUGAAAGUGGCUAUAUAAGAAAAUUUCCCCACUACUAAUGGCUCUUUGUUAAAUAAAUGCCUGGUUUUUACAAUAUUAAUCCACAUGCAUGUGCGUACACUAAAUAAUUAACCAAAAUGGAUUGAAAAAUAAAGAUGGUGAAUUGAAAACUAAAGCACAGAGGACAACGAUCAAAAUAAGAGAGUUGAAACGACCCAUUAAUGUAGGUUCAUGUGGAACAAGUUUAGAUAUAUACUAUAAUUUUGAGGAUGAGUUUAAGUUAGAAAAUUGGUGCAUGUAUAUAUAUAUAUAUGUGUGUGUGUGCGCGCGCGCGCGCUUUCAUAAAGGAGAGGCGUGAGGCUAAAGUGCUAAGUUUAAUUAGCUAGUAGCUCAAGUCAGCAAUUUUAAAAUUUUGAAAAGUUAUAAUUUGGGUUAGGUACUUAUGCACUACGUAGCCGGCGGCCCAUAAUGUAGCUAGUAAGAACUGGAUUAAUUUCAUUCAUGCUUGCUUGAUAAUUAAUUCUCCUAUUGCUGGCGGCAAAUUCCUAGAAUUUUGCAUGUAUAUUCAACAGUUAAAACUCAUUUUUUUUCUCUGUUCAUUGAUUCGAUUGAUAAGAUCUUUUGGAUUUGUUCGAAUAUUGCAUGAUGUAAGACAUUGUGUAGCUAGUGCUGACUUUGAUACGGUUGUAUAUUUUUUUGGGCUGGAGAUACGUUAGAUUUGUGAGUAUAAUAUAUUGUUUUGAAAACCGCAAUGAAAGAUUAAAAAAGGGCCUCCAAGAUGUCCGUCGAAGUCUUACCAAAUUCUGCUAUUUCGAACUUCUAAAUUUCAUUUGGAGUAUUUUUAUAACCAUUUUCAAAACUUAGCGAGUACCGUAAUAAACUUAUCAUAAAGGUUAAAAAUAUAGUAGGGAAAACAUUACUAUCGUCAUCACUCAUUUUAGUUUUCUUCAAUUGGAAAAAGUAUGAGUAAGAAUUUUGUAUAGUACGUGGCAUUACGUAAUUCAAUUAGAUAGGAUUCGUAGAUGUGAAGAGUUGGAUUAGGUUCUUUCUUGUAAUGAUGAUUAUGAUAGAUCGGCACAUAAUACUUGACGGUAGAAAAUUUUGCAGCACGUAACCACUUCAUUAAGAAUUAGUCAUUGUUAUUUAACCAAGACUCUAAUCCCACUCAAUGGCUUAAUGAUAAAACCUCCCUUCAGACUCAUUUAGGUAACAUUCAAGUCUGCCGGUGUGAAUUAUGUGUUGAUUUACUUUCAAAAUUUUAAAAAUAAUCCCACUCAAUGGCUUGAACUACGCUUGCACUAUAAUAAGUUAUAGAUUCCUGUUUGAUAAAAGAUAAAAUAUAUAUAUAUAUAUAUAUGCAAUUAAUAUCCAACACAUGAUAACAAAAUAAUUACAAAAAAAUGAUUAGCGACAUAUCAGUUACAACGGCACACACUAUGUAACUACAAAAAGUGAGUACUGAAAAUUUCAAUUUUUAGGGCCCAGCCUUAAAAAUAUUUGCGCACCUGCUUAAAACAUAAUAAAAAACAGUAAAGAAUCAAAACGAACAUUCACUAUUCUGGAAGUUGGAGUUUGUCAAUGAAAUUUUUAUCAUGACUCAGUAUUUCAAAAACAGUUCAAUAAAUCCUCAUCUAUAAAUAGGGUUGCUAACCUUGCAACAUUUCUCACCUCGCACUAAACCAAUAAGAAUAAGUUCAGAGAUUAAACAGAGUGAGAUCCCAAAGCUAGCUAGCUAAUUAAACACAAUGAGAAAUGUUCAAUUUCUUACAGGUUUUGCUCUCUUGAUUUUGGCUUCUUCAUUGGCCUCUGCCUUUGACCCUAGUCCUCUUCAGGAUAUCUGUGUAGCCAUUGAUGAGCCCAAGAACGCAGGUAUAUUUUUUACACUUUAAUUUUCUCUGUCCUAAAAAAUCUUUUAAACUUGUUUAUGUAUACGUGUACGUUGGUCUCAAAUUCACCUUACUAAUUAAUAUUCUGAAUUCUUGGACGCAGUCUUUGUCAACGGGAAGUUCUGCAAGGACCCCAAGCUUGCCAGGCCAGGAGAUUUCUUCUUAUCAGGGCUAGACAAGCCUGGAAACACAGCAAACCGACUUGGUUUCAGUGUAAAAAAUGCAAAUGUUGAGCAAAUUCCGGGACUCAACACUCUCGGAAUAUCAGCAGUCCGUAUAGACUAUGCACCCUAUGGCCAAAACCCUCCUCACACUCACCCUCGUGCCACUGAAAUCCUGACGGUCUUGGAAGGAACACUUUAUGUCGGUUUUGUGACAUCUAACCAGCUAAACAACACACUCGUUGCAAAAGUUCUGAAAAAGGGAGAUGUUUUCGUGUUUCCAAUUGGUUUGAUUCACUUCCAGUUCAACAUUGGAAAAACAAAUGCAGUUGCCAUCGCUGCUCUAAGCAGCCAGAAUCCUGGUGUCAUUACCAUUGCAAACUCGGUCUUCGUAGCCAAUCCUCCUAUCAAUCCUGAUUUUCUUUCCAAGGCAUUCCAGUUGGACGUAGAUGUGGUGAAAGAUCUUGAGGCCAAGUUCUAAAUGUGUAGCUUGUUUGAAUAAUCUUGCCAUUUUUACAUGUUUCUCGUUCUAAUUAUUGUCAUUAUCAGUUAGUUUUGAUGUAAUAAAGAGAUUCGUACAUGUGUACCUCUCUCAAGUCAGCUUUGUUUGAUUUCCUAAUGAACCCUUAAUUAAAUAAUGUAUUUUUUGUUCAAUGUGAUCAAUCAUCUCUUAUCUGAUCUCGGAUUUUUUUUUUCCUGGGGGCCCACAAAUAAUUAAGUUCUUGGCUGCGUCGAGCUAGAUGGCCUUAUCGGGGGAGAUUUUCAAAUUAUAUAUAGAUUAUCAGAAGAAGGUCUCACAAAAGACGAAAUUAUAUAAAGUUCUGGGUUAUACUAAAAGACAAGAUAAUCAAUGAGCAAAAUGUUUUUGAGCAUCGUUCAAAAUGUUUUUGAGCAUUAUGAAACAUCUGACUGACAUGAUAGGCCAAAAUGAAGAUCUGACUGACAUGAUAGGCCGAAAUGAAGAUCACCCAUGAAAAAUUACUGCACACACCAUUCACAACUGCCGUUGCUCUCAGGCUGAAGCUAAUAAAGUUGUACAACUUAAGCCUCUCAUGUAUUAUCACUUUCUACAAACUCUUAAAUUGGCAACUUGGCCGGUGAGCUAAAGCCUGUGGAGACCAAAAUAAUUAUGGACAUGAACACGGUGAUUGGUGAACAUGCAGACUGAUAGAAAGAUUCACGUCUAGCCACUAGAAGAUGUGUUCGGACUUGCAAACUCUCAAUUAUUGGUUACCGGAGUCUCAAAUUUAGGGCCUAAUCAAGGAUUCAACAAGUUGAGAUGCAUUCAAGAGCAUGUCAUCCUUGCACAUCUUAGAAAUCACAGUUCUCCAUGUAUCAAAAUCAAUAACGUUCCCCUUAAUCAGGGUAUACAAAACUGUCCACAGAACCUCUACAUUCCCUAUCUCACACAGCUGACCAACAAAUGAAUGUAUACGAGCAGAACGAGGUACAAAACCCUUAAAAAUCAUCUCAUCCAAAAUUAAAGCAGCUUCCCCGAACCGCAUCCUAUCGCAUAGCCCAUCAAAAAGUAUUCUAUAGGACACAACAUCCGGAUUGCAGCCCUGUCUAGGCAUAUCCUCAAACAAAUCUUUUGCUUCACUGCAUUUUCCAUCCUUACACAGCCCCCCAAGUAUCACAUUAUAACUAAUAGUAUUUGCCUUACACCCUUUAUGCCCCAUUUCAUCCAAAAUUGUAAACGCUGCUUCAAAAUCGUUCUCUUUACAAAACCCACUGAUCAAUGCAUUAUAUGUCACAGAAUUCGGUCUGCACCCACGCUCCUUCAUUUCCAUUAAAAUCCCAGGAACUUCAUUCUUCCUUCCCGCCUUAAAAAGCGCACUGAUCAAUGUAGAAUAAAUAGCCGCAUCCAUUUCAAUCUUAUUUCUCACUAUCUCUUCUUUAAAUCCAAGUGCCAAACUCAACUCACCAACCGCACAAAGCCCUUUUAUCAAUGACGCAAAGACUUGUCCGUCAGGCUUCACAUUAUACACUCUCAUCAUAUCCUCCUUCAACUUUAAUGCCUCAUCUACCCUCAACUCCAAACAAAGACCAUAAAGUAACGUCCCAAAAGUCACCACCGUUGGCUGCAGUCUUUUUUUAAGCAUUUCAUCAAACACCAUCCACGCGUCCUCUAACCUCCGACUUACAACACAACCGUGUAUCAAUAUAUUAUAACUACAAGCAUCUGGGCUAACAUAUUUCUCCAUAAGUUGAAACAACUCCUUCAUUCUAUCAAGCUUUCCGCACGUUAAUAGUGCAUUCGACAAAGUGUUGAAAGAUUUGACCGUCCUUUGAACAUUAAAACUCAACAUUUCAUCAAACACUUGGAGUGCGUGUUCGAGUAAUCGCUAUUAUAUUUUUUAAUAAGAUCGUUAGCUGAAACUUGAUGAUCAAGUUAAAUAUUAUCAAAACGGGUUGACUGACAUAGGUCCAUUCUUCACUUAUCUGGUUAUCUUUGAAGACUUAAUUUUCUAUACAAAGGAUUUGUUGCAAUUGUACAUGUAUCAACUUGUUUUCUUGCCUUAUUGUUUUGUAUUAAUUUUUGUGAAAGCUAACAGAGCAGAUCAUAACAGCAACGGCAGUGGGAAGUCUCUUAGCAGGGGCCAUUCUAGGUGUUGCGUUUCAAGAGAUGACGGAGGCCAUUAAAGAAUCAAAGUCAAGGUGCAGCAACUUCAGAGACGCCCUAAACAGCCUUGAAAACACCUUGAGCUUGUUAAGUCCUUUGAUCAAAGAAAUGGAUAGGUUAAAUCAAGAGCUGGAGGACUCUAAUAUUGACCGUUUGUUUAGUCAUAUGUUCUAAAUUUUUAUCAGUCGAUCACGAAGUUUGAGAGACUCUUUUAUCUCACAAAUAUCACAUUUUCCUUUUGCACAGUUAAGAUAAUAAUUUCGUUUUCAAAAAAAUUGUACACACAUAAUCUUGAUUUUCUUAAAUAUAAGAGUGUAAUCAUUUUCUUAAAUAUUGACAGUGUAAUCAAGACUAUUAUGUGAUUCAUUCGUUCAUAUAUAAAAUGGCCAGAAUUAAAAUCAUUAACGUAUAUACAUAUGACAAGAAUCAAGAUCAUUUUGUCAUACAUGUAUGAAAAUAGUAUUUUACAAUACCCAAAGUACUUGUCCGCCCAAUAUUUUAUGUCCUCUUUUAAGCAUUUUCAUAUAUAUAAAUAUAAGUAAAGUACUAACGAGAACAAGCAGCUACGUGAUUAAAACUCAAUUGAAACAUUCAACCUAUCAUGCAAUCAAAUAAAUCAUCGGGUCAUUGCUAAUUUUAAUUUUUAUUCAAUAAUCUUAGAGAUUCCAAAAUUCCAUGUGUCAUUUAUUUAUUAGAUAAUGGGUUUCAUAACUUGUAAAUUUCUUUAACUACUAUCUAAUGGAUAAAUGUUACAUCAAUUAAGACUUAAAUUGAGACUUAGAUGUUAGGAUGCCUAACUCAAAGAUUAAUGCUACUUGUGCACUUGGUUAAAAACAAAAGAUUGUUACUUGUACACGACGGCCACAUAAAUAAAUUGAGAAACCUUCCCAGUUUCAUCAGAGAAAAUUUACAUAUUGACCUUAAUUAAAUACUGAAUAAUAUUACACUUUAUGAUGGUCUCAGUCACUAAAGUCUCUGCAAGUUGAAUUCAUCAAUGAAAAUGGAUGUUUUACAAACGGCUUAAUCCCAGGAAAAUCGUGAAGGAAGUUAUGAUUCGAGAUGAUGAUGAUUAUUAUUAUUUUUUUCUUUUUCUCUCGGUAAAUGGAUGAGAUUCAAAUUGAGAAACGUGAAGGUCGGUUUGUAGAACUUCAAAUAAAAAUAAAAUUAUUGUUAAACGAAAAAUAUUCUGCAUCAGCUGAGAAUAGUUACAAAACUUUUAAAUUAACUUUUAAAUAUGAGUUAGCUCUAUAACAGACAUUAAAAAAUUGAAGACAAAAUCGGAAACACAAACCAAUAGAGUUAUGACAUGGGUAUAUAUUAUGAUCAAUUAAUUUGUCUUUUAAUUAAUUUUCAAAAACAUUAAUAAGUAAUUAAUUUUUUCUUGACCAAGUGGUUUUAAAGAGUUUAAGUUCAUUAAUUUGACUUGGUCCACUUACCUGCUACCUUUCUGGAGGGCGAAAAAAAUUAAAAAAGGGAGGUUUGUACUUUAGUUAAUUAUUUUUUUUUCCACGUUGAAUGCGUGUAUCCUUGUGGAGGUAAUAAUUAAUAACAAGUUAUAACUAGUCAUGAUCCAAUUGGAAGGGAAAACUAAUUUCCAAGAAUAUGCAAUGAUCAAAUCAACUAGACCAAAAGCUCUAGACGACCUGGUAUUAUAUUUUUUAAUAAAAUCGUUAACUGAAACUUGAUGAUCAAGUUAAAUAUUAUCAAAACGGGUUGACUGACAUAGGUCCAUUCUUCACUUAUCUGGUUAUCUUUGAAGACUUAAUUUUCCAUACAAAGGAUUUGUUGCAAUUGUACAUGUAUCAACUUGUUUUCUUGCCUUAUUGUUUUGUAUUAAUUUUUGUGAAAGCUAACAGAGCAGAUCAUAACAACAACGGCAGUGGGAAGUCUCUUAGCAGGGGCCAUUCUAGGUGUUGCGUUUCAAGAGAUGACGGUGGCCAUUAAAGAAUCAAAGUCAAGGUGCAGCAACUUCAGAGACGCCCUAAACAGCCUUGAAAACACCUUGAGCUUGUUAAGUCCUUUGAUCAAAGAAAUGGAUAGGUUAAAUCAAGAGCUGGAGGACUCUAAUAAAAGAGAAGAGAUCAUUCGUUUGUUUCUUCAACAGCUGAAGAAAGGGUGGUUUCAAAGUGCUCAAGCAUCCGUCGCUGGAACUUGCACAAGAAGAGGAAAUACGAAAAAUUAAAGGCUUCGGAAUAUGGAAUCUUCUCUUCGUGAGCUUUCCGGAGUGCUCCAGGUUCGACAAGCGCUUGAUACCCAGCGCCUUCAACGUAUAGCUUUUGUUAUGCCCAGCCGAUGGGUUGCCGCAGCCUAGCUGUUGGGGCGUGUGAGUGCUGAUAUUUAAACAAAAAAAUAAUAACAAAUUAAAUUAUGACACUGUGGGUGUUAGAGAAAAAAUAAUUAAUUAAUAGUAUACCACUGCAAGGUAUGAUGGUUCAUUAUUUUCUUGGCUUUUUAUCAGCCUUUAGUCUCUUUACAUGUGGUUUUUUUUAUAGUUUUUUUACUCUUUUUUUUUUUUAAUUUCAUCUAUGUUUCUAAACAAAAAUGUAUAUACUUAAUUAGUAAUUGUUUUUACCAAUCAUCUUUUCUAAUCAUCUAUGAACCUUUUUUUUUUAUAGAAGUAACUUUUACUCCAUUUAGAAGCCACAUUACCGCACUACCAAAUGGGCUUAAAUUAAAUCUCAGACGUGCAUGCAUUUAGUUAGUCGAAUUCUCUGAAGAUUAUGCUAUGACUAUGAAAAAUGUCGCGAGAAAGAGAGUUUACGGUUUACGGUUGAUUCCAACGCAAGCAAUGCAUAUGGAAAAAAAGUUUUUUAUAUUAAAAAAUAUCGAUAUAGAUUUUUUCAAUUUAUUUUUUAAAAAUUUAAACAUACGCAUAUUGCAUGGGACUUAUGACAUGCAACCUACCCCAGUCAACUCAUUUGAUAAUAUUUAACUUGAUCGUUUGAUCUGCAAGUUAUAUUGUCCUCUCAAAUUAUUAAAUAAAAAAAAUUGAUCUGCAAGUUUCGAUUAAUUAACUAUUAGCAAUAACAUCCAUUCGUCUAGAACUCGGCAUAUUGAUUUCAUCAUUGCAUAUUCUUAGAAAUUAACCUUCUCUCCCAAUUGAAUCAUGACUAGUUAGUGUUGAAAAAUCAUGCACGUGGCAUCCAAAUUCAAAAAAGCAUGAUUGUUUUCAAAGAGCUACCAAACAAUUGAAGAAAAAAUGAAAAAAAAAAUGAAAAGUUAUGGACACCAUUGACAAUUUGCUUAGGUUAGGUGGAAUAGUAAAGGGGUUGGUGCAAUAGUGCCAUUGUUUUCCCUAUAAAUAGAUGGCACUUCUUCCAUUCUAAAGUAUCCCAAAAUUGUUAAGCUUAUAAGUUUCUAAGCUUUUGAGAGAAGUGUGUCUGGGGAAUUUAUCUUUCCUGCAGAGUGUGAGAGUACUUGGUAUAUUUGGAUUUCUGGGAAGUGAGAUUCGUUACUCAAAUAUUGUUGGUACAGUUCACAUACGGUACUAUUCACGAAUACGGUGGAGACGGCCAUUUGUACUUGGGAGACAGUCUAUUGUAAGUAGUGUGUAUUUUUGCAUGUCUAGGAAAGUUAUGUCAACAAAGGCGAUAAGAGUCUAAGGAUUCUGGUUUUUAAUUGGGACCGAGUUCCCGUCCAGUUUCCUGGGAACUUUCCUGGUGCAUUUAUUCACGCGAAAUUAACAUCAUAGAGAUUGUUUUUCAAGUGGAAAUAGUUCGUUGAAAAAAUGAUAGAAGGUGAAACUUCCAGAAUUGGGGAGAGAUCUACCGAGACUAUUUCAGGAGACACUUCAGGUGGGAGGCGAGAUUUGUCAAAUCGCUAUUCAGCACCUGUUGUGGGAGGCGAGAUUUGUCAAAUCGCUAUUCAGCACCUGUUAUAAGAGGCCAGAAAAUCGAUGUUGAAAAGUUUGAUGGGAAAAUCAACUUCAGCAUGUGGAGGCGCGAAGUUAUGGAUGCCCUUAUUCAAAUCGAUCUCGAUGUUGUNNNNNNNNNNNNNNNNNNNNNNNNNNNNNNNNNNNNNNNNNNNNNNNNNNNNNNNNNNNNNNNNNNNNNNNNNNNNNNNNNNNNNNNNNNNNNNNNNNNNNNNNNNNNNNNNNNNNNNNNNNNNNNNNNNNNNNNNNNNNNNNNNNNNNNNNNNNNNNNNNNNNNNNNNNNNNNNNNNNNNNNNNNNNNNNNNNNNNNNNNNNNNNNNNNNNNNNNNNNNNNNNNNNNNNNNNNNNNNNNNNNNNNNNNNNNNNNNNNNNNNNNNNNNNNNNNNNNNNNNNNNNNNNNNNNNNNNNNNNNNNNNNNNNNNNNNNNNNNNNNNNNNNNNNNNNNNNNNNNNNNNNNNNNNNNNNNNNNNNNNNNNNNNNNNNNNNNNNNNNNNNNNNNNNNNNNNNNNNNNNNNNNNNNNNNNNNNNNNNNNNNNNNNNNNNNNNNNNNNNNNNNNNNNNNNNNNNNNNNNNNNNNNNNNNNNNNNNNNNNNNNNNNNNNNNNNNNNNNNNNNNNNNNNNNNNNNNNNNNNNNNNNNNNNNNNNNNNNNNNNNNNNNNNNNNNNNNNNNNNNNNNNNNNNNNNNNNNNNNNNNNNNNNNNNNNNNNNNNNNNNNNNNNNNNNNNNNNNNNNNNNNNNNNNNNNNNNNNNNNNNNNNNNNNNNNNNNNNNNNNNNNNNNNNNNNNNNNNNNNNNNNNNNNNNNNNNNNNNNNNNNNNNNNNNNNNNNNNNNNNNNNNNNNNNNNNNNNNNNNNNNNNNNNNNNNNNNNNNNNNNNNNNNNNNNNNNNNNNNNNNNNNNNNNNNNNNNNNNNNNNNNNNNNNNNNNNNNNNNNNNNNNNNNNNNNNNNNNNNNNNNNNNNNNNNNNNNNNNNNNNNNNNNNNNNNNNNNNNNNNNNNNNNNNNNNNNNNNNNNNNNNNNNNNNNNNNNNNNNNNNNNNNNNNNNNNNNNNNNNNNNNNNNNNNNNNNNNNNNNNNNNNNNNNNNNNNNNNNNNNNNNNNNNNNNNNNNNNNNNNNNNNNNNNNNNNNNNNNNNNNNNNNNNNNNNNNNNNNNNNNNNNNNNNNNNNNNNNNNNNNNNNNNNNNNNNNNNNNNNNNNNNNNNNNNNNNNNNNNNNNNNNNNNNNNNNNNNNNNNNNNNNNNNNNNNNNNNNNNNNNNNNNNNNNNNNNNNNNNNNNNNNNNNNNNNNNNNNNNNNNNNNNNNNNNNNNNNNNNNNNNNNNNNNNNNNNNNNNNNNNNNNNNNNNNNNNNNNNNNNNNNNNNNNNNNNNNNNNNNNNNNNNNNNNNNNNNNNNNNNNNNNNNNNNNNNNNNNNNNNNNNNNNNNNNNNNNNNNNNNNNNNNNNNNNNNNNNNNNNNNNNNNNNNNNNNNNNNNNNNNNNNNNNNNNNNNNNNNNNNNNNNNNNNNNNNNNNNNNNNNNNNNNNNNNNNNNNNNNNNNNNNNNNNNNNNNNNNNNNNNNNNNNNNNNNNNNNNNNNNNNNNNNNNNNNNNNNNNNNNNNNNNNNNNNNNNNNNNNNNNNNNNNNNNNNNNNNNNNNNNNNNNNNNNNNNNNNNNNNNNNNNNNNNNNNNNNNNNNNNNNNNNNNNNNNNNNNNNNNNNNNNNNNNNNNNNNNNNNNNNNNNNNNNNNNNNNNNNNNNNNNNNNNNNNNNNNNNNNNNNNNNNNNNNNNNNNNNNNNNNNNNNNNNNNNNNNNNNNNNNNNNNNNNNNNNNNNNNNNNNNNNNNNNNNNNNNNNNNNNNNNNNNNNNNNNNNNNNNNNNNNNNNNNNNNNNNNNNNNNNNNNNNNNNNNNNNNNNNNNNNNNNNNNNNNNNNNNNNNNNNNNNNNNNNNNNNNNNNNUAUUGUAAGUAGUGUGUAUUUUUGCAUGUCUAAGAAAGUUCUGUUAACAAAGGCGAUAAGAGUCUAAGGAUUCUGGUUUUUAAUUGGGACCGAGUUCCCGUCCAGUUUCCUGGGAACUUUCCUGGUGCAUUUAUUCACGCGAAAUUAACAUCAUAGAGGCUGUUUUUCAAGUGGAAAUAGUUCGUUAAGAAAAAUGGUAGAAGGUGAAACUUCCAGAAUUGGGGAGAGAUCUACCGAGACUAUUUCAGGAGACACUUCAGGUGGGAGGCGAGAUUUGUCAAAUCGCUAUUCAGCACCUGUUAUAGGAGGCCAGAAGAUCGAUGUUGAAAAGUUUGAUGGGAAAAUCAACUUCGGCAUGUGGAGGCGCGAAGUUAUGGAUGCCCUUAUUCAAAUCGAUCUCGAUGUUGUUCUGAAAAAUAAAAGACACUUGUAUGAUGAAGAAAUUUGGGAUCGUAUGAAUGAAAAAGCAUGUGGUCAGAUCAGAUCUUGUUUGACCAAGGAGGUGAAAUACUUGGUGAAGGAUAAGGAGUGUGUGAUGACUUUGUGGCGUACAUUGAAGGAGAAGUACUUGCUAAAAAGUCCUGAAAAUCGCCUUCAUGCAAUGAGCCAAGUAUAUGGCUUUCGAAUGAAGCAUGGGGUGUCAAUGCACGAUCAUGUCUCAAGAUUUAAAAAGUUACUUGCUGAUUUGAAGAACCUUGAUGAAGAUAUUAAGAAUGAAGUCAAGGCUAUGAUUCUGUUACACUCACUACCAGAGGAAUAUAGCCAUUUUGUGACUACCUUGAUAUAUGGGAAAAACGUGAACAUCUUCAAAGAUGUUUGCACAACAUUGACUAACUUGGAGAUUCGGAAUAAUAAUAAAAAUUCGGAACGAGCAUCGUCUGAAGCUUUGGUGAGCAGAGAUUGGGCGAUGGAGAAAAAGAAAAAGCGUGGUGGAAAGAAUUCUCGAUCCAAAUCGAGAAGCAGAAAUAUAGCUCGAGACGAGUGUGCCUUUUGUCAUGAAAAGGACCAUUGGAGGAAAGAUUGUCCAAAGGCUCAAAAGAGAGAUGAGAAAAAACCAGCAACAGCAAACAUGGCAUGAAAAGAUGAAGACUCUGAUUAUUCACUAAGUAUUACUCCUGCAGCAUACGUGGCUAGUUCGAGUGAGUGGAUACUUGAUACUGGAGCAACCUAUCAUUUGUGUCCCAUUAAGGAAUGGUUUACGGAUUUUAGCAAGUUGGAAUCUGGUGCAGUUAUGAUGGGGAAUGAUCAACCUUGUCGCACAAUGGGGAUAGGAACAAUUCGACUCAAAAUGUUUGAUGGAAUGAUCAGAGAACUCAAAGAGGUUAGAUUUGUUCCAGCUUUAAAGAAAAAUCUAAUUUCUGUGGGUGCUUUGGAAGCUAAAGGCUACAAGGUUACCAUUGAAGAUGGCACAAUGAAGUUUACACAUGGGGCUAUGGUGAUUCUGCAAGGGAUUCGGUGUCAUAAUAUGUACUAUUUGAAGGGAGGUACAACUGAUGAAGCAAAUGUUGUUGAGGCGCAUAGUGAUAACACCAAGCUAUGUCAUGUACAAUUGGGACAUGCUGGAGAGAAGUCUUUGCAAACUCUGAUGAGGCACAGAUUCUUAAAAGGUAUCAAAACCUGUAAAUUAAAUUUCUGUGAGCAUUGUGUAGUAGGCAAGAAAACAAGGGUCAAGUUUGGUACAACUAAUCACGAUAUUCGUGAGAUCCUUGAAUAUGUUCAUAGUAAUGUAUGAGGACCAACCAAGACUGCAUCAAUUGGUGGAAGCCAUUAUUUUGUUACAUUUAUUGAUAAUUUCUCUAGACGUGUGUGGGUGUACACCAUACAGGCAGAGGAUGAGGUUCUAGAUAUUUUCGUGAAAUGGAAGAAAUUGGUGGAGACUCAAACUGGUAGAAAGAUCAAAGUAUUACGAUAUGAUAAUGGGGGUGAAUAUACUUCUGAUCCAUUCUUGUAAGUAUGCCAGAACGAGGGUAUUAAAAGAUAUUUCACGGUUAGACAUACUCCGCAACAGAACGGUGUGGCUGAGCGUAUGAAUCGUACUUUACUGGAGAAGGUACGGUGUAUGUUAUCUAAUGUUGGUUUAGAUAAAAAAAUUUAGGUUGAAGUUGUGAGCUACGCAAGUCACUUGAUAAACCGGUUGCCUUCUGCUGCAAUUGGAGGUAAAACUCCUAUGGAAAUGUGGUCUGAAAAGCAUGCAUAAGACUAUGAUUCCCUUCGUAUAUUCGGGUGUCCAGCUUAUUAUCAUGUCAAAGAUGAUAAAUUGGAUCCUCGUGCUAGAAAAGCUAUCUUUGUAGGAUUGAAAGGUGGAGUAAAGGGCUUCAAGCUUUGGGAUCUCGAAGAUAAAAAGUUUAUGUGUAGUAGAGAUGUCACGUUUGAUGAAGCUUCAAUGAUGAAAGCUUCAAGUUCUCAGCAGGUGGAGAACAAGACUAAAGAGGUAUUACAGCGGGUGGAGUUUGAUGUAACUCCAUAUGUACCAAUUAGUUCUACAUCAGAGAAAGGUUCAACUAUGGAGGUGACACCUAGAGUUGAAGAAGAAGUUGUUUCUUCUAAUGUCUCACAAAAUGAAGAAACAAUUGAUGAUGUAGAUAAUGAUGAUUUUAUAGCAACAAUGAGACCAAGAAGAGAGAUAAAGAAACAUGGAUGGCUUUCUAAAGAUAUGGUGGUAGCCUAUGCACUUCCAGUUAUUGAUGUUGACAUCCCCAACACUUUCAGUGAAACAUUACGCAGCAGUGAAAGUGAUCAAUGGAAGUUAGCCAUGGAAGAAGAGAUGAAAUCUCUCCAUCAAAACCAGACUUGGGAACUUGUAAAGUUACCAAAGGGGAAAAAGGUUAUUGGCAAUAAAUAGGUCUACACCAAAAAGUAAGGAUUUAAGAAUCAAACAACUUCUCGAUACAAGGUAAGGCUCGUGGCAAAAGGUUUUGCUCAAAAGGAAGGUACUGACUACAAUGAAGUUUUCUCUCCAGUUAUAAAACAUACUUCCAUUCAUAUCUUACUUGCCUUAGUUGCAGAAUAUGAGUUAGAGUUGUCUCCAUUGGAUGUUAAGACGACGUUCUUACAUGGAGAUUUGGAGGAGGAAAUCUAAAUGAUUUAGCCUUCUGGUUUCAAAGUUGCUGGAAAGGAGAAUCAUGUGUGUAGGUUGAUUAAAUCUUUGUACGGGCUGAAGCAAUCGCCAAGGCAGUAGUACAAAAAAUUUGAUCAAUUUAUACAAGGGCAGAAAUUCACUAGAAGUGAACACAAUCAUUGUGUUUACUUCAGAAGACUACUAGAUGAAACUUUCAUCUAUUUGUUACUCUAUGUCGAUGAUAUGCUUAUAGCUUCGAAGAAUAGAGAUGAGAUCGAAAGAUUAAAGAAGCAGCUGGCUUUUGAGUUUGAGAUGAAAGACUUGGGUGAUGCACAUAGAAUACUUGGGAUGGAGAUUCGUAGAGACAAGAAGAAUGAGAGCGUAUGGUUGACACAAAAGUCUUAUUUGAAGAAAGUGCUAGAAAGAUUCGAUAUGGAUGACAAAACUAAACCGGUAUAUACACCUCUCGCUCCUCAUUUCAAAUUAAGCUCUUCUUCAUGUCCUAGAUCUCAAGAGGAGCGCGAUUACAUGGCUCGUGUUCCAUAUGCUAGUGUUGUGGGUAGUUUUAUGUAUGCUAUGGUAUGCACAAGGCCCGAUAUAUCUGAAGCAGUGAGCAUGGUUAGUAGAUACAUGUACAAUCCGGGUAAAAUAUCGAGAGCGGUGCUGUGUUGUUGAAGAAGAUCGAUACCAAAGAUAAUCUAUCAGAUAUGUUGACGAAGGUAGUUUCUGGAGUUAAGUUUCAACAUUGCUUGAAACUAAUUCAAAUCCUUCGAUUGUGUUAAGUUAUGUCCUUCGGAAAUUUUGAACUACGGUUAGCUUGAUCCCAAAUUUUGGGUACGUAGGCAGUCACAGAGACACAGCCACUUUUGGGGAUGAUGGUUCAUUGGUAGUCGGCUCAGGUUUAGAGAAAUUUUCGUCGAGGUGGAGAAUUGUUGAAAAAUCAUGCACGUGGCAUCCAAAUUCAAAGAAGCAUGAUUAUUUUAAAAGAGCUACCAAACAAUUGAAGAAAAAAAAUGAAAAGUUGGCAAAUUUGUCAAAUUUGCUAAAUGGACACCAUUGACAAUUUGCUUAGGUUAGGUGGAAUAGUAAAGGGGUUGGUGCAAUAGUGCCAUUAUUUUCCCUAUAAAUAGAUGACACUUCUUCCAUUCUAAAGUAUCGCAAAAUUGUUAAGCUUAUAAGUUUCUAAGCUUUUGAGAGAAGUGUGUCUGGGGAAUUUAUCUUUCCUGCAGAGUGUGAGAGUACUGGGUAUAUUUGGGUUUCUGGGAAGUGAGAUUCGUAACUCAAAUAUUAUACUCUAUUAAUUGUUAAAUAAACAAUUAUUCUUUCUUACUUCCGUGGAUGUAGGUUUAAUUACCGAACUACGGAAUUCUUAUGUCUUUUAUUUUUCCAUAAUUAUUUAGUGCGCUUGAUUCCGCAUUCCGCGCACAACAGUUAGUAGUUAACUACUGCCACGCAACGACGUUGAAACCUGAAACCUUCAAAGAAAGAGUAGUAGGUAGAAAAGAACAAAAAUGAGGACAAAAAUGCUAAAAGAUAAAAAAUAAAUAAAAGACAAAUCAUUACUUUAACCAAUUGACUAUGCGUACACAUGUCAUUACGUACUCAAUUGGAUCAUGUCCUCGAUUUUCUCUCCAUUUUUGCACAUCCAUUGUGGGCUCGCUUCAAGGUAAAUAUUUUAUGGAUAAAAAUCAACACUAUCAUGUAAUUUAUAAAAUGGUGAAAUUUAAAAUCAUUAUGUGAUGCAGCAGAAGUUUAAUGUUCAAAAUAUUCCGUUGAUUCUAGAGAAUACCGGAAUAAAAGAACAACUAAAUUCACGUUGAUUCAAAAGAAUACCGCGAACUUAGGGAUUAAGACUCGUUGAUUCAAAAUACCGAGAAUUAACUGUUCAAAUACUCACAAAGAGAUUUGAAAAUUGAAAUAUUAUUGAACUCAAAAUUCUCCGUUCUCAAAGGCUACAAGAGGGAGCUAUUUAUAGUAGUAGUAAUUAUCCUAAUUCAUGAAGUAAAACAAAAUCCUAAAUUGAAAGGGAAACAAAAUUCUAAAUUAGAAAGGAAUUUAAAAGUCUUAAACUUUAGUUAAUAAGGAAACUAAUCCUAGUAUAAUAUGGAUUCCUACUCUUCAUCAUUCCCCCCAAGGUGGAGAGAAUUCGCCCGCGAAUUCGGAUUGUCAGCAACAUCUUCAUCAUGAUCACCUCUGUAAGGAAUAAGAUGCUUGACAUUAAAGACAUCUGCGGUGCGGAUAUGACUAGGAAGCUGUAAUCGGUAUGCAUUAGGAUUUAUCUUCUCGAUAAUCUCCAAAGGGCCAAUUUUCCUGGCAGAAAGCUUGUUGUACUCACCAACUGAGAAUCUAUCUUUAGUUAAGAUAGCCCAAACAAGAUCUCCUACUUGAAAUUCUAAAGNNNNNNNNNNNNNNNNNNNNNNNNNNNNNNNNNNNNNNNNNNNNNNNNNNNNNNNNNNNNNNNNNNNNNNNNNNNNNNNNNNNNNNNNNNNNNNNNNNNNNNNNNNNNNNNNNNNNNNNNNNNNNNNNNNNNNNNNNNNNNNNNNNNNNNNNNNNNNNNNNNCUGUGUUGUUGAAGAAGAUCGAUACCAAAGAUAAUCUAUCAGAUAUGUUGACGAAGGUAGUUUCUGGAGUUAAGUUUCAACAUUGCUUGAAACUAAUUCAAAUCCUUCGAUUGUGUUAAGUUAUGUCCUUCGGAAAUUUUGAACUACGGUUAGCUUGAUCCCAAAUUUUGGGUACGUAGGCAGUCACAGAGACACAGCCACUUUUGGGGAUGAUGGUUCAUUGGUAGUCGGCUCAGGUUUAGAGAAAUUUUCGUCGAGGUGGAGAAUUGUUGAAAAAUCAUGCACGUGGCAUCCAAAUUCAAAGAAGCAUGAUUAUUUUAAAAGAGCUACCAAACAAUUGAAGAAAAAAAAUGAAAAGUUGGCAAAUUUGUCAAAUUUGCUAAAUGGACACCAUUGACAAUUUGCUUAGGUUAGGUGGAAUAGUAAAGGGGUUGGUGCAAUAGUGCCAUUAUUUUCCCUAUAAAUAGAUGACACUUCUUCCAUUCUAAAGUAUCGCAAAAUUGUUAAGCUUAUAAGUUUCUAAGCUUUUGAGAGAAGUGUGUCUGGGGAAUUUAUCUUUCCUGCAGAGUGUGAGAGUACUGGGUAUAUUUGGGUUUCUGGGAAGUGAGAUUCGUAACUCAAAUAUUAUACUCUAUUAAUUGUUAAAUAAACAAUUAUUCUUUCUUACUUCCGUGGAUGUAGGUUUAAUUACCGAACUACGGAAUUCUUAUGUCUUUUAUUUUUCCAUAAUUAUUUAGUGCGCUUGAUUCCGCAUUCCGCGCACAACAGUUAGUAGUUAACUACUGCCACGCAACGACGUUGAAACCUGAAACCUUCAAAGAAAGAGUAGUAGGUAGAAAAGAACACGAGAGCUUGUCUUGAUUAUUGAGGUAUUUUAAUGCGGCAUGGUCAGUGUAUAAAACAAAGUCUUUAUGAAUUAGAUAAUGUCGCCAAUGUUUUAACGCUUGGACUACUGCGUAAAAUUCCACGUCAUAAGUGUUGUAGUGUGCCUUUACUCCAUUUAACUUCUCACUGAAAUAAGCUAUAGGCUUACCCUGUUGGCUAAGAACAGCUCCAAUGCCGACCUUAGAAGCAUCACAAUGUACCUCAAAAGUAAGCGAAAAAUCUGGUAGGGCAAGUACUGGGGCAGUAAUCAAUUUUUCUUUGAUAAUCUUGAAUGCCUUAGUAGCUGGAAAAUUGAAAUAUUAUUAAACUCAAAAAUCUCUGCUUUCAAAGGCUACAAGAGGGAGCUAUUUAUAGUAGUAGUAAUUAUCCUAAUUCAUGAAGUAAAACAAAAUCCUAAAUUGAAAGGGAAACAAAAUUCUAAAUUAGAAAGGAAUUUAAAAGUCUUAAACUUUAGUUAAUAAGGAAACUAAUCCUAGUAUAAUAUGGAUUCCUACUCUUCAUCAUUCCCCCCAGGGUGAAGAGAAUUCGCCCUCGAAUUCUGAUUGUCAGCAACAACAUCUUCAUCAUGAUCACCUCUGUAAGGAAUAAGAUGCUUAACAUUAAAUACAUCUGCGGUGCGGAUAUGACUAGGAAGCUUUAAUCUGUAGCCAUUAGGAUUUAUCUUCUCUAUAAUCUCCAAAGGGCCGAUUUUCCUGGCAGAAAGCUUGUUGUACUCACCAACUGAGAAUCUAUCUUUAGUUAGGAUAGCCCAAACAAAAUCUCCCACUUGAAAUUCCAAAGCUCGACGUUUUUUGUCUGCCAUAAUUUUAUAACCUUCGGUCGUCUGCUUCAAAGACUCUUGUGUAGUUUCAUGAAUCUGCUGAAGUUGCUCAAUAAAGUCUUCGGCUUUACCGCUUUUGCGAACUAAAUCUGGAACUGGAGCCAAGUCGAUAGGAGCUCGUGGAUUAUAUUCGUAAUUCACCUGAAAAGGACUUAAACCAGUACUACGCUUAACUGCACGGUUAUAAGUAAACUCGACUUGAUAUAACUUCUGAUCCCACAUCUUCAAGUUAUCACCAACUAGACUACGUAGAUGGUUUCCUAAAGAGCGGUUGACAACUUCAGUUUGACCAUCUGUUUGUGGGUGGUAAGCACUACUAAAAUUCAGGCGAGUGUUAGUCAACUUCCAUAAUGUCUUCCAAAAAUGGCUAAGAAAUCGUGUAUCCCGGUCAGAUACUAUAGAACUUGGUAAACCGUGCAAUCUAUAGACUUCCUUGAAGAAUAGGCGAGCAACAGUCAAAGCGUCUGUAGUCUUCUUGCAAGCAAUGAAGUGAGCCAUUUUCGAGAAUCGAUCAACAACAACAAAUAUUGAAUCCAUACCCCUCUGAGUGCGGGGUAAUCCCAAAACAAAAUCCAUGCUAAUGUCAGCCCAAGGUUGUGUUGGAAUCGGCAGUGACAUAUAUAACCCAGCAUUAGUUGCUGCGCCCUUNNNNNNNNNNNNNNNNNNNNNNNNNNNNNNNNNNNNNNNNNNNNNNNNNNNNNNNNNNNNNNNNNNNNNNNNNNNNNNNNNNNNNNNNNNNNNNNNNNNNNNNNNNNNNNNNNNNNNNNNNNNNNNNNNNNNNNNNNNNNNNNNNNNNNNNNNNNNNNNNNNNNNNNNNNNNNNNNNNNNNNNNNNNNNNNNNNNNNNNNNNNNNNNNNNNNNNNNNNNNNNNNNNNNNNNNUACUAUCAAAAGUUGGCUCUACAGCGAACUCUUCAGUUUCUUCCUCCUGGUAGUCUUCACUUUCCUCUGUGCCUACGAAUAAGCCUUUACCAUAUUUUCCUCCCUUUUUACAUUCUGUCAUUCGGUGCCCAUUUUCUCCGCAAUUAAAACAGCGUAAUCCCGAACCCGAUGAUUGAGUUUUGCUGCUUUGACCGAUUUCACUAGGUUUACUAGUUUUAUUUGGAGGAUUUGGAGGUGUGAAAUUACGAAAUUGGGAAGUCGGGUUUGAAUUAUCACGAACAAUACUUCGAGCACCCCGAAAGCUUGAGUCAUUAGUACGUUGACUAAAUUGCUUCUCCAACUGCAAGGUUUGUUGGUGUGCCUCUGAAACAGAGUAUGGGUCAAGUAAAUUUAAUUGGUCUUGAAAUUGAGAUCGUAGGCCUCCAAUGUAGCGGGAAACCUGUUGUUCUUCUGUCUCUGUCAAGUCAUUGCAUGCCACCAACCAAUGGAAUUCUGUGGUGUAAUCAUCCACUGAUCGAUUACCUUGCCUUAAAUUCUGUAGCUGUUGGUAUAACAGUUUGGCGUAAUUAUGAGGCAAGAAUGCUCCACGCAAGUGCUUCUUGAACUUUUCCCAAGAAUCAAUCUUCUUUUUGCCUUGCCUAAUCCUUGUGAGCUUAGUUUGUUGCCACCAAGCUGCUGCUCUUCCACGAAAUCGAGUUGCAGCAAGCGAAACUAGUUUAUUUUCAGGAACUUCUUUGUAUUCGAAAACUUCCUCAAUGGCGUUAAUCCAGUCUAAUAAUUCUUCAGGUCGACUACUUCCUUGAAAUUCAGGAAUGUCAAUUCUCAACCCAGAUUCCCAUCUUCUGUCAUCAGUAGACUCAGUUCUAGGUCGACGCCCAGAGAAUGGGUUAGCAAAGCUUCCACUAAGUUUGGUAAAAAUUGUUGUUCCACUGAGUUGAUCUAACAAGUCAUCUAAUCGAGGGAUUGGAAAACGAUAUCGAACUGUAAUUUUAUUGAUAGCUCGACUGUCCACGCACAUCCUCCAAGAACCAUCUUUCUUUGGAGUCAAUAAAGCAGGAAUUGCACAGGGACUAAGACUUUCACGGAUAAAUUCCUUUUCUAGUAACUCUUCCACUUGGCGCCUUAAUUCUUCAUGUUCUGUAGGACUCAUACGAUAAUGAGGUCGAUUUGGUAAUGUAGAACCUGGUACCAAAUUAAUUUGGUGUUGUAUAUCCCGAAGAGGUGGUAAACCCUGUGGUAGCUCAUUGGGGAACAAAUCUUGAAAUUCCGCCAGAAUAGGUGUCACAGCUUCAGGAAUCUUAGAAUCACUGUUACUCUCUUUUCCCAAUGAAACGUAGACUCUCUUUGUCUCUGCUAUAACAUCUAUAAAUUGCUUCUUGCCUAACAAAUAAUUACCCAAGUCUUGCUGGAGAGUAAACUCCUUGUUAGGUAGGAGAACGAUCUUGGUGUUGUUAAAUUUGAUGAGGUUCUGUCUUUAAAUUUAGCUUUGUUAUGGCUUCUUCCGAAAUGACAUUCUCGCAACUGCCGGAGUCUAUGACCAUACAACAUACUUUACCCCCGAUUGUGCAAGUAGUUUGAAAGAUAUUCUGUCGUAGCCACUUGUCUUUGUCUUGACCUUUAGGAGUGAAGAAUGCGCGGUUCACGAUCAACAUUGGCCCGCUAUCACCAUGUUCUUCAACAGAUUGAGCGCUACCACUACUAUCAAAAGUUGGCUCUACAGCGAACUCUUCAGUUUCUUCCUCCUAGUAGUCUUCACUUUCCUCUGUGCCUACGAAUAAGCCUUUACCAUAUUUUCCUCCCUUUUUACAUUCUGUCAUUCGGUGCCCAUUUUCUCCACAAUUAAAACAGCGUAAUCCCAAACCCGAGGAUUGGGUUUUGCUGCUUUGACCGAUUUCACUAGGCUUACUAGUUUUAUUUGAAGGAUUUGGAGGAGUGAAAUUACGAAAUUGGGAAGUUGGGUUUGAAUUAUCACGAACAACACUUCGAGCACCCCGAAAGCUUGAGUCAUUAGUACGUCGACUAAAUUGCUUCUCCAACUGCAAGGCUUGUUGGUGUGCCUCUGAAACAGAGUAUGGGUCAAGUAAAUUUAAUUGGUCUUGAAAUUGAGAUCGUAGGCCUCCAAUGUAGCGGGAAACCUGUUGUUCUGCUGUCUCUGUCAAGCCAUUGCGUGCCACCAACCAAUGGAAUUCUGUAGUGUAAUCAUCCACUGAUCGAUUACCUUGCCUUAAAUUCUGUAGCUGUUGGUAUAACAGUUUGGCGUAAUUAUGAGGCAAGAAUGCUCCACGCAAGUGCUUCUUGAACUUUUCCCAAGAAUCAAUCUUCUUUUUGCCUUGCCUAAUCCUUGUGAGCUUAGUUUGUUGCCACCAAGCUGCUGCUCUUCCACGAAAUCGAGUUGCAGCAAGCGAAACUAGUUUAUUUUCAGGAACUUCUUUGUAUUCGAAAACUUCCUCAAUGGCGUUAAUCCAGUCUAAUAAUUCUUCAGGUCGACCACUUCCUUGAAAUUCGGGAAUGUCAAUUCUCAACCCAGAUUCCCAUCUUCUGUCAUCAGUAGACUCAGUUCUAGGUCGACGCCCAGAGAAUGGGUUAGCAAAGCUUACACUUGAUUUGUCUUCACGUUCUGGAGUACGAUGACGUUCGUCAAGUAACUCUGCUAUUCGUGCCAUUUGUGCAGCUAACAUAUCAAUUCUGGCUGUCAUACUAGCCAGGGAUUCAUCUUUCGAAACAUCUUCUUGAUUGUAAGUUGUAGUAUGAGCAUCACGAGCUUUUCUUGGAGGCAUUUUUUUCAAAUUCGGGUUUAAAAAGGUAGUGGGGUUAAACUGAAAGUAAAUAAAAAUUUUAGGCCGAAACUGUAAUUAAGCAAAAAGUUUUAGAUUGCCGAUGAUGGUGGUCGGAAAUCGAGUAAGGGUGGGUGGAUCUGAAAGAUUUUGGGUUGGUAAGAUGGUGGUGGUGGUUUGUCUGAAAAAGUGGUGUUUUUUUUUUUAAGCUAAAUGGAAAAAAUCAAAAAAGGGAAAAAGGAAAGGUUUGGUGGUAGAUGGAGUUAGAUUGGUGAUACCAGGUUUUUGCUCUGAUACCAAACUGAUGCACCGGAAGUUUAAUGUUCAAAAUAUUCCGUUGAUUCUAAAGAAUACCGGAAUAAAAGAACAACUAAAUUCACGUUGAUUCAAAAGAAUACCGCGAACUUAGGGAUUAAGACUCGUUGAUUCAGAAUACCGAGAAUUAACUGUUCAAAUACUCACAAAGAGAUUUGAAAAUUGAAAUAUUAUUGAACUCAAAAUUCUCCGCUCUCAAAGGCUACAAGAGGGAGCUAUUUAUAGUAGUAGUAAUUAUCCUAAUUCAUGAAGUAAAACAAAAUCCUAAAUUGAAAGGGAAACAAAAUUCUAAAUUAGAAAGGAAUUUAAAAGUCUUAAACUUUAGUUAAUAAGGAAACUAAUCCUAUUAUAAUAUGGAUUCCUACUCUUCAUCAUUAUGACAUACAAGUACGAUAAGAAUCAAGAUCGUAAUGUCACGUAUAUAUGAAAAGAAUAUUUACAGUAUCAUGAAAGUACACAUCCGCUCAAACAUUCUGAGCAGAUGUCUGUUUCUGUAAAGAGUUAAAAAGAACAAGUAGUCGAGCAAUUAAAUCCAAUUGCAACACUCAACCUGAUACAACUUUGCCCGAGAUUAAUGACAAGUCAGCACUUGAAACAGAGGAAGAAGCCCAGCUGGUCGAGGAGCACAUAAAAGGUGCAGCUCGUAUGCGCAGGGCACCAACAUACUUCAAAGAUUACAUUACCUAAGGAAUAUUCGAGAAGGCAUAAAGAGAGUGGGAAAAAUGGCAACUGUGAUUUUGUUAUUUUGUUGCGACUAUUUUUUUUAAGAAUCAUUACGUUGUUGGUUAGUUACACGUGUAAUGUUGAGGGGUAAAAGAUAUAUGUAGAGGGGAAUACGUCAUACAAAGGAAUGGAACGGCAAAUAUUUCUUCUUCUCUCUCCGUCUCUCCUGCUAUCUCUGUUUCUCAAUUAAUUUCAAUUCUUUUUGCUUCUUUUUGCUGAAGUCAGCACUUACUCGAAAAGUGUAAAUCUAUGAUAUAAACUCUGAGUUGCAGAGUUGUAUCACAACCCGGCAUCAAUCAAGUAAAUUACCGGGUCAUAGCUUAAUCUUUAAUUUUUAUUUCCCAUUCCAGUAUUAAAGAUUAAUUCUACUUGUAUACUUGGUCAAAAGAGGAAAAAAAAUGCUACUUGUACAUGAUGGCGAAUUAAAAAAGAAAUUGAAAAUUGGUUCCCAAUUCUCAUCUGAGGAAAAAUUACAUGUUGGCUUUAAUUAAAUAUUGAAUACUAUUACUCUCUUUUUAGUAGUACCUCAAUCUCGAAAUCAUUGCGAUGCUUAUUUAAAAAGUUUAUAGUUAAUUAACUUAUUUAUUAUUAUUAUUACUAUUAUUAUUAUUGAAUAACUGGAUUAGUACGCUUUAUAUAUGGUUUCAGAUUUCAGCACCAAAUUCUCUGCACGUGUGAUUCAUCAAUGAAAAUGGAUAUUCCACAGGCGGCUCAGUUCGAGGAAAAUUGUGUGAGGGAAGUUAUGAUUCUAUUCUUCUUCUUCUUCUUCUUCUUUUUGUAAAAUGGAUGAGAUUCCAAAUUGAAAAUCUUGAUGGUCAGUUUCUGGAAUUUCAAACCAAAGAGAUUAGUGUUGAUAGGGAAAAUAUUCUACAUUAACUGAGAAUAGUUACAAAACUCUUGAGCUAAUUAUUAAGUAUAAAUUAGCCUAACGAUAGACAUACAAAAAUGGAGACAAAAUCAGGAAUAAGAAUCAAUAGAGCAAUAGUAUGUUCGCAUAAUAUGAUCAAUUAGUUAAAGUAAAUGAUUUGUGUUUUAAUUACUUUUAAAAAGUAUAGAUAAGUAAUUAACUUUUGCUAGUGGUUUUUAAGGAGUUCUAGUCGAAUAAUUUGGGCUUUGCCCGUACUCCUAAACGUUGGGGGUGUGUUUGUCCUUUUCCCAAAAAGAAAUGGUUUGUCUUUUAGUUAAUUUUAUUUUCCUCACAUCGAUGCGUAGAUACUUGUGGAGGUAAUAACUAGUCAUGAUCCAAUUGGGAGGGAAGAUUAAUUCCAGAAUAUGCAAUGACCAAGUCAAUAGAUCGAGCUCUAGACGACCCCAUAUAUAUAUAGAGUAAUGAUACAUGCACAAACUUUUGUAUAAAUUUAUCUUGUACAAACUGAUGUGGCAUAAUAAAAUUAGUUAAUUAAAUAUUUCUUGGCCCACAUGAUUUAUUUUUAUUAUUUUUUCAACCAAUAAAUUAAUGCCACAUCAAUUUGUACAAAAUAAGUUUGUAUAAGAGUUUGUGGCUUUAUCAUCACUCAUAUAUAUAUAUAUAAUGAAUGAAAUAAGAUGAUCAUUAUAAUUAAAAAGAUUUAUACAAAUUAUUUUUGUAUAAACUAAUGUGACAUUAUAUAAUUGAGAGUGAUGAUAUCCCCACUCCACAUUUUUUUUGUAAAUCCACCCCAUUUUUAAAAUAUAAUUAUAAAAGUUGCACUUUUUUAAAAAAAUUUCAAAUCGAGAAGAAUUUUGGAGAAUUAAUUAAUUAAAUUUAUCUUAAUUCACUUUUUUUGGACUUAGAUUUUUUUAGCAUAUUUGACUACAAAAAUUGCUUUAACAUAAGUUUAAAUUGACUAUUUUACCCUUAUAAAGUAAAAUUAUCAAGAAUUUACUUUAACUUCAAUAUUUUUCUAAUUUGUGCCAAACUCAUUGUUUCUACUACUACUUUAUUAGUAUGAUUAUUAUUUUUAAUUAAAUUAACAUAGUACAUUUAUAGCACAAUUCUCAUAUAAAUUAUUAGAUUGUCAAAUUUAUGUCAUUUACACGUAAGGGUAGUGAAAUAAUAAUUACGUUUCAUUUAAAAAUAUUAGAUUAUAAGUCACAAAAUUAAAUACCCAAAUUAUUAGAUACAAUAACUCAUGAUUUAUGAGGGUAAUUUUUAUCUUUUUAUAUCAUAAUAAUAAAAUAGUAAAUUAAAAUUUAUGAUCAAAGAUGGUCAAAGAACCUAAGAAAAAAAUUAAUAGAAAGAUUUAAUUGAUUAACUAUACAAAACUUUUAUUAAUUUGUAUUUUUUAGGAAUAUUGUGAACUUAUUGUAAUUGUUUUCUAGAAGUGGGGAGGAUUUAUAAAAAUAGUGGGAUGGAAAUAUCCCCAUCCUCUAAUUGAUUGAACAAAAUAUCCCCAUCCUAUAAUUGAUUGAACCACAAAAAUAAGAGUAAAAAUAAAUCACUUGAAAAUUUUUAUCAAUACCCCUUAUUUAUUCUAAUUUUCAUAUAAUAAUAUAGUUUUUAUUUUAUUUUCAUGUAUGUCCCAAAUCCUAGGGGUGUUCAGAAUCCAAUCCGAUCCGCUCAAUCCGUUUGAUCUAUAGAAAUCUGAUCCGUAAAAAUUCAAUCCUUGGAUUAGUGGAUUGAAAAUUUCAAAAUCCAUAGUCAGUGGAUUUGAUAUAGAUUUACUUCUGUAAAUCCGUAAAAAUCCGUGAAUCCGCAAAAAAAAAUAAAAAAUAUUAUUUAAUAAAAAAUUAAAUUUGUAAAUAUGGCAUUAGUACUUAUUAAUAAAUAAAUAAGUUAAAAUAUAGUUAUAUCACACCAUAUUAUAUCUUAUCUAAUAAUAAUAUAAAGUAAAAAAUAAUUAAAUAUAGAUGUAUAGCUUCCUAAGCAAUUCAUUUCAUGUAUUGAUCUAAACAUUGAGAUUUUUUUUCUUUUCAGUGUGCUAUAUUUUGAAACUUUAAAUGUAUUUCCUAACUUUAUUUAAACAAUUAAUUAAUUAAAUUUUUUUUUUAAUUUUGAAUUUGAUCGGCAGUAAAAUUAUUUUUAUAUUAAUUUUUUUAUUUAGUUAGUUCGUAGAUAUGAUAGAGUUAAAACAAUUUAGUCUGCAAACCAAUCUGCAAAAUGGUGGAUUGGGUAUGGAUUAAGUCAAAUCCGCAUUCAAUCCGCAGAUGUAUGGAUUAGAUUUAAAUUGAAUUUCACCAAUCUGUGGAUUGGAUUGAAUUAAAAAUUUAUAAUCCGCAAAAUCAUGGAUCAGAUAUGAAUUGAUGUCCAAUCCGCAAAAUCCAAUCUACGAACACCCCUACAAAUCCAAUCCUUUUUUUUUAAUCCAUUGGAGUUAGAAUAUAUUGAAUAGAUUAAAAAUUUUAGGGACUAAAAUGUUAUUAUUGCUUUGACUUAUUUUUUUUUUAAAAAAGGUUAUUGUUCGGUCUAAUUGAAAGACAAUUAUGUCAAUGCAUUAUAGAAUUAGGAUCCUAUCUUUUUUCUUUUUUUUUUCUUCUCUCUCCUUGCCUCAUAAUCUUGUAAAAAAAAGCUAGCUUGAUUAUAAAUAAAGUGAAAACGACAAACACAAAACUCAAUUUUAACCACUCACUAAAUAAGGACAGACAAUGACAGAAAAAAAGAGAAGAAAAGGAUCCUUCUCCUGUGUUAAAAUACCGAUCAUCACUGGUAGUACAAAGUUAAAAUGACAUAUAGUAACAAUUAAUUUAACAACAUUUUCAUAAUUUUAUGAUUUAUUUUCUUUAUAGUCAUAUUUUUUCUUUUUCUAUUUAUUACAUCAAAUUAUUUAAAUACAUCACAUUCCCUAUUAAUAAAAUAAACAAGAAUCGCAUAAAUAAUUUUUCAUGGUACAAUUUUAAUAAAUUUAUAUUAUUAUAAGCUUAUUGUUGCAUUAAUGUCGUUGUUAUUUUAUUAAGUAUAUGUACUUCGCUAAGAGCUUUGAUGCCGUGUUACUCGAUAUAUGUGUUUAUUUUUUACUCCUCUACAUAUACCGGCACUCGCAUAAAUACUUAAAAUAAAUGUAUAAAUUAUUUAACUUGCUGGGUCCUCUUUAGUACAUUUAUAGCACAAUUCUCAUAUAAAUUAUUAGAUUGUUUAAUUUAUGUCAUUUACACGUAAGGGUAGUGAAAUAAUAAUUACAUUUCAUUUAAAAAUAUUAGAUUAUAAGUCACAAAAUUAAAUACCCAAAUUAUUAGAUACAAUAACUCAUGUUUUAUAAGGGUAAUUUUUAUCUUUUUAUAUCAUAAUAAUAAAAUAGUAAAUUAAAAUUUAUGAUCAAAGAUGGUCAAAGAACCUAAGAAAAAAAUUAAUAGAAAGAUUUAAUUGAUUAACUAUACAAAACUUUUAUUAAUUUGUAUUUUUUAGGAAUAUUGUGAACUUAUUGUAAUUGUUUUCUAGAAGUGGGGAGGAUUUAUAAAAAUAGUGGGAUGNNNNNNNNNNNNNNNNNNNNNNNNNNNNNNNNNNNNNNNNNNNNNNNNNNNNNNNNNNNNNNNNNNNNNNNNNNNNNNNNNNNNNNNNNNNNNNNNNNNNNNNNNNNNNNNNNNNNNNNNNNNNNNNNNNNNNNNNNNNNNNNNNNNNNNNNNNNNNNNNNNNNNNNNNNNNNNNNNNNNNNNNNNNNNNNNNNNNNNNNNNNNNNNNNNNNNNNNNNNNNNNNNNNNNNNNNNNNNNNNNNNNNNNNNNNNNNNNNNNNNNNNNNNNNNNNNNNNNNNNNNNNNNNNNNNNNNNNNNNNNNNNNNNNNNNNNNNNNNNNNNNNNNNNNNNNNNNNNNNNNNNNNNNNNNNNNNNNNNNNNNNNNNNNNNNNNNNNNNNNNNNNNNNNNNNNNNNNNNNNNNNNNNNNNNNNNNNNNNNNNNNNNNNNNNNNNNNNNNNNNNNNNNNNNNNNNNNNNNNNNNNNNNNNNNNNNNNNNNNNNNNNNNNNNNNNNNNNNNNNNNNNNNNNNNNNNNNNNNNNNNNNNNNNNNNNNNNNNNNNNNNNNNNNNNNNNNNNNNNNNNNNNNNNNNNNNNNNNNNNNNNNNNNNNNNNNNNNNNNNNNNNNNNNNNNNNNNNNNNNNNNNNNNNNNNNNNNNNNNNNNNNNNNNNNNNNNNNNNNNNNNNNNNNNNNNNNNNNNNNNNNNNNNNNNNNNNNNNNNNNNNNNNNNNNNNNNNNNNNNNNNNNNNNNNNNNNNNNNNNNNNNNNNNNNNNNNNNNNNNNNNNNNNNNNNNNNNNNNNNNNNNNNNNNNNNNNNNNNNNNNNNNNNNNNNNNNNNNNNNNNNNNNNNNNNNNNNNNNNNNNNNNNNNNNNNNNNNNNNNNNNNNNNNNNNNNNNNNNNNNNNNNNNNNNNNNNNNNNNNNNNNNNNNNNNNNNNNNNNNNNNNNNNNNNNNNNNNNNNNNNNNNNNNNNNNNNNNNNNNNNNNNNNNNNNNNNNNNNNNNNNNNNNNNNNNNNNNNNNNNNNNNNNNNNNNNNNNNNNNNNNNNNNNNNNNNNNNNNNNNNNNNNNNNNNNNNNNNNNNNNNNNNNNNNNNNNNNNNNNNNNNNNNNNNNNNNNNNNNNNNNNNNNNNNNNNNNNNNNNNNNNNNNNNNNNNNNNNNNNNNNNNNNNNNNNNNNNNNNNNNNNNNNNNNNNNNNNNNNNNNNNNNNNNNNNNNNNNNNNNNNNNNNNNNNNNNNNNNNNNNNNNNNNNNNNNNNNNNNNNNNNNNNNNNNNNNNNNNNNNNNNNNNNNNNNNNNNNNNNNNNNNNNNNNNNNNNNNNNNNNNNNNNNNNNNNNNNNNNNNNNNNNNNNNNNNNNNNNNNNNNNNNNNNNNNNNNNNNNNNNNNNNNNNNNNNNNNNNNNNNNNNNNNNNNNNNNNNNNNNNNNNNNNNNNNNNNNNNNNNNNNNNNNNNNNNNNNNNNNNNNNNNNNNNNNNNNNNNNNNNNNNNNNNNNNNNNNNNNNNUAUAUAUAUAGCUAACGGCGGGCAAUGGCAGAACCGGUAACGAUGACGGCAAUGGCAGUGGGAAGUCUGUUAGCAGGGGCCAUUCUAGGUGUUGCAUUUCAAGAGAUAACGGUGGCGAUUAAAGAAUCAAAGUGAAGGUGCAGCAACUUCAGAGAUGCCCUAAAUAGCCUUGAAAACACCAUCAGCUUGUUAAGUCCUUUGAUCAAAGAAAUGGAUAGGUUAAAUCAAGAGCUGGGGGACUCUAAUAAAAGAGAAGUGAUCAUUCGUUUGUUUCUUCAACAACUGAAGAAAGGGGAAGCCCUGGUUUCAAAGUGCUCAAGCAUCCGUCGCUGGAACUUGUGCAAGAAGAGGAAAUACGAAAAAAGGCUUCGGAAUAUGGAUUCUUCUCUUCGUGAGCUUUCCGGAGUGCUUCAGGUCGGACAAGCGCUUGAUAUCCAGCGCCUUCAACGUAUACUACAAGAUAUGUACCACUAAAUAAGGGCGCCAGGCGCAUUUGCUUUAGUUGUGCCGAGCAAAUGCGCUGCCACAGCCCAGCUAUUGGGGUGUGUGAGCACUGAAACUAUAAUAACACCAUACGGUGUUAGAAGAAAAAGACAAAAUAAUCAGUCAAUACUAUAAUACCACACUGUAUUAUAGCUUAUUUUGUUAUCGUUUUAUAGGCUUUUAGUCUUUAGUAGGUGGUUUUUCAAUUUAUUUUGUAAAAUUUCAUCUAUGUUUCCAUAAUUGUGUAAACCAAACACUUAUGAACUUUUUCUUGAUAGUUAUAAUUUUUAUUGCAUAUCAGUUAUAGCCUAAAAAUCAUAUCAUGUCGUACCAAAUAAAGCGUAAAUUAGUUCUUACACAUGCAUGCGCUUAAUUGGUAGGAUUCUUUAAAGAUUAUAUCUGCUAUUGGCUAUUCAAACUUCAGUUAUUAGCUUCUUUUAGUUUGUGCUUUUGCAAAAAUCUGCAAUUUUUUUUCGGUUAUUAGUUAACAAAGCAUAUCUCAAACUUUAAAUUGGUAAUGAUACCAGGUCGUGAAGAGCUAGGUUUAAUGAUUUGAUCAUUGCAUAAUCUUGGAAAUUAAGUUAACCUUGCCGCUCAAUUUGAAUCAUGACUAGUUAACGACGGGGUUGAAACCUUAAAAGUAUCGCUAAGUUUUAUAAUUUAUCUACGUCGCGUACAAGUAGCACUAAUCUUUAAUUUAUCUACGAAGGUGAAGAUCAGUACUUACAUGUUCACCUGGUACAUAAUUGUUUUCUGCUGUACGGCAAGGCGGAUGUUCGGUACAGCAGUUCAUGUAUUGAUCUAAACAUUGAGAUUUUUUUUAAUUAAAGGGUACCAGGCUUUUUUUGUCCAAUAAUGAAAGAAUUGGGGGAGGUGCUUUCAGCAAUUUUUUUGAGAAGGUUUUGCAGAAAAAAGAAAGGAGAACUUGGUUUGUAGGUUGAACAAAUCUCUAUACGGUCUCAAACAGGCGCUGAGGUGUUGGUAUAAGAGAUUUGAUUCCUGCAUCAUGAGCCUUGGAUACAACAGACUUAGUUCAGACCAUUGUGCAUAUUACAAAAGGUUUGAAGAAAAUGAUUUCAUUAUUUUGUUGUUGUAUGUGGAUGACAUGUUGGUAGCAGGCCCUAACAAAGAUCGAAUCCAAGAAUUUAAAGCACAAUUGGCUAGGGAGUUUGAAAUGAAGGACUUGGGACCAGCAAACAAGAUUCUAGGGAUGCAAAUUCACCGAGAUAGAAAUAACAGGAAGAUUUGGCUUUCACAGAAGAACUACUUGAAGAAAGUCUUGUGGCGCUUCAACAUGCAAGAUUGUAAGUCAAUUUCUACCACACUUCCUGUUAAUUUCAAAUUAUCCUCAAGUUUGUAUCCUAGCAAUGAAGCAGAGAGGAAGGAGAUGUCUCGAGUACCAUAUGCAUCAGCAGUGGGAAGUUUAAUGUUUGCUAUGAUAUGUACUAGACCAGACAUUGCACAAGCAGUGAGAGCAGUCAGUCGAUACAUGGCGAAUCCUAGUGGAGAGCAUUGGAUAGCUGUGAAGAGGAUUCUAAGAUACAUCAGAGGAACCUCAGAUGUUGCAUUAUGUUAUGGAGGAUCAGAGUUUACUGUCAGGGGCUAUGUGGAUUCAGAUUUUGCAGCAGAUCUUGAUAAAAGAAAAUCCACUACUGGCUAUGUAUUUACACUUGCGGGAGCAGCUAUAAGUUGGGUUUCUAAACUGCAAACCGUUGUGGCUCUAUCUACAACAGAAGCAGAGUACAUGGCAGCUACACAAGCUUGCAAGGAAGCUAUCUGGAUACAAAGGUUAUUGGAGGAGCUCGGGCACAAAACAAGAGAAAAUUUAUGUGUUUUGUGACAGUCAGAGUGCCUUGCACAUUGCAAGGAAUCCAUCCUUUCAUUCCAGGACAAAGCACAUAGGAGUUCAGUAUCACUUCAUUCGAGAAGUAGUGGAAGAUGAAAGUAUGGAUUUACAGAAAAUCCAUACGAAGGAGAACCUAGCAGAUGUUUUGACCAAGCCGAUAAAUGCUGACAAGUUUAUCUAGAGUAGAUCCUAUUGUGGCCUAGCAGAAACGUAGGCAACAUGAUUAUGGCGAAGCAGAAAGGAUGAUGUGGAGAUUGAUUGAUUCUCAAUCUAAUCUCCAAGUGGGAGAAUGUCAAAGUCUUGGGCGGUGCCAAACCAUGAAAAAUCCACCAAAUUAAAGUCCAAGUAAAUGCCGCCCAAGGAAAGAAAAAAAAGGGAAACUUUGACAAAGAAGAAAGAGGAAGAAAAAUAGAUGCCGCCCAAAGAAAACAAGAAAAAAAAUAUUAAAAUAAUAGCCAAUUUUGACUAUAUAAAGGAAGCCCUCCAUUUUGGUUUCUGCAUUCACUUUGUGAGAGAGAAAAACCAUAGAGUUUUGUAGAGCUUAAAUAAUAAAAGCUCUUGUGUAUAGUGAUUUGAGAUUUUGGGUGUAUUGGGGUUUUGGGCAGUUAGCUAAAAUACUACAGUACUUGUAACUCCUUUUCACUAGUAUAAUAUUUUCUUUCUGUCUUCGCCCUUGGACGUAAGCUAAAAGCCGAACCACGUAAUUUCUGGUGUUCUCUUUUGUACUUGUUCUUUAUUUUCUUCCAAUUUUAUUUUAGCUGCGUGUCUGCUUCACCCAUCAAUUUCCUAACAUUAACUAGCCUUUUUUUCUUCAGCCAUAUCCUAGCGGUAUUUCAGUUGCUUUGCUUCCAGAAAACUAAUUAUAUAUGAAUAAAAUUCAUCCCAAUCCCAAAUCAAUCUAUAUAAUUUUCCAUAGUCUUCAGCUUGAAUCACCAUUUCAACCUCUCUAACCACCAUUCAUGCCUUCGAUAGAUCUCGGCUUCUCUGCAAUUUAGAUUUUGAUUAUCCACUAUACUACUUGUUAAAGUCAUGGAUGGCACCGGCCAUCUAGAUGGGCGGUGCCAUGCCAUACAACACGGCCCGCCAUUCUUGGUGGUGCCGUGUUGACUUGUUAUAAAAAAAAAAAAAGCCAAAAUUUUGGCUAUAUAAAGAGGGCUUCCCACCCUCAUUUUAAGUAUUCCAUUUCUUUAAGUUUCUCUUCCCUAUUUUGUAAAGAGAAAGAGAAAGUGAGAGUAUUUUAAGAGUUUUAACAAACUCUUGAGUGUUUAGUGUUUUGAGAGUUUGGGUGUAUUGGGGUUUUGGGAAGUGAGUUAAAAUACCACAAUACUUGUAAUUCCUUUUCACUAGUGAAAAAUUUUCCUUCUGCUUUCGCCCGUGGACGUAGGCUAAAAGCCGAACCAUGCCAUUCUUAGUGUCUUCUAUUGUGCUUAUUCGUUAUUUUCUUCUAAUUUUAUUUUAGCUGCUUGUCUGCUUCACCCACCAAUUUCCUAACAGCGGUAUCAGAGCUAUUGGUUGUAUUUUUUAGAGUCGGGUACUGUUCACAUAAGGGGUACUAUCACGUAUACGGUAUUAUUCACGUAUACGAUACUAUUCACGUAUACGGUACUAUUCACGUGAAACGGUGGAAGCAAUCCAAGAAUUUUACGGUGCAAAGCAGGGAAUAGUUGUGUGAGUAAAGCAACUGUGUGGUUUGUACAUGUCUAGGAAAGUUCUGUCACAAAAGUGAUAAGAGCUUAAGGAGUCUGGGUUUUAAGUGGGACCAUUGUGACCCCUCCAGUCUUUCCUAGGAACUUUCUUGAUGUGCAUUUUCACACAUACUCACAACUAUUUAGGGUGGUACACUUGUUUGUGUGUGGUAUUUAUCAACAAAAUGGCGGCAAAGUAUGAAAUAGAGAAGUUUAACGGAAAUAAUUUUUCGUUGUGGAAAAUGAAGAUAAAAGCUGUAUUGAGGAAAAAUAAUUACUUGACAGCAAUUAGAAAAAGGCUCAUGGAGAUAACUGAUGACAUGUGGAAUGAGAUAGAUGGCAAUGCCAUUUCUGAUCUACACUUGGCACUUGCGGAUGGAGUAUUAUCCAAUGUGGCAGAGAAAAAUACAGCGAAGGAAAUUUGGGAUACUCUCACAAAAUUGUACGAGGCUAAGUCACUACACAACAAAAUCUUCUUGAAGAGGAAACUCUAUACUCUUCGAAUGGCGGAAUCUACAAUGGGGACCGACCACAUCAACACCUUGAAGACUCUAUCUUCUUCACAACUCACAACGUUGGGUCAUAAUGUAGAGGAGAAUGAACGUGCAGAACUUCUACUUCAAAGUCUACCAGAUUCGUAUGAUCAACUCAUCAUCAACCUAAUGAACAACAAUCCAAUGGACAGUCUAGUUUUCGACGAUGUUGCAGCCUCCGUAUUAAAUGAGGAGAGCAGGCGGAAAAAUAAGGAAAAUAGACAAGCAAGUUCGCAUCAAACGGAGGCGCUAUCGGUGACAAGAGGGAGAUCAACGGAACGUGACCCCAGUGGGAGUCAAAAUCAUGGUAGAUCAAAAUUCAGAAGUAAAAAGAAUGUUAAAUGCUACAACUGUAGCAAGAAAGGGCACGUUAAGAAAGAGUGUUGGAGUAACCAGAAGAGAAAAUAGGGUAAAGAACCUGAGUCAUCAAAUGCUCAGGGGUGUGUAGCAAGUACCUCGGAUGAUGGCAAAAUUCUCUACAGCGAGGCAACAACUGUUUCAGAAGGCAGAAAACGACUAUAUGAUGUUUGGCUCAUAGACUCAAGAGCUACUUGGCACAUGACCUCUCGGAGAGAAUGGUUCCACACAUAUGAAUCUAUCUCAGGAGGAUCUGUAUAUAUGGAAGAUGAUCAUGCCUUGGAGAUCGUUGGUUUUGGUACUAUCAAAAUAAAAAUGUUUGAUGGUACAAUUCGCACAAUUGGGGAGGUACGACAUGUCAACGGCCUGAAGAAAAAUCUAUUGUCUUUGGGACAAAUAGACAAUCAUGGGUGCAAAACUCAUGUGGAGAAUGGAAUUAUAAAGAUUGUUAAAGGAGCGCUUGUAUUGAUGAAGGCAGAAAAGAUCGGUGCUAAUCUAUUCAUGCUUAAAGGAGAAACACUACAGGAGGCUGAUGCGUGUGUCGCAUUAAAUGGAGAAGAAUCAACGAUGAUGUGGCAUCUCAAAAUUGGCCACAUGUCAGAACAAGGUUUGAAGAUUCUCUCUGAGCGAAAAUUGCUUCCGGGGCUCAAAUCGGUAAGUUUACCAUUUUGCGAGCAUUGUGUUACAAGUAAGCAACAUAGAUUAAAAUUCAGUAGAUCUAUUGCUAUAAGUAAAUGCAUUCUAGACUUGAUUCAUUCUGAUGUUUGGGAAUCACCGGAUAUAUCCAUGGGAGGUGCAAAGUACAUAGUGACUUUCAUUGAUGAUUAUUCCAGAAGAUAUUGGGUGUAUCCAAUUAAGAAAAAGUCAUAUGUAUUUCCAGUGUUUAAAGAAUACAAAGUGCGGGUGGAACUUGAAUCUGGUAAAAAGAUCAAGUGCUUGAGGACAGAUAAUGGUGGAGAGUAUACAAACGACGAGUUUCUUGCUUUCUGUAAGCAAGAAGGUAGUCAGAGGCAGUUUACGGUGGCAUACACUCCUCAACAAAAUGGAGUGGCAGAGCGGAUGAAUAGAACUCUUACAGAAUGAAUAAGAACUAUGUUGAGGACUGCUGGUCUACCUAAUUCAUUCUGGGCAGAAGCAGCCAAAACUGCUUGUUAUAUAGUAAAUCUGUCGCCAUCUACAGCUAUUGGGCUAAAGACAAUGAUGGAGAUGUGGACUGGAAAGCCAGCUGAUUAUUCCUACCUAGCAAGAAAGGGCACGUUAAGAAAGAGUGUUGGAGUAACCAGAAGAGAAAAUAGGGUAAAGAACCUGAGUCAUCAAAUGCUCAGGGGUGUGUAGCAAGUACCUCGGAUGAUGGCAAAAUUCUCUACAGCGAGGCAACAACUGCUGCUGUACUACAGCGAGGCAACAACUGUUUCAGAAGGUAAAAAACGACUAUCUGAUGUCUGGCUCAUAGACUCAAGAGCUACUUGGCACAUGACCUCUCGGAGAGAAUGGUUCCACACAUAUGAAUCUAUCUCAGGAGGAUCUGUAUAUAUGGAAGAUGAUCAUGCCUUGGAGAUCGUUGGUUUUGGUACUAUCAAAAUAAAAAUGUUUGAUGGUACAAUUCGCACAAUUGGGGAGGUACGACAUGUCAACGGCCUGAAGAAAAAUCUAUUGUCUUUGGGACAAAUAGACAAUCAUGGGUGCAAAACUCAUGUGGAGAAUGGAAUUAUAAAGAUUGUUAAAGGAGCGCUUGUAUUGAUGAAGGCAGAAAAGAUCGGUGCUAAUCUAUUCAUGCUUAAAGGAGAAACACUACAGGAGGCUGAUGCGUGUGUCGCAUUAAAUGGAGAAGAAUCAACGAUGAUGUGGCAUCUCAAAAUUGGCCACAUGUCAGAACAAGGUUUGAAGAUUCUCUCUGAGCGAAAAUUGCUUCCGGGGCUCAAAUCGGUAAGUUUACCAUUUUGCGAGCAUUGUGUUACAAGUAAGCAGCAUAGAUUAAAAUUCAGUAGAUCUAUUGCUAGAAGUAAAUGCAUUCUAGACUUGAUUCAUUCUGAUGUUUGGGAAUCACCGGAUAUAUCCAUGGGAGGUGCAAAGUACAUGGUGACUUUCAUUGAUGAUUAUUCCAGAAGAUGUUGGGUGUAUCCAAUUAAGAAAAAGUCAGAUGUAUUUCCUGUGUUUAAAGAAUACAAAGCGCGGGUGGAACUUGAAUCUGGUAAAAAGAUCAAGUGCUUGAAGACAGACAAUGGUGGAGAAUAUACAGACGGCGAGUUUCUUGCUUUCUGUAAGCAAGAAGGUAUUCAGAGGCAGUUCACGGUGGCAUACACUCCUCAACAAAACGGAGUGGCGGAGCAUGAACAGAACUCUUACAGAAAGAAUAAGAGAUGUGUUGAAGACUGCUGGUCUACCCAAUUCAUUCUGGGCAGAAGCAGCCAAAACUGCCUGUUAUAUAGUAAAUCGGUCGCCAUCUACAGCUAUUGGGUUGAAGACAGCGAUGGAGAUGUGGACUGGAAAGCCAGCUGAUUAUUCCUACCUACAUGCAUUUGGAUGUCCUGUGUACGUGAUGUACAAUGCCCAAGAAAGAACAAAACUGGAUCCAAAAUCUAGAAGAUGUAUCUUCUUAGGAUAUACUGAUGGAAUAAAUGGGUAUCGUCUGUGGGAUCCCACUGCCUACAAGAUCGUCAUCAACAGAGAUGUUAUUUUUGUAGAAGAUCAACUGCAAAGGAAAGAUGAAGAUGAUAGUAGGGUAAAAGAAACAUCAGAGACUAUAUCGAUAUAUGUGGAAAAUAAUCCAGAAGAUUCAGAUUCUUCUGAAGCAGCACCAGAGCACGAAGAACAAGAACCAGUCGAGUCCGAGGCUCCAGAAGUUUGUCGAUCAACUCGUGAGAGACGACCGCCAACGUCGCACUCGGAGUAUGUCACAGAGAUCAACGUUGCAUACUGUCUUCUAACAGAAGAUGGAGAGCCUUCAACUUUCCAUGAAGCUUUAAACAGCUCAGAUGUUACUUUAAAGCUCUACAGAAGAACAAGACAUGGGAACUUGUACCACUGCCACACGGAAGAAAAGCCAUUGGAAACAAAUGGGUUUAUAAGAUCAAGCGUGGUGGCAAUGACCAAGUGGAGUGGUAUCGUGCAAGACUGGUGGUGAAAUGAUAUGCUCAGAAAGAAGGUAUUGACUUUAAUGAGAUAUUGUCUCCGGUAGUUCGACUCACAACAGUCAGAGUGGUCUUGGCGAUGUGUGCUACAUUUGACUUACAUCUAGAGCAGUUAGAUGUGAAAACUGCAUUUCUUCAUGGAGAACUUGAAGAAGAAAUAUAUAUGCUCCAACCAGAAGGUUUUGCAGAAACAGGAAAGGAGAACUUGGUUUGCAGGUUGAACAAAUCUCUAUACGGUCUCAAACAGGCGCCGAGGUGUUGGUAUAAGAGAUUUGAUUCACUGUUGUACGUGGAUGACAUGUUGGUAGCAGGCCCCAACAAAGAUCAAAUCCAAGAAUUAAAGGCACAAUUGGCUAGGGAGUUGAGACCAGCAAACAUGAUUCUAGGGAUGCAAAUUCACCGAGAAAGAAAUAACAGGAAGUUUGGCUUUCUUAGAAGAACUACUUGAAGAAAAUCUGUUUCACAAAAGAAUUACUUGAAGAAAAUCUUGUGGCGCUUCAACGUGCAAGAUUGUAAGUCAAUUUCUACCCCACUUCCUGUUAAUUUCAAAUUAUCCUCAAGUAUGUGUCCUAGCAAUGAAGCAGAGAGGAAGGAGAUGUCUCGAGUACCGUAUGCAUCAACAGUGAGAAGUUUAAUGCUCACUAUGAUAUGUACUAGACCAGACAUUGCACAAGCAGUGGGAGCAGUCAGUCGACACAUGGCGAAUCCUGGUGGAGAGCAUUGGAUAGCUAUGAAGAGGAUUCUGAGAUACAUCAGAGGAACCUCCAAUGUUGCAUUAUGUUAUGGAGGAUCAGAGUUUACUGUCAAGGGCUAUGUGGAUUCAGAUUUUGCAGGAGACCUUGAUAAAAGAAAAUCCACUACUGGUUAUGUGUUUACACUUGCGGGAGCAGCUGUAAGCUGGGUUUUAAAACUGCAAACCAUUGUGGUUUUAUCUACAACAGAAGCAGAGUACAUGGCAGCUACACAAGCUUGUAAGGAAGCUAUUUGGAUACAAAGGUUAUUGGAGGAGCUCGGGCACAAACAAUAGAAAAUUCCUGUGUUUUGUGACAGUCAGAGUGCCUUGCACAUUGCAAGGAAUCCAGCCUUUCAUUUCAGGACAAAGCACAUAGGAGUCCAGUAUCACUUCGUUCGUGAAGUAGUAGAAGAUGGAAGUGUGGAUUUGCAGAAAAUCCAUACCUUAGGUGGGAGAAUGUUAAAGUCAUUGGCACCGGCUAUCUAGAUGGGCGGUGCCAUGCCAUUCAACAGGGCCCGCCAUUCUUGGUGGUGCCGUGUUGACUUGUUAUAAAAAAAAAAAAAAAAAAACUGAGCCAAAAUUUUGGCUAUAUAAAGAGGGCUUGCCACCCUCAUUUUAAGUAUUCCAUUUCUUUAAGUUUCUCUUCUCUAUUUUGUAAAGAGAAAGAGAAAGUGAGAGUAUUUUAAGAGUUUUAACAAACUCUUGAGUGUUUAGUGUUUUGAGAGUUUAGGUGUAUUGGGAUUUUGGAAAGUGAGCUAAAAUACCAUAAUACUUGUAAUUCCUUUUCACUAGUGAAAUAUUUUCCUUCUGCAUUCGCUCGUGGACGUAGGCUAAAAGGCGAACCACGUAAUUUCUUGGUGUCCUCUAUUGUGUUUGUUCUUUAUUUUCUUUCAAUUUUAUUUUAGCUGCAUGUCUGCUUCACCCACCAAUUUCCUAACACUACUGUUAUAUUUCUUCUCAUCGUAAGUUUUUUUUUUCAGAAAAACAAUUAAAUUUAUGACCGUCGAGUAAAAUUGAGUUGUUUUUACAUUUAGUCUUUAUUUUUUUAUAUAAAAACUUGAAAAAAAAAACUUUGAGGGAGUUUAAUUUGAUUCUAAAUAAUUAUAAAUAACGAGAAAGUUUUUAAAAGAUUUUUGGUAAACCAUAUAAUUGAAAAGUUACUCUGUUGGCCGUACAAUUUUUGUAAUAAAAAAUAUUUCAGUUCCUUUUGGUUCAUUGAUUGAAUUUUGUCUAUUAAUUGAAAUUUAUCAUUAAAUAGAUGUCAAUAUUUUAUUUCUUGUGAUUAUAAUGUUAAUGAUAAUAUGAAGAGAGAAUUUGUAAGGAAUCAAAGAAGAUCCACCUCAGACGGUAAAAUUUAAUUUUAUUUGCACAUGUACUAGUGUAAUCUUCAAUUUGUGUGGAUCGGUCUCACCAUCACAGUGUGGUGAAGUGAUUGGAGGUGGUGCGAUCGACUAAUAAAAAACAGUCAUAUAGAUUGAUUUGGUGAUUCUCACCUUAAUUUUUUUAUAUAUGAUCGGUCCCCACUGAUCGACCAGCCCGUACGGCUGUUUUUUUAUGUAUGAUCGGACUGAGGUGAUGAAACCCACCCGCACAAGUAUUUACAGCUAACAGUUUUAUUAUUUUCAAAGGCACAACAUUACUAAAAACCAGUUUACAUGCAUUCAUUUGUGGUAGCAAAGCACAAGCAAGUAGCGAUCAUGUUCAUGUAUAAUUAAUUAAUAAUUAAAAUUAAAACUAAAAGAAUAUAUCAGUCUAAAAUUGAAACCCCUGCUUCGAUUUAACGAAAAAGUAGGGGAGAGGAAUCAAAUUCAAGUCAUUAAAGACAAAAGGAGAUGUACAUAUAUAAUAAGAAAGUUGGCAGCUCCUUUGGGUCUCGAACGAGCCGUUACAGAGUGUAAUUACAUUAAAAAAGCGGCAAUUUAAAAUCUCAGGCUUUAGCAGCAAAACCUCAGUCUGAAGUCCCUUUCGCUCGCAUGCAGAUUGCAGAUUAUAUCUGCUGACGGGUCAUUUUUAUUACCAUUCAAAACCUGAACUGCAGCAUUACUUUGUUCAGAAUCUUGGAGAAUAUAUGUGUGUAUACCCAUUAAAGAACUUAUGGUAUUAAAUAAUUUUAAAAAUAUUCCAAUUCAGGAUCUCGGAUUUGUUAGUCUGAAAAAUUAUUAAGUCAUGAUCCGAAAACUAUUGAGUUAUAUGGUUUGAUAAUAUAAUGAUGUUAUACUAUCAAACCAUAGGACUUAUAUAACUUUUCCAGAUUUUAAUAAAAUUUAGGAUAUUUAAUCAAAUAAUAAUAAAAAAAGAAAUAGUACUUAAUUAAUUUUCCAUAAAAUAUAUAUUUAUAAGAAUGUAAUUACAUGCGGAAUAAUUGGAUAAAUGCCUCCUCAGGUCCAAGGCUCAGACAAAAUGCUUGGUUGGUCUUUGUAUUUAAAAAAUUACUCGAAAUCGCUAUGUUCUUAUACUUGUUUUUAUUAAAAAAAUAAAUAAAUUGUUUUAUUAUGUAUUAUCCUGGAUAAAAUUGACAUAAUUCAAUUUACUCCGUUCAACAAAUUAUGGAAAAUAGAGGCUGCAAUGAUAAAACUUUAAUUUUGAUCAAACUUUUUUGUCUUUGUACAGCUAAUUAAAUAGGGAUGGACUGAUCUUUAAUAUUUUCAGUAGAUUGGAUAUAAAUUAAAGUAUUGGAAGAAAAAGGCUGGCCUAUUAUUAUAAUAUAUACAUUAUGAAACGUACAUGUAGCAGUAUAUGAAACUAUUAAAUUAUAUAUGGUCGUACAAACAAGAACAUGUAUACUUGAGAGUUUCCUUUUUGACCAGAAACUUUUGACCCAAGUGCUAAGAUUGUUGUAAUCAUCAAGCUUUCUGUUAGACCGUGGAGAUGAAGUUGAUGAGACAAAUUAAUCACCAAACCAACAAGAAAAUCUUUAAGCUUCAGGAGCAUCAAAGGCCCUGCAAAAAUUAGCAAAAGCAAAUAGCUCACAUAAGAUGAGAAAACUGCAAAUAUCAUCUUUAAAAGGAAAAAGAAAAUGAAAAUAUCACCAUUAAGCUUAGGAAAAAAAGUACUAUAUUUGAAAAAAUAUAUAUUUUUAUUAAACAGGGAAAAAAAACCAUUUUCAUUACGGAUGUAUAUAAAAGCAAAAGAAAAGAGAUAGAUGGGAAAAAGAGGGACAUUCUGUGUAUCUUAGAACAACAAAGAGUUUUGAAAUUAAAUGAAUAUUUUGAAAAAGUAAUUUUACCUUCUUCUCUUGAAUGACAAAUAUCCUAACGUAAUUUUAUCUUAUACAAUUGCCAAAGAAACUUAAUAAUUUAUAAGCAAUGAAAAAUUACAAAGUUGUGCAAAUUGACCUCAAAUCAUAAAAAUAAACAAGUCGUAAAACAUACCCAUUUGUAUAAUAAUAAUAUAUCUCUCGCACAAACGAAAAGUAAAUUUGAGAAUGAAUUUGAUUGUAAAAUGACAGUCAGAAUUAAUGCUUAAUUACAAUAUUAAAGCAGAAGAAUCGCCAUCUACACGCCUUCUUUGCUCUCUUAAGCUUGGAGAACAUCUCAUCAUCUGAGCAUAUUUUACCCGGCGAGUUCAAAUAAACCUUUCUAGGAACCGGAGGAGACCACAAGCCGCUCUGCUCAUAUUCAAAAUCAUAUUGCAAUGCAUCAAAGAAUUUCCCCUGAAGUCGAUCCGAUACCAAUUUCGAAACCAUUUGAACAGUAGUACUACUGCCGGUAGUACUGGAUGUUGGCGAUGAAGAAGUACUCUCACAGCUGCAGCAGCUGUUAAUUUUUUCUAGCGAGGCUUCAUUAAUGGCCAUUUAGAUUUUGAGGGAAAGAAAAAUAUAUGUAUGUGUAAAUAUAUGCAUUCAGAGUGUCAGAUGGGUGGGUCGCCCAUGAGGGGCCAACUUGACCCGAUCUGCAUAUGAUAAGCAAUUACCAUGUGCGGUUAUAGGGAGUUGAAGGAGUUGAUUUAAAAUCAACUUCCCAUGUUAGUUUCCAAUAUAAAAAAUAAAAAAUCCCUUAAUAAUGAGAACGUGAAGAGCAGAGAGAGAACAAAGUUUAAGAACUUUGAGCAACUCAUCAAAAAGGAGGGCAUUUAUACUGUGAUUAAAGGGGGAUUUCCGUUCGUGAUUUCUUUCCAACCAUUGACGUGAUCCAACACUUGAUUACUCCACUGCUUAAUUCGAGAAGAAAGGUAUUUGUAAAAUCCUUAAUUAUUUUCCAACAAUGGUAUCAGAGCAUGUUUUUGUGUUGGAUUCGUAUGAAUGGUUGAAUUUAUUUCAUGAAAAAUGCAUGAAUUUUAUGUGUUAAUUAUUUAUCAUGAAAUAUAUAAUCUGGUGGUUGUUCAAUUUAUGUUUUGGAAAGCUAGAAUCACUAUAAAAUUCUGGAAUUGAAUGGCGUAUAUGCGACCUAGGGUUUAAUUUGUAUGAACCCUAAUUAAAACAUACAACCUGAAACUUUAUUUGAUCAUAUCUUUUGAUCUAGGAAAUUUAACAUUGUGUGUUAUAUGUCAUUGGAAAGAUCUUUUCGAGAGCUUUCCAACUAUAUUUGAUUUGUUAAAAAUAGACUUAAAUCGAUAAAGUUAUUGCCAAAAUACAAAUCUAGUCGCAUUAGAGUUACAAAAUUUCAGAAACCCUAAUUUUGGAGAAGAUGAUGAACGGUACGGUAUCAUAUUCAAUGUUUCGAUGAUUCCUGAUUAUUCUAACCUAUGAUUGAAAUCUAAAGCCACCAUUGGAAUCAGGAUGAAAAAUUGAGUGGAAGCUGCUGGACCCGACGUCAUCGAAGACGAAAAAGGUGGUGCAUGGUACAAAAGUGAUACUGUAACGAUACUGUAGCAAGCACCGUUUCGCGUGGAAUGCACACGUCUGACUGUGCGUGUGAUAUAAUGUGUUCAGAUUAAUAUUUUCAACGUAUUUUGCUAUUCGGGACUCCGAUUUGGGCGCCGUUUGCGCUGUUUGAUCCAAAAUUUAAUUUUCUAUUUAUUUUUAACUUAGAAUCAGUAGUUUUUUAAUUUUUAAUUAUGAAAUAAAAUUUAGAUCAAAUAUAUAUUAUUUCUUAGAUAAGCAUUAUACAGUAAUAAAUAUUUUGCUCUAGUGAGAGCUCAAAGAUAUUUCUUUCAUGGAAAAUGGCUGAAAUUUGAUUAUAUCUCGUGUUUUAGUCGUUUGUUAACAAUCACUAAUAUGAAUUUUAUGUUAUUUGUCUUAGAUGCCUCUCAUUAGAAAAUUGUGAACUGAGGAAGAGGGAUUAAUGACAAUUAGAGCUCGGGUUUCACCUAUGGUUCUAAUUGAAACUAAUGAUGACUUAUCUCAUGAAAAGCUUGUGAAGAAAAUGGAAAAUUAUAAGAUGGAUCCUGACCGUACUAUAUGUAUGAAUAUAGAAGAUAUAUAUGAUGUCUUUAUGCACUUAAUUUGUGGAAAAGCGAAUACUAAGUAUACAGAUUGGGAUAAUUAUCAACGGAUCCUCAUCAAUUCUUUACCUGAUGAUGAUAAUAUGCUUGUCUUUAAGGCUCGCAUGUUAGAGGAGAUCACGGAUCUCUCGUACGCAUAUUAUAUGCUGAGGUAUGAAAUUGAGCUAAUGGAGGAGCGAUGUCUUGCUUAAAAAAUAAGGCCAACUUCAGUACUUAACAUUCACACGAGCCUUCGAAAUGGAAGACAAGUUAGUUGCCUUGGUAGAGGGCAGAAAUUAUGGUAUGAGAAAACCAUAAACUGAAUCAUCGAGAGGGAACAAUUAUUUUCAUAUGGAAAUUUACAUGAGUAUAAGUUGGAUGAAAGAAUCUCGAGAAACAAAGAAUAUUUUAAGAACAUGUAGAAGAGUCGAGAUAUUAGUUUAACCAUGUUUGGUUAUUUCUUUCAUUUGUUAUGUUUUAUACUUUUAGAUGUUGUUUUUCUCUUAAUUGGUUGAACAAUAUGUUGCUAUGUUUUUAAUUGAAUUUCUACAUUAGUUGUUGCUCUACUUUAUAUAUGUUUUUACGCUAUCUCAUGAAUUAUUCGAUUGAGUGGGAGUUCUGAUCAAAAUUGAAUUUGAUGAAGUCAUGAUUAGAACUAAUAAUUUUGUGCAUUAAAAUUGAAUUAAUGAUGAAUAUAAUAAAAGGAAUCGGAUGAUGAUUGGAAGUUUCGAUGACCUUUUGAUUCCAUUCUCGAUAUUAAUUUAUCAUGUUUUUUUGUUUACAUUUGCGGCAAAAUUAAUUGUUUGUGUGUAAUUAUUACAUGUCUUUAUUGAUUGUAUUUUGAAUUGUCUCUGUGUUAAAAGAAAAUUAAGAUGGCAUCUGCAUCUAAAAAUAUUGUGGCUGAGUGAAUAAGGGUGAGAAGCUAAAUGGUGACAAUUAUGAUAUUUGGCCUAAAAGAGCAAGAGACUCUAGAAGCUCUCAACAACACCUUAGUUGAGCCUGAGCAUGGCAAUAGUGCUCAACACAGGAGGGAUCUUGAGGCUUACCAACCUAGAAAAAGAAGAAUAGCAAUGCUCGCAUAACGAUGUUGAGCAGCAUGCAAGAUGACCUCAUGUGUGAGUUUGGGAAGUAUAAGACUGCUUAAGAGAUGUCGCUCGCGCUGAAAGAUAAGUUUGGUGGCACUUCGACCACUAAGCUGAGAAGCUUACGAUCAAGUUUGAAUCUUAUCGGAAGCACCAUAAUCAUACUAUAAGACAACAUCUGAGAGAGAUGUCAAACAUGAUUCGUGAACUUGGCUUCAUAUUCUGACUGAUGAACAAUAAGUCCAGGCAGUAAUAAAAUGUCUACCUGAUUCUUGGGAAUACAUGAAGGUGAAUAUGACAUACAAUGAAAGUAUCAUAACUUUCAAUGAUACAGAACAUCACCUAGAGUUGGAAGCAGAGCGCCUUGAGGCUGUUAAGCCUCCUGAUCUUGUUUAUAUGUGUUGGUGUAUAAAUACUAAUGUUAUUGGUGUCAAUGUGCAAGUGUACACAACAAGUAAUAAAGUGAUGAGUAUUCAAGAUCGUCUCCACAUGGAUUGAUGUUAUCAGAUUUGCUACAACAAUCUUAACAGUGCAGAUUUUGUUCUAAAUUAAAAUAAACAAUUAAUAAAACUAAUGUACUAAUUAAAAUAAAAACGCAAUAAAUAAAAUGCAACAAAGUAAAUUAUCACAUCAAGCUCAAGGAUAAAAUCAAUAGGAAUAUAAAGUAGUUGAGUGAAUAAACUCUCUUAAUGGUAUUGACUAUUUUUCUAAUGUUUGGCUCGGUUACUGCAGCAUCUGCUACAGCACUGGGCAGAAUCCUUAUGCAUCCUCAGCCAUUGCAUGUUGGAUAUUUUAUAUCUAUAUGCAACUUAACAGUGAUCAGUUGUUAUGCCAACAUUAGAUAUAGCAUUACACGCUUAGUUUCUAUUUACCCUACAAGGUGAAUCCCUAUGUCUAGUUCAUCACUAAUCUUAAAUCAAGCAUAGCCCUUUUGGGACUCAAGUAAAACUCAAUCCGGGAAACCCAAUUUAAGAUCAAGUAUUGCUUUGAUAUGUUCCACUAAGAUAGGGUAAACGGUAGCCUAGGGCACGCAUAAGUCAGAUUAGGAAACUGCAUAUCGCAAUUCUACAAGUAUCCCGCACGGAAUUUUCUCUGUCGUUGUUCCAGGAUUGCUACAGCAAUGGUUGCUACAGCAACGGCUACAGCAACUGAACUGUUCCAGAUUUGUUUCAAUUCUUUUAUAGCCAUGUUCUUCCUCCUUUUUGCCAGCCUAUUGUAUCAGCAUUCCUUCCAUGAAUUAUAAGCUUCUAGAAACCUAUAAUUAUGCACACAAUUUGAGCACGAAUUACUUUAAAUCAAGCAAAACUUAUUAAGACUAAACUAAAAUGAAUGUUUAUGCAAAAUGUAACAAAAAUGCAAUAAAAACACAUCAUUUACUCUCUAAGUGAUCUUGAUUUAAGUCUAGAAUUGCCAUAAUAACUCUCAUUUCAUAGAGUUAUCACACCCCCAAACUUAAAUCGUUACUUGUCCUCAAGUAAUGACAACAACACACACUCUGUAAUUACACAAUCAUGCAACAAAUAACUUAACUCUGUCAUCAAAUUUGCAAGGAUUCUUCCACCCUCANNNNNNNNNNNNNNNNNNNNNNNNNNNNNNNNNNNNNNNNNNNNNNNNNNNNNNNNNNNNNNNNNNNNNNNNNNNNNNNNNNNNNNNNNNNNNNNNNNNNNNNNNNNNNNNNNNNNNNNNNNNNNNNNNNNNNNNNNNNNNNNNNNNNNNNNNNNNNNNNNNNUAUUGGUGUCAAUGUGCAAGUGUACACAACAAGUAAUAAAGUGAUGAGUAUUCAAGAUCGUCUCCACAUGGAUUGAUGUUAUCAGAUUUGCUACAACAAUCUUAACAGUGCAGAUUUUGUUCUAAAUUAAAAUAAACAAUUAAUAAAACUAAUGUACUAAUUAAAAUAAAAACGCAAUAAAUAAAAUGCAACAAAGUAAAUUAUCACAUCAAGCUCAAGGAUAAAAUCAAUAGGAAUAUAAAGUAGUUGAGUGAAUAAACUCUCUUAAUGGUAUUGACUAUUUUUCUAAUGUUUGGCUCGGUUACUGCAGCAUCUGCUACAGCACUGGGCAGAAUCCUUAUGCAUCCUCAGCCAUUGCAUGUUGGAUAUUUUAUAUCUAUAUGCAACUUAACAGUGAUCAGUUGUUAUGCCAACAUUAGAUAUAGCAUUACACGCUUAGUUUCUAUUUACCCUACAAGGUGAAUCCCUAUGUCUAGUUCAUCACUAAUCUUAAAUCAAGCAUAGCCCUUUUGGGACUCAAGUAAAACUCAAUCCGGGAAACCCAAUUUAAGAUCAAGUAUUGCUUUGAUAUGUUCCACUAAGAUAGGGUAAACGGUAGCCUAGGGCACGCAUAAGUCAGAUUAGGAAACUGCAUAUCGCAAUUCUACAAGUAUCCCGCACGGAAUUUUCUCUGUCGUUGUUCCAGGAUUGCUACAGCAAUGGUUGCUACAGCAACGGCUACAGCAACUGAACUGUUCCAGAUUUGUUUCAAUUCUUUUAUAGCCAUGUUCUUCCUCCUUUUUGCCAGCCUAUUGUAUCAGCAUUCCUUCCAUGAAUUAUAAGCUUCUAGAAACCUAUAAUUAUGCACACAAUUUGAGCACGAAUUACUUUAAAUCAAGCAAAACUUAUUAAGACUAAACUAAAAUGAAUGUUUAUGCAAAAUGUAACAAAAAUACAAUAAAAACACAUCAUUUACUCUCUAAGUGAUCUUGAUUUAAGUCUAGAAUUGCCGUAAUAACUCUCAUUUUAUAGAGUUAUCAAUAUGGCCGAGUCAAGUUCGCGCAAAGCUUUGGGCUUCAAGCGCAAAAGAGGUCAUAAGUAUAACCAAAAGGGUGAGAGAUCUGAUCCUAAUCAGAAGAAGCCAGAUGUUAAGAAGCGCCUAAGGAGUAGGCAUGCUGGCAAGAAAAAGGAUAAAUACAAGAUGAAAUGCUACAAUUGUAGCAAGCUGGGUCACUUUGCUCGUGAAUACACUGAGCCAAAAAAGUGAGGCCUAACUUCACUUUAUUAAAUUAUGUGUUAGUUACGAGUUCUAUACUCCUAACUGAUUCUCGUCCUAUGUGGACUGUAGACUCAGAAGCAACAGACCAUAUAGCUCAUGAUCGUAAUGCAUUUGUGGAAUAUCGUUGAAUUAGCCAAGAGACUAGAUGGAUAUACAUGGGCAACAACUCCAGAGUUGAAGCAAAAGGAAUAGGUACUUGCAAAUUGACUUUGUGUGGUGGUUGUAUUCUUUUGUUACACGAUGUCCUUUAUGCACCGGAAAUUCGACGAAACUUGGUUUCCGUUCCUAUUCUUCUUGAAUUAGGAUAUAAUUUAAAUUUUCAUGGUGUUUAUUUUGAGAUUUUUCUAAAUUUAGUCCUUAUUAGAAAUUUUAUUUGAUUUAUGCUCAGACCCUGAGAAACAAGGCCAAUUGGAUUGGUCAAGACAUUACAAGAUAAUUGGAGGCACUGCUCGAGGAAUUCUUUAUCUUCAGAAGACUCCCAGCUCAGAAUUAUACAUCGUGAUCUCAAAGCUAGCAAUAUACUCUUAGAUGCACAAAUGAACCCAAAAAUUUCAGAUUUUGGUCUGGCAAGGAUAUUCGGAGUUGAUCAAACUCAAGGAAACACAAGCAUAAUAGUUGGGACAUAGUAAUUAAGUGUCGACUAAUAUUACCCUUUCUACAUAUAUACCCUCUGUUUAUUUAGUUCACAACUUAUUUAUUACCUCCCUUAGCAGAACAAGUUAGCCUUGACUUAGUUGAUUAAUUUCAAAUAUUCAUAAUUGUCUUUAAUUAUAUUGACUUAGUUGCUGGUUUGUAGUGGUUACAUGUCCCCAUAACACGCUAUGCACGGGCAAUUCUCUGUGAAAUCAGAUGUGUAUAGUUUUGGUGUCAUAGCUCUGGAGACUAUAACUGGCAAGAAGAACAGCCGCUUUUAUCAAACAGAUGGUGCUGGAGAUCUUUUAAGCUAUGUAAGCAUAAAUAUAAUUAUAUAUUUUGACAUUUUCCCCUUUCUUAAUUAGUGCUUAUAUGUAUCAUAUCAAACACGACUAUACAAGUAAUGAAGUGGCACUAAAAGGGGUAAAGAAUGACAAUACCCUUUUUUAUUAUGACUUGAUAUACGAUUUGCAGUCUUGGAAGCAUUGGAGGGAUGGAACACCCUUGCAGUUGUUGGAUUCAAAUCUUACAGAUUCAUACUCAAGAGAUGAAGUUAUUAGAUGCAUCCAUGUGGGCUUAUUAUGCGUCCACGAAGAUCCAGCCGACAGGCCUUCAAUGGCAACAACAGUUCUCGCGCUAAACAGUUACUCUGUUACACUUCCAGUGCCCGACAGCCUGAAUUGUUCAUUAGUAGUCGAAAAGAGAGGAGCUUUCCAGAUAGAGAAUUUGAGUGCUCUGAUAAAUCUACGGGCAAGUCGAUGCCAUGGUCUGUUGAUGAAGCAUCAAUUACUGAAGUGUAUCCUCGUUAACUAGUAAUGACGUAUCUGUCUGUCGAAACAGCAUUUGUUAGUAAAUGAUGAAACUUGAAAUAGAACUUAUCCUUUGAGAAUUACAAACUGUAAGAUGUAUGAUUGAUCAGUUUGAAACCACGAUGCUUCUUCUUUAUGUUAUUGUAUGAUCUAAUUCUAGCAUCGGCAGAGCUGGUACGGUACGUAGAACGUAUGAUUUGUGUUUUAAAAAAAAAAUAGCUUACAACAGAUUUAAAUUAAACGUCGGGGUAUGGUUUGUGUUUAGGUGUGUUCGCUUUGUCGAAAUUUUGAGCUGAGGAGGACCAAGAUCAUGUGCUGUACAGGUUCUCUUUUGCACAAAUAAUUUGGUGUUGGCUUGAUAGUACUAGUGCCCUCGGUUUCAGCAUUUAGUGCUAAACUCGGUCUCCCUUGCUAUCUCUAAAGCUCACGGUUCGGGAAAUUAGCUGGUGCUCUCCUCCAACUGGUUGGGUUAAGGCCAAUUCUGACGGGAGGACGACUUUAAUUAGAGGCGGGAAAAUGGGUGGAUCAGCAUAUGACCGGUGGACGGAAGUGUUGAGUGUUAGAAAAUGUAUAUUUAUAAAGGAGAAAAUUGUCAUUUUACACUACAAUCUUUACUAACACCCUUACUUUUAUGUAUUUAACCUUCUUUUGAUUUAAUUCCGUGUGUUUUAUUUUAAUUAAGCAUUUUAUGUAUUUUAGGGGCAUCAUAGUCAUUUCACAAUAAACGAGAGAUCAGACGGUAAAACGGACAUCACUUUUGAACUCAGGACGAUCGAAAACCUUAGGAGGAGCAUAAAAGGAAAAAUGGCACUAUUCACAGGUACGGUACUAUUCACGUACGGUACUGUAUGCGUUACUGUUCACGACACUGUUCACAUAGACGGAUGAUGACGUGGCAUUGACCGAUGAUGUGGCAUUGACUGAUGAGGUGUCACGAUCCUAUUGGGCUGAAAUUCUUAUGUACUGUUGAUGGUGACGUGGCAGCAUAUCAGUGGACGAAAAAUCUCGCGUACGGUGCAUGCAUCACACAGGAUUAUUUUCAACCAAACCGCGUUACUGUUCAUCCGGGUCAAACCGCGUUACUGUUCAAAGUCGGGUCAAACCGUGUUACUGUUCAUCCGCGUGGUCAAACCGUGGACUCUGCUGUACGGCCAAGGCGGAUGUACGGUACAGCAGAAACUUAGAUUUUGCUAGUCCUCAUAGCUCUGAAUCCAUUUUUGGGAUCCAUUUUUUAUAAUUCCUUCUCCAUCUUGUAUUUUCUACGUAUUUUAAUAAAUUUCCAUUUUGCCCCUAGUUCAAUUAUGAGUAGCUAAUUUUCUUUCAAGCUUGGGUUGAAGGUGAAGUCUCAACAUGUGUCAUGGGCUUUAUUUGGUAAAUUUAUUUUCUUUUCCCCUCUAAUUUUUGUGGAUGAUUUGACUUUUCGUCGACAAAUAAUAAUAAUCUUGUGUAGAUACCGCCUUGGUUACACCGGCUCUUUAGUACAAGGUUAUUAUUAUUUGGCACGAUAAGCCCUUAGUACCAUAUUGAUUAGAGUGUGGUUCAUGAGGUGUGGAUUCUCCCCUCAUGAUUUAAUUGGAAUUAAUAAAGAAUAUUUAGCCCAUGGUGCAUGUUGAUACGGAUUCGGAUACCCAAGUGCUUCAUUUCAAUAGAUCUAUCUUCAAUUUAUUCUCGCCAUUGCAAUUCCAAUUUUAGAAUUUAUUCUCGCCAUUUUAAUUUAAGUUUUAGCAUAUUCCAAAUCAUUUCCACCACAAAUCCAACCACCUAUUUACAAAAUUAAUUCUACACAUAAUUAAAAUCCACCUCCUCUUGGGAUCGACACUCGUCACCAUUGAUCUAUACUACAAUAGAUUCGUGCGCUUGCGAGUACAUUAAAAUUUGCACAACAGGAAGCUCUGCUGGAAAAAAAUAAAUAAAUUCUAAAAACCAAGGAGAAAAUUUCUUUGAUUUUUAAUUAGCCCCAUUAAAUCUAUAAUUUCAUAAACUUAUAAAAGUUAAAGUUGAACUUUAAAAUUUAUAAAAGUCCACUCUUUAAUUAAAAAAUAAAAAACCCACAAUAACUCAUAUAGAUGAUUUUAAUAUUAUUUAAUUUAGUCUCAAUCAAUUAAAAAAUCUUCCGUUAACUUAUAAACUCAUAAGAUUUCAGUUUUCACAUUUGUUGAUAUGCAAUUUAGCCCCCAAUAAAUCUUUUUUUUGGAUUCAUCACAAACUGACUCAUGUUCAUGUCGUGUCAGCUUUAUAUCGUAUUACAUUUUGGCUAAUCCAACACGAUCCAUUUAACAAUCAAGUAAUCAUGCCACCUGAUAGGAUACAAUCUAAUAACCCACUUAAUACAUAUAUAUCUAAUAGGAUUUACAUCAAACAUCACACAAUAUUUUAUACAAAUUGAUUAUAUAUGUAUUUAUAAUUCUCAAAUGCCGAUUUCUUCGCACGAAUUUUCAUGUGGAGAUGCACUUUCAUGGUUUUGUAGAAUAUUUAUGAUGUUGUAAAACUUUUUACGAGAACAUGCAAGUGCAUGUCCACAUGAAAUUUCUUGCGGACAUCUACAUCUAAGAAGCUAUAUAUGUGUGCAUGUGUGCAUGUGUGUAAAUAAUAUAAUAUAUUAAUAUUAAAAAACAAAAUAAUGAUAGAGGUACAUACAAUUUUGCACAAAUCGAUGUGUCAUGAAGAGAUUGACAAAAGUAUUAUAACAAUUAUUUUUUUAGUCAUACGGACCCAUAAUGGUUUUAUGUAACCAAUCUCAUAUAUGUCUACCAAAAUAUUACACAUUUACAAGUUCAUCCUUAAAAAAUUAAAAAAAGGAGAGAAAAAUUUUAUUUUAAUUGGUGGCAAGGUAAGUUUUUAUCUAUUAGUAGUAAUUUUUUUUUUCAAUUAGCAUCAAUUUAGAUUUUUAUCAAGGUAAUAACAUUAAAUUUAGGUUCUUUUAAUUUUAUUUAGCAUAAUUAAAAAUGUAUUCUUACAAUUUUUGUAGACGUCAAAAAGCCAUAUUUUAAUGGGCCGUGUCAUGGGGUUCCGGUUGAUACAAUACAAUUAUCUUUUUUAUAAUCAUAUUAUUAAGAACUUGAGCACUAACUCAACAUGGAAAAAAACAAUUCGUGUUGACUCGGAUCCAGUCUAUUUAAUAGUCGCAUCAAAUUUGACGAUCCAGACUCAUUCAUUCGAAUCAUAUUCGUGCCGUGUAAAUGGGUCAUGUCAAAUUUUGUUAGCUCUAACUUCAAUACUAGAUGAACUAGGUAGUUGCCUAAAGCCCAAAAUUUUAAAAAGCCCUCAAGUUUGAGCAUUUAUUUAUUAAUACACUAAUUACUAAUCAUUAUUCUUUACGAUUUCAUAGAUUUGUUUAAGUUAUGUUUAUAGGAAAUCUUAAUUUUAGACAUCUCCCUAUUAUUACUCUCAUUCAUAAUUAUCUAAAAGAAUUUUUCAAUACAAAUUCUAUAUUUGAUAAUCUAAGAUUUAUCGUUAAAAACUUAAUAUUUGAUCAUCUUCACAGUAUAAUUAAUGAUUUUAACUGUUAAUUUCUUUUUUUUGUUAAUCUUUCCAAGGAAAAAAUUUAAAUGCUUUCACUUUCCAGAAGAAAAAAAAAUACUCUAUUAAAAAUAUUUACCUUAGAAUUGACUCUUUGUAUUCCUUCAAACUCUAAUGAAAACCUCAAAAUGAAUAUAUAUUGAAUCAAUAAUAAUCUCAGUUAAAAAAUUUCUCGCUCCUUUUUCUAGAAAGAAAAUUAUUCUCUAUGAAAUCUAUUUCCAUCAUCUAAUCAUCAUAUUCAUCUCAACUAGUCAAUUUUUAGGGACCGCCUACCGUGCAACAGUUACACGGUACCCCACUUUUUGUCUUUUUUCAACUUAGCCAAUGGAUCAAUGGCUAAAGUCUUCAACGGCCAGGAUGUGUUCAAUUGGUUAUUAACACUUAAGUCUCUACUGUUUAUUACAAAAUCAUACAAGUUAAAAGUUUUUAAAUAUUCACUUACAUAAUUUAUGUUGUUUUAAAUUUUUUAAAUUUUGAUCCAUUGACUUAAUUUGAUCAUAAAAAUGACUGAUGGUGUAAAUAUAAUAAUGUAAUAUCACAUAAAAAUUUUAAACACAUGAAAAUUUGAUAAAUGUAAAUACUAUUUUUUGUUAUAUAAUAUAUAUUUAAUGUAAAAUAAAUAAAUUGAAUAUGUUUUAAGAACAUAGGUUAUUAACCUUGAUACUUUAGAAAAUUAUAAAAUAAAAAAGGUGAAAUUUCAAAAUAAGAAACAUGUAAAAAGUCUUAGGUUGUAAAAUUUUAUUAUUUUAAUAUUACAAAACUUUACUUUUUUAUUACAUGUUUGUUUUUGGCAUUAGUGACAUGUUAGUUUAUUUAUACAUACAAUAUGUUAAUUUACCUAUAAAAUAUCAAUAUAUAUAUAGCCCAACAAAGUUAUAGAAAGAUAAAUAAAGAAUAAUAUAAAAGGAAGUUAGUUUAUUUUUUUAAAGAAUAAUUCAAAAGCAUUUGAGCUUCGUGUGUGUUUCUUGAGAAUUAUCAUUUUUUUAAAGAUAUUUGAGCUUGUGAAUCUUGCUGUAAUGAUAAGUUAUUAUUUAUUCUUGAUUAAAAUAAUUGAAAAGUAAAUUUAUUGAUUUCUAAAUGCUCUUUUAAAUAUAGGGUAGUUACUUAAUUUUUAUUGUAUUAGCCUAAACUUUGUGAUGAUAGCUAAUCAACCAUUGCAAAAAUUCUAUCACGAUUAUCUUUACUUUCUCUACAUCCCUCUAGACCAUCAUCACUCAAAAAGUUAAAGAUCCGUUUGGCACACUAUAUUAUAUUAUAUUUUAUUAUAUUUUAUUAUGUAAUGCACAUGUAUUAUAUUAUAUUAUAUUACAUUAGCAAUAUAUUAAAUAAUUAUAAUAAAAUUAUACAACAUUUGGUAAUUGGUAUUAUCUUGUACUGCAUUAAUUUUGUACUAAUAUUAAACUAAAAUUAUUUAAAUUUAUUAUUAAUUAUAUUAAAUUAUUAUUUUCAUAUUAAUUAUUUUUAAAUAAAUAUAAUAUGAUAUAAUAAAAUAAUAUUACAGUAGAAUUUAUUUUUAUAUUUUUAUUUAUUAUAAUAAAAUUUAAAAAAUAAUUAAAAUAUAUUUAAUGCUUAAUGAUGCUGCUGUACGGCCAUUUUUUUCAAAAGUCAUUUUAUGAUUUUAUCCAGAGAAAAGGACAUAUAUAUAAAAAUUUGUAACUUAUAGUAUUUAUUCAGUUUUCUUAUAAAAUAUAGGGUAGUGUAGUGUGAUUUUUGGAAAAAGACAAAAUUAAGUGGUACCGUGCAACUGUUGCACGGUAGGCGGACCCCAAUUUUUAAGGUGUUAUCAUUCUAGUUAUACAAUUUAAAAUUAUUGUUUUUUUUACGAAUGUUUUUUAAUUAGUGUAGAACUUGAAUAUAUUAUGAACUAUUUUGUAUUUAUUUGACGGUUGAUGUUAUUGAAUGUAUGAAGGCAUAAAAAAAUAUUCACCUAAGAUCAUGAAUCCUUGGAGCCGGCCCUGUCUGAUGGUAUAACUAAGAGUAACCUUGAUUUAUUAGCUUGUUGUAGGAUUUUAAGGGGCCUUGAUGGUGGUUUUUAUUGGGUUGAUUUGCUGCUCUAUUGAGUGAUGUGACUAGAGAUGGCAAAUAAAUCUUGAUCUAACCCGAUCCACAAAUAUCUAGAUUCGGAAAAAUCUUGAUUCACAUAAUAAAUAAUGUGGAUUUAGAUGUAGAAAUUUAGGACCCAUACAAAUCCAAUGCACUUGCAUUGGAAAAACCGAAUAUUCGGUCCUCAUAUUUUUUUAAAAUAAAAUUUAUAUAAGAAAACACAAACUCUAAGCUAAAAACGCAUUACACAUAUAUAUUGUAAUACACCCUAAGUACCCAUAAAUAUUAUUUUAGAAUAUUUUAUAUUUGUUUAAUAUUGAAUGAUUAUUUUUUAAAAAAAAGUUAAAAUAUGAGUAAUUUUACAUAUAAAUAUUUUUAAUGUGUGAACCUAGAUACCCGUAAUUAGGGGUGAGCAAAUACGGGCUUGGAUCAACCGAUUGAAUUUCGGGUUAAUCGAAUUGGGAAAAAUGUAACCUGAAUUCACCCCAAACAUACAAUCCAAUCUAAAAUAAAUUCAGAUCGGAUCGGGUCAAAUUGGUAAUUUAUGUUUGUUUAUGCUUUAUUUCUUCAUAUUUUCGAAUUAAAUCGGGUUUGACCCGAUCCGAUCAUGAUCCGAUUCGAUCAGGUUGGCCAAAAUCCAACCCGAUCGGCUUAGGCUCUUCAUCCAAAUCUGAUUCAAACCUAAAUUUUUUUUUAUCGAAUCAGGUCGAAUCAGUUCAGGCUAGGUCAUUUGCCCACCCCUACCCGUAAUAUCUGCUUAGAAUUUGCACGAACAUUACCCACCUCUAAAUCCACAAUAAAUAAUGCGGAUUCAAAUGCAGAUCUAGAUCCAGAUUUUGCUAUCCCUAAAUGUGGCAUUGUUUAAGGAAAAAAUUAUGGUUGUGAUUUAUGUUAUUCAGAGGCUUCAGCUCGUGAUUGGCAUUCUUUGUGGAUUGAGUAUGAUUCUUCACUCCAUUAAAUCUAUUGAAAAAUAGGGUUAAAAUAAAAAAUGAGAAAGAUAAUGAAGAAAGUGUUCCCACCAACCCAUUGUCAUCCCUCCAUACUAUUAGGUUAUUUUUCUAUUACUUUUAUUAACAAGUUGGCUUAAUUCAUUAAAUAAUGUUCAUAUAAUGACAAAUUGGGAAUAUUUCUCACAAAUGAGAAUAUAGGUAGGAUAAGUGUUGAGCAAUCUAGUUGAUUUGACACCACAAAAGAGAAUUAGAUAGGACAUAUAAUUAGUUACGUGUUGACACUGAAUCAUAUGUCAUAUCAUAUCAUGCACAAAGUGCGGUUGAUCUACUUUACUAAAAAUAUUAUUGUAUUUAGAGUCCUACUAAGUUACGGCUACUGUAAUUUAUAGUCUGUACAAAAAUUAUGUGGACCCCACCACUUGUCACAACUUUUUACAUGUUUGUAAGCAAUUGCCUUUUAUUUAAGAAGAGCAUGUGAAUAUAAACAUAGCUAUGUGAUUAUUGAAAGAAUUUCUUAAAAGACCUUGUACUUUUCAAAUUUGUGAAAAUACCUCAUCUGAAUUUAAAAACUAUGAAAAUGCCCCAAAAAGUUUUGGAAAGUUCUGAUUUCCCUGCUCCAAAAAUCCCAAUGCUCUGCAAUUUGAUUCGUUAUUUUGAUUUUAUAAAAAAUGGAUUACUCAUAAAGACAAUUAAUAACUCACAAUAAAUAAACCAAAAGGAGAGAUUUUCUACUUUUUGAUUUUUAGUGCUUUUUUAUUGUAUUUAAAAAAAAACAAAUUGAGAGUCGGUAAAAACCAAAUUUAUUUUUUUAAUGUUUGCAUUCAAAUUCAAGCAAUCAAUAAAAUAAAACUAUUUGAAAAUGACUAAAACAGUUCCUUGAGACCUCGUUUUAGUGCUUCUUCUUCAAAAACAAACAGCUAAUAAAUCAUGCAUCAUUUUGAAAACAUGAAAUCACCUAUAAUAAUUGUAAUGAGUAGAAAUAUUGUAAAUGAAUAUUAUAGUGGUAGUCUUAUUUAUUAUUUCUAAAUCUUGAAAAUUGUAUCAACUUUUGUGACUAUGUCCCUGAUUGUGAUUAUCUUAUACAACUUUUGCUAUAGUUUUUAAUUUUAUAUUCCAGGACCUUCAUGAAUUAGAAGACAUAACAAUCUUUGGAUACUUCGAUGUGUCAAAAAGGAAUGCAUUUACAAUGUAAGAUAUAUAUGUUCAUCACAAUCUUCAGUUCAAUAAAGCAGGUUACCAGCACUUUAAACUUGGAAAACUAUCAAGCUUUCCUACUGCUGCUUGGCUCAUUAUGUUAAUCGUUUUGUUUAUUUUCAGAUCAAAUGAUUCUAUGUUCUAGGAACACUACUAAUGGCACUUUGUUAAAUAAAUGCCUUGUUUUUACAAUAUUAAUCCACCUGCAUGUGCGUACACUAAAUAAUUAACCAAAAUGGAUUGAAAACUGUGAAGCUGACAAGUGAAUCAAGUUGAUUUCCAGAAUACGACAGCGUUUCUAUUGCUUCAAGAGUCUCACCUGCAGCUCAGCUGCUAUCGGCAGAAAACAAAUACAUCUAAACGACAUGAAUGUGACGCGUUUAGAUGAGCCACUUAAGUAAUCACGUGAGGAAGCACAUGCAAGAGACGUAAAUCAGUUCGUUAAGUUUGUUACCCACGUGUCAGCAAACUGAACGAGCUGGAAAUCUUCUAAGCCUCUGAUACCGGUUAUAAAGGCUGUGAUUUGAAUCAGAAAGGAAUGGUUAUCGCGAGUCUUGUAGAGAAAGAGUGCAUCUUGUUCUCGGAAGAAUCUUGUAAAAGGCUAUGUGCUAAAUCUCCAUUUGUGAAUUAAUAAAAGCUCAUCAAAGACUUCUCUUGUGGAUGUAAACAGAGUACCUGGUGCUCUGUUGAACCACGUAAACCUUCUGUUUCUUGGUUGUCUAUUUGUUUGUUUCUUGGUUCUUUCUGUUUCUUGGUUAAAUCCACAUUGAUGCUUUAGGUUGUGACAGAUUCUAUUCAAUCUUUAGUUUUGUGCAACUUGCAUUGAUCUGAUCUAGGAAAUCCUGGGCAGUGACUAGUUUUGUUUAAGGUUAAGAACAUGCUAGUUACUACAAUUGGUAUCAGAGCCAUGGUAUCUUGUGAUUAGAUCUUAGUAUGGCGUCAUCAAAGGUUGAUUUAGAGAAGUUCACGGGGAAAAACGAUUUCAAUAUGUGGAAAAUUAAAAUGGAAGCUUUGCUAAUCACACAGGGUUUGGGAGAUGCAAUUGAAUUUGAAAACAAUAAGGAUGGUAGAGGGGUUUCAUCAUCCAAGACUCCAGAAGAAGCUGCUGAGAUUAAUAAGAGAGCAAGGAGUGCUAUAAUUCUCAGUCUUGGUGACUCAGUAAUAAGGGAAGUGGCAAAGGAAAAGACUGUGGUAGGUUUAUGGGCCAAGCUUGAAAGCCUCUACAUGACCAAGUCUCUUGCAAACAGACUCUACAUUAAAAAGAGGAUGUUUACUUUGAGAAUGGUAGAGGGAUCUUCUCUAGAGGAAUAUAUUGAUGAGUUUAAUAAGGUGUGUGACACACUGGAAACCAUUGAUGUUGCUUUGGAUGAUAAAGGAAAGGCUCUUCUACUGAUCAGUUCAUUACCAAAGUCCUAUGAGAAUCUUGUUGAUGCACUGAUGUAUGGUAGACAAACUUUAAUAGUCAAUGCAGUUAAAUCUGCCUUAAACACAAGGGGACUUCAAGAAAAGCAAACCCACCUGCAGAAUGGUACAAGUGAAUGAUUGACAGCAAAGUUCAAGACUGUCAAGAAGAAGAAACAAGGGAAGCAAAAGAAUAAAAACAAAGACCUAAAGUGUUUUCAAUGCCAUAAAGAGGUUCAUUUUAAGAAAGAUUUCCCUGAAAAGCAAAGAAAGCCUAAAGACUCAAGGAAUCAGAAUGGAGAUGCAGCUGUAGUUAAAGAAGAAGGGUAUGAGUCUGCUGGUGUGUGUGUGGCAAUAGAAAACAACCGAAAAGGUAAAUGGGUUUUGGACUCUGGAUGCACUUUUCAUAUGUGUCCUGUUAAAACUUACUUUACUGAAUAUCAAGAAAUUGAUGGUGGUAGAGUAAUAAUGGGAAAUAACUCAAUCUGUAGAAUCAUUGGAAUUGGAAAUGUCAGCCUUCGGUUACAUGAUGGUUCAACUAGAGUGAUUAAUCAAGUUAGGCAUGUGCCUGAUUUGAAAAGGAAUUUAAUCUCUCUUGGAAUGUUGGAUCAAAUUGGGUGUAAAAUUAGGCUUGAAUCUGGACAAUUGUGUGUGUUAAAUGGUUCAAAUUUGGUCAUGAAGGGGACUAGGAAGAAUGGGGUUUAUAUCUUAGAUGGUGAGGUGAUAUCUGGAGAGGUUGGAGUAUCAGAACAGUCUACUGAAGAUAAAACCAAAAAUGGCAUUUAAGAUUAGGACAUAUAAGUGAGAAAGGGCUAAAAGAGCUAGAACACCAGGGUAUGUUUGGCUCUGACAAGAUUGGGAAGUUGGAAUUUUGUGAAGUCUGUGUUCUAGGGAAGUCUUCACGAGGUAGUUUCAAGAGAUCAAGUCAAAAGUCACUAGGUAGGCUGGAGUAUGCACACACUAAUUUGUGGGGGCCAGCUCAAAAUGUAUCACUUGGAGGUAAUAGAUAUUUCUUAUCCAUUAUAGAUGACUUCUCUAGGAAAGUCUGGGUGUAUGUUUUGAAGAACAAAGACCAGGUAUUUGAGAAGAUCAAAGAAUGGAAACAUUUGGUUGAAAACCAAAUAGGACAGAGGUCGAAGAAACUGAGAACAAACAAUGGUCUGGAAUUUUGCAACCAACAUUUUGACAGUUUCUGUGCUGCUAAAGGUAUUACAAGACUUAGAACAGUAAGGAUGACGCCACAAUAAAAUGGAUUGGCUGAAAGGAUGAAUAGGACCCUUAUGGACAAGGUAAGGUGCAUGUUGAUUCAGAGUAAGCUUCCUAAAACACUGUGGGCAGAAACCUUACUUACAACAUGCUAUCUGGUAAAUCUAAGCCCCUCAACUGCUAUUAGUUUCAAAACACCAUUUGAAAUGUGGUAUGGGAGACCUGCUGACUAUGGGAUUUUGAAAGCUUAUGGAUGUCCAGCCUAUGUUCACAUUAGUCAAGGUAAACUUGCUCCUAGAGCCUUGAAAUGUGUGUUUAUAGGCUAUCCAGAAGGAGUCAAAGGUUUUAAAGUCUGGUGUACAGACCUUAAUCCACCUAGGUGUAUAGUGAGCAGAGACAUAGUGUUUAAUGAAGGUGGCUUGAUUAAAGAUAGUGAAGCAGCUGAAGAUGAAAAUGAAAAAUCCAGAUCAAAAGAUAGAUUGGAACUUGAGGUGGAGUCUUCUGUAUUAAAAAACAGCACUGAAGCUGCAGAUUCAGGUGGAGCUAAUUGUUGAGUGUUAGAAAAUGCAUAUUUAUAAAGGAGAAAACCGUCAUUUUACAUUUCAAGUCUUACUAACAACCCUUACUUUUAUGUAUUUAACCUUCUUGUGAUGUAAUUACGUGUGUGUUAUUUUAAUUAAGUAUUUUAUGUAUUUUAGGGGCAUUAUAGUCAUUUCACAAUAAAGGAGAGAUCAGACGGCAAAACGGACAUCACUUUUGAACUCAGGACGGUCGAAAACCUUAGGAGGAGCAUAAAAGAAAAAAUGACACUAUUCACAUAUACGGUACUAUUCAUGUAUACGGUACUGUCUACGUUACUGUUCACGACACUGUUCACAUAGACGGAUCGAUAACGUGGCAUUGACCGAUGAUGUGGCAUUGACUGAGGAGGUGUCACGAUCCUGUUGGACUAAAAUUCUAAUGUACUGUUGAUGGUGACGUGGCAGCAUAUCAGUGGACGAAAAAUCUCACGUACGGUGCAUGCAUCACACAGGAUUAUUUUCAACCAAACCGCGUUACCUGCUGUACGGCCAAGGCGGAUGUACGGUACAGCAGUGAGCCUUUUAAAUUAGUUCUUGUUGGUAAGUUUUCUUUUGGUCACCCUCUCAUGGAUGUUAUUCGAAAUUAUUUUGUUUCUUUACGGCUGAAAGAAAAUCCUCAGAUUUCCUUACUUGAUAAUAGACACAUUUUGAUUAAAUUAUAAAUAGAGGAAGACUAUUCUCAUAUAUGGGUUAGACAGGGUUGGUAUGUUAAUAGUCGAAGGAUACGGGUUUUUAAGUGGUCUACUGACUUCUAUUGCUCGGUAUAAUCUCCCAUUGUUCCUGUUUAGAUAUUUUUUCCUCAUUUACCUGUUUAUUUUGUUCACUGUAAGCCUGCACUAUUUUCAUUUGCUUCUGCUGUUGGUACUCCUUUAUGAAUGGAUCAUAUGAUACAGCCUCGAUUAAUAGGCCAUAUGUUGUCCAGGUAUUGGUAGAGUUUUACAUUUCGCAGCCUUUGUUGCCACGUAUUUGGAUUGGUAAGGGCAAUUCAGGUUUUGGUAGGAUGUUAUUUUUAAGCGGGUUUCAACUUAUUGUGAUUCAUUAAUCAUCUGUCAAAAUGCUUACAUGAAUCACAAUAAGCUGGAACCCACUUAAAAACAACAUUCUGCCAAGAACCUAAAUUGCCUACACCAAUCUAAAUACGCGGCAACAAAGAAUGCGAAAUUUCAUACUCUAUCAAUACCUUGGCAACAAAUGGCCUAUUAACUAAGGUCGUAGCACGAUCCACGCAUAAAAGAGUACCAAUAGUAGAAGCAAUUGAAAAUAGUGCAGGCUUACAGUGAACAAAAUAAACAGGUAAAUGAGGAAAAAAUAUCUAAACAGGAACAAUGGGAGAUUAUACCGAGCAAUAGAAGUCAGUAGACCACUUAAAAACCCGUAUCCUUCGACUAUUAACAUACCAACCCUGUCUAACCCAUAUAUGAGAAUAGUCUUCCUCUAUUUAUAAUUUAAUCAAAAUGUGUCUAUUAUCAAGUAAGGAAAUCUGAGGAUUUUCUUUCAGCCGUAAAGAAACAAAAUAAUUUCGAAUAACAUCCAUGAGAGGGUGACCAAAAGAAAACUUACCAACAAGAACUAAUUUAAAAGGCUCAGCCAUCUCUCAAAUUUCCGCAGUGGAGAAAUAGACAGCUGGUUCACCUUUGUGUAACUGAACUGGUUUCACAGGAAUUGAUAAAGCAGUAGAACCAGUUACGACAUCUACAAUAGACUUUUGUGGUCUUGAAGUGGCACUAAAGUUGAGGACAAUAACCGAGGUGAGAGCAGAAACAUAUGAAGGCUUGGGGUUGAUGUUGGUGCCACGGUUUAUGGAGGUUGGGUUGGUAGAAUGGGUUUAAGCAUCCAAACGAGUUAGGUCAUUACGAGUGGUUGGUGGUGAUUGUUGGGAUGUCAGUGUGGGUAAGGUUAUGUUGGGAAGAUUCGAGGGUGGCAAUAGCGGCCGUGUUACAACAUCGCUGAUGUCGAGAAUGGCGCCGACGGUGUGUUGGGUAUCCCGUGACCUAGGUUUGCCAUUUUGAUGUAAGUGCUGUUGGGUUAGAUGUUAUCAGUCAAGGGGUUGAACAUAGGUGAAAUCUAGUGGAUCAUUUGCUCCGGUGGCCGCUGAAGCCAUGGGUGUUUGGUAGUGGUCUUAGGACCUUACCAAAUUUCCCUUGUCAGUCAAAGGUGACCGGUAGUCAAGCUUGGUGGUCGGGAAGCUCAGGUUAGGCCUUUCAGGCCAUGCUGACUCUAAUGAUGGUGGUAGUAGGCUCCCACGCGCGGCGAAAGUAGUAAAUCAAGCUCCUAAAGCCGUUAAUAUCCAAUGGCAGAUUGCCGGCAAAAAUGGCCGGUUUGGUCCCUGGAGUUGGUCAGAAAAUGAAGGGAGAACUGUAGGGAUCAAACCCAAGUGGUGUUACUGACGGAAACCAGCGUAAUCACGCCAAAAUGAAAGGGCGGUUGUCACUAUUUCACAAGGUCGAUCAACAUCUUUUGGUUGUUUUACGACUGUGUUGACUAGCCUUGCUUGUUCUUAUUAUCAAACUUGGAUGUUUGAGGGAGUAAAGUUUAGUUAUCACUAGUCAAGCUUUGCUCAAAGGACAAAUUAUGAAAUUAACUAUCUUUAUCCAAGAUAAGUCUCAUAUAUGCAUUCGGGACAAAAAUAUUAGGAUAAUAAUUAGAAUCUUGCCAGUUUAUAAAAAGUAACAGCUGAAAUAUUUGAUUUGUUGACUUAUUGAAUUGUAAAUAGAAUCAUAAUACAAGACUUAGAGCUUUCAUUCCCUUUAGAGGUGGACAAUGGAUUUGCCUUGGGGUUGAUUUGACUAAACUUGAGAUGUGCAUUUUCCUCCAUUAUUUUCUCCUUAACCAUAAGUGAGUUUUCUUUUUAAUUAAUCCUUCUAUUUUGUUAAAAUCAAGCAAAAUAUUGUUUGUACAAAAAAAUUAUGGUUUGAGUAUAUUUAUUUACUUAAGAGAACACUUGCAUCCAAUCAUCGUAUCAAAUUAAUCAUUCUUAUUUAUUUGGUUGUGUGUUUGUUUGUGUUUGCGGGUUGAACAACUUAAUCCUGGAUGCUUAGUUGCAUAUUUCCCUCUACCUAAGCCUUUAGACAAUUGUCUUGCAAAUUUGAAUAAGCUCAAUUGAACAUAUAUACGUAUUUUUAGAAAUUUAUUUAUCUAUAGAACUUCUCAAGAGUGGACGUUAAAAUAUGAUUUACGGAUGAAACUAAAAUAAAAAUAUACAGAUUUUAGUAUACUUUUCUCUUUUAAUGUUUGGAGUCUGUAUUUUCUGUCUUAUAAUUGCAUGCGCACAAGAUUCAUAUUUUAUCAUCCGCAUUUGAGAAGCUCUGUAUUUAUUUGUUAUUUAUAUGUAAUGUGCAUGAUUAAGUGCAAGAUAUUUAUCUAUUUACAUUUUCAAGACGUUCCAAGAAAUACCCCAAUAUUUUGGCAAGAUUUGUAAAUUUAUAAAAUCUUUUAGAACUGAAUAAAUUGACUUUUCUUAUUUUUUAAAAGAUAUUAUUUUUUUGUUUUAUUUACAAAUCAUUAGUUGCUUUGAAUCUUAUAUUUAAACAAGAGUUCUGCUAUUUACCCCGGGUCAAACCCCGAAAGCUAAAACAAAACGACGCCAUUUCCUCUUCUUCAUGAAACGCUACCGUUUCACCCUAGCAAAAGCAAACGCUUCUCUCCUCUUUGUUUUCCUCUUCCUCUGCUCUUCGUUUCACCAGGGAACGACAUAACCCAAUCCUCUUCCACUCCUCUUCGUAUUGUUCGUUUUGUUUAAAAUCCAAAUUGGGGAAAUUUCCUCUUAAACAAAUCUUGUUUUGUAUAAAAAGGAUUUGAGGGCAAAUUAAGAUUUUCAACACAUCCACAGAAAGAGAGUGAGAGUGGUGAGUGAGUUAUCAAAAAUGGUGAGAGCCCCACCGUAUGAUGGAAGAGGAAUGAAGAAAGGUGCAUGGAGUAAAGAAGAAGAUGAUAAGUUAGGAGCUUAUAUUCUGAAAUAUGGCCACUGGAAUUGGGCUCAACUUCCCAAGUUUGCUGGUAUUAAUAGAUCACAUCAAGUUAUAAAAAUCGCAUUAAUUAAUAUAUGGGAUCUUUAUUUCUUGUUGUUGAUAAUUGUUGUUUAAUUAUCAAGGAGUGGCAAGAGUUGCAGGCUGCGAUGGAUGAACUACCUGAGGCCAGAUAUAAAACAUGGGAACUACACCAAGGAAGAAGAGGAUACUAUCAUCAAAACACGCCAACAACAUGGCAAUAAAAUAAUGAAAUAAAAACUAUUGGCAUACCCACUUGAAGAGGAAGAGAAAUAAGAAGAGAGAUUCAGCUGAUCAAGUGCACGAAGAAACCUAUCAAGCAAAAAGGCAAGAAAUUAAUCUAGCUGCAUCAACAUCUAGCUGCAUCACAGUUAUUGAAACGACUACGUUUUGUGGAAGCAAAAAGGCAAAAAAAAGAAACCAAAACGGCGUCAUUUUGGUUUAAUUCGGAGUUUGACCUGGGGAAAGUAGCAUUUUCCUUUAAACAAUCCCAAAGAAGAGGGGCAAUCCUCCAGCAAACGAAUACUUCUAAGUUUCUACUUUCUUUUAGUUGUUUCUUGUUUAAACUAAAAUGAAAAAUCAUACCUUUCUUAGGAGAGAAGAGUUGAAAAGGCUUUAGAUCCUUUAACGAAAAUAAUAAUAAUAAUAAUUUGCAAAAAACAAAACAAAACAAAAGACAGUGGCAGUAAAUAACCAGUGGUUUGUUAUGGCUGAAAUUUCUCACAAUAGUACUGGGAAAAAAACCAAAGUUCCCCUGUAUUUUGACAAUUUCCUUUUACAUCCUACUUCUUUACCCUGAAUUUAACAAGACUUUGUGUUUAUUUAUGUUUUUUUUAAAUUUAACAAGAUUUUGUUAAAUGUUAACUUUUUCGAUGUCAUUACAUUUUUUAAAAAAUAAUUUUUAUCCAUAAUGACCAUAUAGACAACUAUAAAAUCAUAUGGUGUUAAUAUGUUCUUUCAUUAUUUUUUCAAAUUAAUUGUAAUAGCAUAUGGUGUUAACAUAUUAUUAUUAUUAUUGUUGUUGUUGUUGUUGUUGUUGUUGUUAUUAAUUCAUAGUAACAUCAUAUGAUGUUAACAUGUAUUGCGUUGCCAUUUUGAAAAGUUUUUUCUAAUUAAAUAUCAGUAAUCCACACUUUUACUGUUAAUGUCACAAAAUUAUAUACAAAACCACAUUUACAUUUUAUAUGCUAAUUCUAAUAGAAAUUGCUUAGUAGCCUUCCCAAAAGCUUGAAUGACAAUAUGAAACAGCAACAUUAUUUUUAAAAAAAUUAUCAAUAAUGCUACACUUACUGAGUGUCCCAACUAAGUAAGCUUAGCAGUACUCAAAAAUAUUUAUUGUAAAUAUAAACUCUAUUUAAUUAAAUAGUAUUAUGUGUUAGAUUUCAUGAACAAUUGUUCAUUGGCUCAAUGUAAAGAUUCUUUGUUCAUCACAUAUUCACAUGAAUCUCUAAAGGCAAAAGAAAGAAACUAAAACCAACAUUUGAUUACCGAUCAAAGGAUAUUAAAAACAAAAAUAUUUAAUAUCAAUUAAAAGAAGAGCAUAUAUAUAUAGCCUUUUUCAUUUAAAAUGAUAAUUAUAUUUGUUAUUCAUUGGAUGCAUUCAAUCCAAAUAAUCAUAUGAAUUUAAAGUCGAAAUGUACUGGUGAAGAUGUUGUGGGGAGAACUUUCAAUAAUCACAUUGUCUCUAUUUGAAAAAAAGAAGAGAGAGAGGGAGAUUUACUACUAUAUAUAUUGAGUUUAAAAGAACUCAAAGCAAUUUACUUAUCAACUCGAACAAUUACGGGUCUAAAAUUAUUUUAAAAAUUGAUUAUUUGUGAAUCUACUACAAUACUAAACAUUCUCUGAAAGAGUAUAUAUUAGAGGCUACGACUACGUUGCACAUGCGGCAAAAAACCCCUUGCUUGCCUUCUUCUAAAGCAAUUGUUGGAUAAUAUUCAACGUCUAAGGAUUAUAAACGCAAUAUUUUUUGAGUUAUCGGUAAUGCUUAUUUGUUAUACCUUAUCUAAUAGAUAUAUGUGUUUAUUUAAUCUCAUAAACUCUUUUCAAAUUUUUUCUUGUUGUUUGGUUGUCUUUUCAGUAGAGUUUUUUAAGAUUAAAUAAGUUAUUUUGUCUGUAUUAAUAAAAACUUAAAUUUUAAGCUUUUAAGAAUAGAGGUUUAGAAUUUUUUUUAAAUAUUAAAAUGUCUAAAAUAUAUUUUCUUUAUUUCAUAAUUUUAUUUCACUUCUUUAUAACAUAACUUUAAACAACUUGUCUAUUAAAGUAAUUUCGUAUUUUUUAAUAAAAACUUUCAUUGACAACUAAACAACUAAUUUUUUUUAUAAAAGCCCUAUUUAUAAAAGUUCUACUAAUAAAAUCUCUACUUAAAUAAACUCUAUUUGAAAAGUUAUACCAAACGCAACCUAAGUCGAUAAUUAUAGGUUAUUAGCUAAUAAACAACUUGUAGACAUACAACAAUUUUUUGUUACCCAAUAAGUCGGCAGUUGUUAGGAUCAUAGCCAAAUUAAUUGUUUAGGAUAGAUCUUGAGUACUUUGUCAUAGUUUGGGUACACUUAGAUCACGUUGAUUGUGAAACAAAUAAAAAAAAACACCACAAAAGAGUCAUAUACAACAAAAAACCGAUAAGAACAAAAACAGUAAAGAGAAUAACACACAGAUUUAUGUGGUUCGGCUUUAUUAGGCUUAAAUCCACGAGACAAACACACUCUUCCUGAGUUUAUUAAUUGUCAAGGAUUUUACGGUGGAAAUACAUUGAUUUUUAGAGGUUACACUGAUUUUGUUCUCUUGUGAUGCAGCUGAUUUUUACUCAAAUCUAUCGUACUUUGGCUAUCACAAAACACACAAUAGUGCUCAAAUCUCACACCAUUUACUUAAUCAAUCCUUUUAACCAGAUUAACUCCUUCAUUACUUUUGCCAAAGUGACAUACUCAGUUCCGGUUGUGGAUGGAGCUAUCACAGAUUGCAGAAUAGACUUCAAGAUUCUAUCUUACUGUAUUACUCUUUACCCUGAACAUGUACCCUAUCAGUGAACUACUUUCAUCUGUUGGAGAAAGAUCAAUUUUUUAAAUUUUUAUAAAACCUUUUUAAGAUCGCUCUCAUAUAAUAUAUAAGAAUUUGUAAUCUAGAAAUCGUACCUUGAAAAUCCAAUUUGGCUUUUUCCGCUGGAGUGAUUUAGGCUUCUAGAUCACGAUCCGUCACCACCACUCCUGUUAGAUCACGAUCCAUCACCACCACGCUUGUUAGAUCACGAACUGUCACCAAUGAUCUUCCAGGUUAUGACUCAGGUUCGAUCUGCACUUGACGUGUGGGCGCCUUUAUCAUUACCAAAGCAACUAGCAUGAGAAAAUUUUUCUCUCGACAAUAGAGAGAAAAAUCUUUUUCUCUGAUCUGUAUAAAGUGACUGCUCUCUAUUUUUUUUAGAGAAAAAUAAGCCUUUUAUAUCUCCCUUUAGUGAAAACUCUAGGCUCCAAAUAAUUAAAAAACUAAACUCACGUUACUUGCUUUUUCUAUAGGGGACACACCUUGUAAAAUAACAUAAGACCCCUUACACACAAGCUAAUUAAAUGGAGCCUCCCACUAAAAGAUAUAUUUAAGCUUUUGACUCAAAUAACUAGUUAUCUUACUUAUUAGUCCAGUAGUGGUGCAGUCAAUUUAAUUCCAAAUCUACUCCACUAAAAGAUUGAAACAGACUUCCAUAAUUGUAUGCUCGAAUAAUAAUUCGUCCCAAGCCACAUUGAUUUCUUUACUGCACAAUCCUUUGUACCACAUCGUUAAUUAAAUUGAUAUCUCAACUGUCCAAUCAAUUUAAUAACAUCUUAUUCCUCUGCUGUACCGUACAUCCGCCUUGGCCGUACAGCAGCAUUCUUUUUCAUUUGUAAAUAUUUAAAAUUUUCUCUCUUUAAAAUCUAAAAAAUAUAAAUAAUCAAUAUGAAUAAAGAAACAAAAAAGAAAGAUUUUUUUUUAAUUAGUUGCGAAACCAAAAUGAAUUUAGUAAAAAUGAUAACCAUCUAAUAUUCAGAACUUGUAAAUGAAAAUAAGUAACGCUUAAUAGGUUGUGGCCACAGUAUUUUGUUUCCUUGAAGCUCCUAUGAUGCAUUUCAUGCACAAUGUGUGCGUCUUAUUCCUUCUCUUACCAAAAGCUUCAUGUUCCUUUUCCAUUUCUUCUGCUAUUUCAAAAGUGAAAAAAAAAAAAUUGAGAUCUGAGCUACUUAGGAAAGAACAAUUGGAUUUAAAAUUGAAAAAAAAUGAAAAAUCAUACUUGUGAGAGGGAGAGAAAAAUAAAUAAAUUGGGUUAAUUCUUUUUGCAUGUCUUUAAAGUAAUUGCAAUACCAAAGGGUUUUAUGAUAUUAAUAAAGGGAUGCCAACAAUUCAACACUAUAUGCAAUUCAAUCAAAAUCAAAUAUAAUUGAAGUCCACUUAAACGUACACUCAACCCAACAUAAAGUUCAAUACAAUUGGAGUCUAUUGAAGCUCAAUAUAACAAUAAAUCCCUACAACCAUUGAGGAGAUUUAAAUGCUCUACCUUAGAGUUGAAGAAAGGAGGUGUCGACCAACCAAACUAAAUAAUUAUUGGCUUAAACACAAGAUUUUUUUUUUUUUUAAAAAAAGCUUAUAAGAUAAACAACCCUAUAGGAGAAGUAAAAAAGAAGAUUUUAUUAUUCAAAAUUAUGAAAAUGAAUGAGAUUACCACAGUAAACUAAUUGCAAUACUACUCAAAAUAAAGCAAAUAACCUUUUAUUCCAAUUGGAUUAAAAUACUAAAAUGCAUUAUAGCUCAAACAUUAAAAAUAAAUUAAGAUAAAUACUAUUAAAAUAAAAAAAAAAACUGAAACAAAACAAAAUAAUUAUUCUAGACUUCUAAUACUUGUCUUUCUUUAAGAAAAGAGAACCUUAUUUGCCAAAUCAACAUGAUAAAUUCUACUCUUAUAAUAUAUGUAGGAGAAUCUAAUCCUCAAUCUCAAGAAAAAGGUGAUAUGCAUCAACCACUAUCGCAAAAAAGAAAAAUCUUUUAGUCUUCGAAUUCUUAACAUGUACCUUCAUUUUGGAACGAUGAAUACUAUAAAUAUCUUAGUUACAUUAAGUAGCUUCAACUGAGGAAAGCAAAAGGAGAAAAGAGCAUAGUUCUUUGGCAAAGAGAAAGGGGGAAAUAACAGAGAAUUAAGAUGCGUUCAAUACAGAGUUUUCUGUUCGUAAUACUAGGGUUGAUGGCAAUGUUGGGGACAGUGGCAUCACAUAAUUAUGCAGAUGCAUUGACUAAGAGCAUCUUGUUCUUCGAAGGCCAGAGGUCUGGAAAAUUGCCCCAAGACCAAAGGAUGACAUGGAGGAAGGAUUCUGCUCUAAAUGAUGGCGCUGACAUCGGUGUGAGUCUUCCUCUCUUCUUUCUAUUGAUUGUUGCUUCAUUUACUAGCUUGCAUUUUUGUUCCAUAUUUCAUUUUCCUUCUAAUUUUAUAACUUAUUAUAAUUCCUUGGUUACAAACGUUAGCUAAAUUACAUGAUUUCUUAGAGCUUUGAUGAUACUUUUUGAUGCUUUUAGUACCAACAUUGAUGUUAACAUAUGAUACUGUAUAUUGCUUGUUUAUCUAUGAUAUAUUUGAUAGAAAUAAUCAACACAUUGAUUGAAAAUAAUUCUUUGAAUUAAAUUGUAUAAGUUUGGUCGACACAUGAAUUAACUUUUCAGUAUAAUGCUAGACACUAAGGUUGUGUUUACUUGCUGGAGUGGGAGUGAGGAGUGUGGAUUCCUCCCACUCCAGCAUUUACUUCUUUAAAAUGGCCACGGAUUGGGAAUCCCACUCCGUGGGCCCCACUCAUUUUUGGAGUGGGGAGUGGGAGUGGGACUCCCAUUGGGGGAGGUGGGAGUGGGAAUCCAUUCUAGUGUAAGUAAACAACCUACUCCUACUACCACUUCACACUCCUAAUCCAAGGAUUCCCACUCCUCAGGAUUCCCACUCCUCAGGAUUCCCACUCCAAUCCAAAAAGUAAACGCAGCAUAAGUGCUGUUGUGAGAUUUAACUUUAUGGAAUUGCUCCAAGAAGCUAGAUUGUGAUACUUUUAUUUUUUGUUUUGUAUUAUGUGCAUGUAUUUUUAACAAUUUUUUCGAGGUCUUUUAUUAUAAAUUUUAUUUUUGUACAUGUUUUAAAGGUAAGGUUCAUUACAUCCCUUAGUAAAUGAUAAUCAAUGAACAGAAAAGAAAAUACAAAUUAUAAUUUUUUUUAAAAAAAAAAACUCUGAUUUGUUAUUUGUAAAGGUUUUUCUGAAAACUUCUAAAACUUACGCUCGAAUUAUUCCCUUAGUUUUAAAAUGAUAGUACCAAUUACCAAAUAUGCGAAGAUUAGUAAGAACAAUAAUCAGAGAGUAUCAUUAAAUUGAAGAGUCGUUGGUAACCUUUAUCAUCUUCAAUCAUUCAAAAAAUGUGAACAAGGCCCCCCAAAUAACACCCGUAUUUAAAUUAAUUUUUUCCCUCUCCCUUAGGUUGAUUUGACCGGAGGAUACUACGACGCCGGCGACAAUGUUAAAUUUACUUUUCCCAUGGCAUUCACAGCAACCGUGUUGGCUUGGAGCGUGCUAGAGUUUGGGGAUUCAAUGGGCCCAGACCAGCAUCAUGCGUUAAAUGCUAUUCGAUGGGCAACUGAUUUCUUAAUGAAAGCCACUAAUAAACCUGACACUGUUUAUUUUCAAGUUGGCCAUGGUCAAGAAGACCACAAUUGCUGGCAGAGACCUGAAGACAUGGACACACCCAGAACUGUUUUUGCUGCUACUAUAGAAAAACCAAGUUCUGAUGUUUCUGCUGAGAUAGCAGCUGCUCUUGCAGCCACUUCUAUUGUGUUUAAAUAUUCUGAUCAAGCAUAUUCUGCCACACUUCUCAGUAGGGCCAAAAAGGUAGGUAAAAUCAAUUUUAUACCCAAGUAUCUGGGAGGUGUACGUGUAUUGAAGUCAUUAAACGAGGGGUAUAUUGAAGUGUAUCAAAAUAUUUUAGUGGUUGGUGAAAAUCUUCUCAGCAUAAUAAUUUACAUAAUAUGGAAGAAUUAUAAUUUUAUAAGGUAAAAUGACACAUUCUCCCAUAAAUAUUAUUUUUAUCAUUUUAACACUGAGAAUGUAAUCGGAUAGGAAUUUUCUAAGUCAGUAUUUUAAAGUGUGGGAAAAUUCGAAAAAACUUUAAAACCAUGUAGUUUUAAAGUGUUAAUUUCAUAAUGUUUUAAAAUCGUGAGGUUUUAAAAUUUUUCCGAAUUUUCUGCACUUUCAAAUCACGGAUCAGAUCCCGAAUCAGAAAAUUACUACGUAACCGGAUACUACAAAUUUAUCAGGGAUCUAAGUGCUCAAAAUUAAGAAAUUUUAUAAGAGAUAAAGUGUCCUUCUCCCUUCUUAUAAUUAAUUAGUACAUAUAUUGUCAUUAUAAUUUUUGCUUGAAAUAGGUGUUUGAAUUUGGCCAUAAGCAUCGGGGAAGAUACAGUGAAAAUUAUGCGAAACCCCCAGGGGCGGUGUGUCCUUUUUACUGUAGCGGUGGAAUCGCAGAGGUAAGCUCUGGAAAGUUUAGUGCAAUUGCUUUCAUUUUGCCUUUAACAUAAAUGCCAGAAAGAUUGUUGUAUUUAAGGUCACAAAAAUUUCAAGUGAUAUUGUCUCAUAUGUAUAGUGUACAUAGGAUGACUUGGCAUGGGGAGCGAUGUGGCUAUUCAAGGCAACCAAUUAUGAUCAUUAUUACUGGAAUUCUGCUGUAAACUCAAGUAAAAUUCUGAACCAUAAUCUGCAUGAAUUUGGAUGGGAAGGCAAGAAUGCUGGCAUUAAUGUACUUGUCUCCACUGUAAGUAUUUUAUAACUUUCAUAUUAUCACGACAGAACCCAUUUUACCCAAUCUAAGUUUUUGUUCUUGUGUGUCGGCAGAUUGUUAAUAAGGAUGGUGCUACCAACAAAUCAGAUACCGAUCCUUUCAUUCAGAAUGCGGAUAAGUUUGUAUGCGCACUAAUGCCUGAAUCACCUACAAAGGUAGUCUACUACACACCAGGUAUUUUAACUUGUGAUCAUUUUAUUAAUUGAUCCAUUGGAACAGAAUAGUAGAAUUAUUUUAUGAUUUGAUUUUGGAUCAAAACAUUAUCAGGUGGGCUUCUCAAAUUACAGGGCGUAAAUUUUAAGCAUGCUUCUUUAACCUUUCUCCUGGUUGUUUACUCUCGAUUUUUAAAAGAAGCUAACAAAGAAAUACAUUGCGGUCAUGUUGUUGUUAAAAGGAACAGGCUGAUAGAGAUUGCCAAAGGCUAUGUAAGUCAUGAAUGUUUCUUGUGGGAACAAUUUUUUUUUUUUUAAUAGAGAAAAUGAUGAAAAUCCCUUAUUGUUUGUCGAAACAUAUAAUUUCUCCCUUCAUUUUUUAAAACUCAUCAAACCUCCUGCUGUUAAAAAAAUUAUUAACUUUUUUUGUUGUGUCUUUUCCUGUUUUACUGCUACAAAUUUGAAUUGAUUAACGAAGGAUUUUACCACGUUAAUGGUAAAAUAGUAAAAGACACAAAAAGGGAAAGUUUGCCAUUUUUUUUUUCAACAGCAAUGAAAUGGGUUUUUUUAAAACAUGAGGGGUGAAAUGAUUAAUCAUUUUUCCUCUUUUAAAUUUUUGCCAGUGAAUUUGUUUGAUUGUUUAACAGCUUGUAUUUGGAAAUUGAUAUGAAGGUGGAUUACAUGCUGGGAAACAACCCAAUGAAUAUGUCAUACAUGGUUGGAUAUGGCAAGAAAUUUCCUCAUAAAAUACAUCAUCGCGGUGCAUCUCUUCCUUCCAUGGAUAAACAUCCAGCGAAGAUCCCUUGUGCAAACAAUCACUUUUUUCACCACUCGGAUCUCAACGAGUUAACUGGGGCAAUUGUUGGAGGACCUUUUGAUAAUGACUCUUAUGUUGAUGAUCGAAAUACAGUUGAACGAUCAGAGCCCACAACUUACAUGAAUGCUCCUUUUGUUGGCCUUUUGGCUUAUUUCAAUAGACCACCACCAGCUUACAUCUAGAGGAUAUACUACGAUGGAAAUGUUACUUAAUACAAUAAGAAUGUAAGAGUUACAAUAUCAUAUUUAAUGUCUGCGAUUCCUCUUUUGAUAGUAAGUCAUCUUUGCUGCCUUUCCAGUUCAUUUUAGAAAUUUUGGAUAGUUCUUAUCUCUAUGACUAUGAUGAGCAUGACGGCCUCGGACAUUGUUUGUAAAUUAGGAUUCUCUGCCAGUAUGAGCUUAAUGAUAGGAAUGAGAUGAAGAUCAUAGAAAUUGUUCAUUAGUGAGCCUAAAAGAUAAAAUAAUGAUGAGAUGAAGCGUAUCCCGAAUGGAUUCCAUUAUUAUGACACAAUUUUGCUCCUAGUAUAUGUUGAAGUGGUUUCCCAUCACUUUCUUUGACUAACCACCCAUGUCAAACAAGAAGAAGACACAGUAUCACCUCAAGAGCAGUCAAGUCCUCAGGAACAAAUACAAGAAUAUCAACUCACAAGACAUAGACAGAAAAGGCAAGUCAAAGCCACAAAGAGAUUUGGAUAUGCAGAUCUCAUUGGUUAUGCCCUGGCAGCUGCAAAUGAAAUUGAUGAUGAGGAACCAAAAAGCUUUAAAGAAGCAACUCAGAGCUUAUUCAAAGAGGAAUGGCAGAGAGCUAUGGUAGAAGAAAUGACUUCACUCUAUAAAAACAAGACAUAGGAGCUGGUUAAAAGGCCAAAAGGAAUGAGAGUGGUUGGGUGUAAAUGGAUAUUCAAAGUCAAUGAGGGCCUAAGUGGAUCUUAACCAAGAAGAUUCAAAGCUAGACUAGUAGCUAAGGGCUAUACACAAAAGGAAUGGAUAAAUUUUAAAGAAGUAUUCUCCCCUAUUGUCAGACAUGCCUCAAUCAGGGUGAUACUAGCUAUAACUGCUGUUUAAGACAUGGAGCUUGAUCAACUUGAUGUCAAGACAAGAUUUUUACAUGGAAGACUUGAGGAAGAGAUACUGAUGUCCCAGCCUGAAGGUUAUGUUUUCCCUGGAAAAGAAGACCAUGUAUGCAAACUGAAGAAAUCUCUCUAUGGGCUUAAACAGUCCCCUAGGCAGUGGUAUCUUAGAUUUGAUGAAUUUAUGCAAAUGCAUGAGUUUAUUAGAUGCAGCUAUAAUUGUUGUGUUUACUACAAAAUAAUCAAGGAUGGUCUAUACAUAUAUCUCCUUCUAUAUGUAAAUGACAUGUUGGUUGCUUGUAAAGAUAGAGAUGAAAUAGACAAGCUCAAAGUGCUGCUGAACUCAGAAUUUGAAAUGAAUGAUCUGGGGUAUGCUCGAAAGAUUCUGGGAAUGGAGAUAAGAAGAAAUAGAAGUAAGGGCAAAUUAUUUCUGUCACAAGAGAAAUACUUGAGGAAAGUGCUGGAAGUGUUUGAGAUGGAUAAUGCCAAGCCUGUACAAUUACCUUUAGCUUCUCACUUUAGGCUGUACAACCUGCAGUGUCCCCAAACAGAAGCUGAAAAGCUAGACAUGGCUAAUGUUCCCUAUGCAAGUGCAGUAGGUUGCCUCAUGUAUACAAUGGUACUCACAAGGCCAGACAUAGCACAUGCUGUCAGUGUUGUGAGUAGGUACAUGGCUCAGCCUGGCAAAGAUCAUUGAAAGGCUGUCAAAUGGAUACUAAGGUAUCUUCAUGGCACUGUGAACUGUGGCCUGACAUAUGGCAAAGCCUUGUUUUUACAAUAUUAAUCCACCUGCAUGUGCGUACACUAAAUAAUUAACCAAAAUAGAUUGAAAACUAUGAAGCUGACAAGUGAAUCAAGUUGAUUUCCAGAAUACGACAGCGUUUCUAUUGCUUCAAGAGUCUCACCUGCAGCUCAGCUGCUAUCGGCAGAAAACAAAUACAUCUAAACGACAUGAAUGUGACGCGUUUAGAUGAGCCACUUAAGUAAUCACGUGAGGAAGCACAUGCAAGAGACGGAAAUCAGUUCGUUAAGUUUGUUACCCACGUGUCAGCAAACUGAACGAUCUGGAAAUCUUCUAAGCCUUUGAUACCGGUUAUAAAGGCUGUGAUUUGAAUCAGAAAGGAAUGGUUAUCGUGAGUCUUGUAUAGAGAGUUCUAAAGAGAGAAAGAGUGCAUCGGAAGAAUCUUGUAAAAGGCUAUGUGCUAAAUCUCCAUUUGUGAAUUAAUAAAAGCUCAUCAAAGACUUCUCCCGUAGAUGUAAACAGAGUACCUGGUGCUCUGUUGAACCACGUAAACCUUCUAUUUCUUGGUUCUUUUUGUUUCUUGGUUAAAUCCACAUUGAUGCUUUAAAUUGUGACAGAUUCUAUUCAAUCUUUAGUUUUGUGCAACUUGCAUUGAUCUGAUCUAGGAAAUCCUGGGCAGUGACUAGUUUUGUUUAAGGUUAAGAACAGGCUAGUUACUACAAAAACUAAAGAUGGUGAAUUGAAAACUAAAGCACAACGGACAACGAUAAAAAAAAAGAGAGUUGAAACGAGCCAUUAAUAUAGGUUACUGUGGAAAAAAUUUAGAUAUAUAAUAUAAUUUUGAGGAUGAGUUUAAGUUAACAAAUUGGUACAUGGGAUAGUGAGUAUCAGUAGUAAUAUGUGUGUGUGUGUUAAGGAAGCACACACAUGUAGCAUAGUCAACAAAACAGAGGAUUACAGUGGCUACAAAGCAAGGGAUUGCUGCAACUAUUGCAUACCAUUACAAGUUGAUGAUAUGAGUUACCAGCUAGCACCUGGUAGUUAUGUGACUACUUGUGCACGUGAUAGUCAGCUUAAUUAGUUAUAAUUUGUUGCAAUUAGGUGAAGUUAAUCAUAGUAAUUAGCUAAAGCUCAACAUUGGAUAUAAACAGGUCAUGUGUACAUAUUUUUCUUAAGUUUCUAAUUAAUGUGAAAAGAGCUUCCAGAUUCAGUUUUCAUUUUCUCUACUUCUUAUUAAUUUUCUCAGUUUCCAAACACUCAAAUUGAUCUUUUCAACUUGGUAUCAAAGCCAAUAAUGCCCACUAUGAAUCUUGCAUCUUCUUCCAAUUAAGUUUCUAAUGCUGCAACUAACUCAACAAAUGUUUCAUUUACCUUUAACACACUUGUUAAGCUAGAUCAAUCAAAUUAUUUGAUCUAGCGAUCACAGGUUAUUGCAUUAAUUCGUGGUAACAGACUAGAGAAGCUCAUUGAUGAAACAAUUAAUUCUCCUCCUUUUCACAUCACUCAAGGAACUGGUGCUAAUGCUAGAUCUGUAAAGAAUCCAGAUUAUGUAACAUGGAGAUCAUAGGAUCAGGUGUUGCUCGGUUGGUUGCUCUCUUAAAUGAGUGAAGGCAUCAUUAGUCUUAUGUCCAAUCUGGAAAUAUCACUUGAUGUAUGAAAAGCUAUUGAGGUUCAAUUUAGAUCACAAUCAAAAUCCAGACUCCUGUAUCUGAGGUACAUGAUGAAUUUACUAGGAACGAUGAUUUGAAAAUGAAAACUAUAGCUGAUAAUAUGGCUGCAACAAUAAGUGCAAUAAGUAAUGAUGAUUUGAUUUUGCGUAUACUCUCUGGCUUAUGACUAUAUUAUAACUCAGUAGCUACUUUCAUUACUAGACAAGUAGGUGCUGGCAAAAUGAAUGUUAAUGAGGCUUAGGCAAUGCUUUUGACUCAAGAAGCUAGAAUUGAACUACAAGCUCAAAUGCUUGCUAAUAUGGAUGUGAAACAGAAUUUUGAAACUAAUUUUGCACGGAAUAGAGGACCUAAGAAAUGAAAUAAAAGUGCUGGUAAUUAUUGCUACACCUUUGGUUAUGGUAAUAAUGGAAACUUUGGUAAUAAUGGAUAUAAAGGAGGAUAUACAGGCUCUGGUUUUACUGAUAAUGCUUUUAGAUCUAAUCCUCAAUUUAAAGGUUUUCAAGGAGAUAACCAAAGAGGAGGAGGAAAUUAGAACACCAGGGCUAGUAGUGGUGGAUUCAACAAUGGAAGAGCACCCGAAAACUCUAAAUAGUUACUACAAAAACUAAAGAUGGUGAAUUGAAAACUAAAGCACAACGGACAACGAUAAAAAAAAAGAGAGUUGAAACGAGCCAUUAAUAUAGGUUACUGUGGAAAAAAUUUAGAUAUAUAAUAUAAUUUUGAGGAUGAGUUUAAGUUAACAAAUUGGUACAUGGGAUAGUGAGUAUCAGUAGUAAUAUGUGUGUGUGUGUUAAGGAAGCACACACAUGUAGCAUAGUCAACAAAACAGAGGAUUACAGUGGCUACAAAGCAAGGGAUUGCUGCAACUAUUGCAUACCAUUACAAGUUGAUGAUAUGAGUUACCAGCUAGCACCUGGUAGUUAUGUGACUACUUGUGCACGUGAUAGUCAGCUUAAUUAGUUAUAAUUUGUUGCAAUUAGGUGAAGUUAAUCAUAGUAAUUAGCUAAAGCUCAACAUUGGAUAUAAACAGGUCAUGUGUACAUAUUUUUCUUAAGUUUCUAAUUAAUGUGAAAAGAGCUUCCAGAUUCAGUUUUCAUUUUCUCUACUUCUUAUUAAUUUUCUCAGUUUCCAAACACUCAAAUUGAUCUUUUCAACUUGGUAUCAAAGCCAAUAAUGCCCACUAUGAAUCUUGCAUCUUCUUCCAAUUAAGUUUCUAAUGCUGCAACUAACUCAACAAAUGUUUCAUUUACCUUUAACACACUUGUUAAGCUAGAUCAAUCAAAUUAUUUGAUCUAGCGAUCACAGGUUAUUGCAUUAAUUCGUGGUAACAGACUAGAGAAGCUCAUUGAUGAAACAAUUAAUUCUCCUCCUUUUCACAUCACUCAAGGAACUGGUGCUAAUGCUAGAUCUGUAAAGAAUCCAGAUUAUGUAACAUGGAGAUCAUAGGAUCAGGUGUUGCUCGGUUGGUUGCUCUCUUAAAUGAGUGAAGGCAUCAUUAGUCUUAUGUCCAAUCUGGAAAUAUCACUUGAUGUAUGAAAAGCUAUUGAGGUUCAAUUUAGAUCACAAUCAAAAUCCAGACUCCUGUAUCUGAGGUACAUGAUGAAUUUACUAGGAACGAUGAUUUGAAAAUGAAAACUAUAGCUGAUAAUAUGGCUGCAACAAUAAGUGCAAUAAGUAAUGAUGAUUUGAUUUUGCGUAUACUCUCUGGCUUAUGACUAUAUUAUAACUCAGUAGCUACUUUCAUUACUAGACAAGUAGGUGCUGGCAAAAUGAAUGUUAAUGAGGCUUAGGCAAUGCUUUUGACUCAAGAAGCUAGAAUUGAACUACAAGCUCAAAUGCUUGCUAAUAUGGAUGUGAAACAGAAUUUUGAAACUAAUUUUGCACGGAAUAGAGGACCUAAGAAAUGAAAUAAAAGUGCUGGUAAUUAUUGCUACACCUUUGGUUAUGGUAAUAAUGGAAACUUUGGUAAUAAUGGAUAUAAAGGAGGAUAUACAGGCUCUGGUUUUACUGAUAAUGCUUUUAGAUCUAAUCCUCAAUUUAAAGGUUUUCAAGGAGAUAACCAAAGAGGAGGAGGAAAUUAGAACACCAGGGCUAGUAGUGGUGGAUUCAACAAUGGAAGAGCACCCGAAAACUCUAAAUCUCAACGGAAUUCCUCUAAGCCAACCUGUCAAAUCUGUAUGAGAACAGAAUAUAUAGUAAACAUUUGCAGGAAAUUGGAAGAGUUUAUUACUUCCGGAUCCUACAAGCCACCUCCAAACAGAAAUCCAAGAGCUGCAUGCUUGGCUAACAUGGAAGGUCCUUCUGAUGCCAACCGGUACCUUGAUAGUAGGGCUAAACAACAUCUUACAAAUAAUAAGAACAAUAUGCAGAUCACAGACUCUUUUGCAAGUACAUCCAUGAAAUGCAAGUUAUGCAACCCAAGAGGGGGGUGAAUUGAGAUUUUAAAUUUUAUGCUAAACAAUUCGCACAACAAUUCAAUCUAAUGCCUUAAUGAAACUGAAAACAAUAAAUUCAAUAAAGCACAAUAAUAAAAUAGUAAGGGAAGAGAAAACAAACACAAGAAUUUUUACGUGGUUCAGCAAUCUCCGCCUACGUCCACGCCUUCAAGCCAACCAAGCUCGAAGAUUUCACUAUCCAAGCCUCCCAAGACUUCAAGUUCUUUAUAAUUAACUUUCAAGAUGUCAAUCAACCUUUACAACCAAGAGAUUAUCCCAAUAUCUUCACUCAAGUGUUUCUCACACUUAUACACUCACAAAUUUGAUAAAGAAUUGAAGAAUAUAACAAACAAUUCUCUUUUAGAGUGAAUCUACAAAUAAUAGCACAAUGAUGAUUCAAUAUAAGAUUAUUUGUGAAAUGGAAGCUCAAAAUAUGUUUUAUACACUUAAUUAUGCUUGCAAAAGUCUAAAAAAUGAAGUUGGAGUUGAAUUUUUAUAGCUAAACCCCGAAAACUAGUUGUUAUAGGCAAAUUCCAACGGCCAAACUGCUAGCCGCUUAAUAUAUCUGGCUCACUGCUUCAGAACAGUAAUGUCACCGUCAAAUUUAAAUUGUUACAGUAACACUGUUCAUGAAAUUACAUUUGUGCCCAAACCUUUUGCUAAUUAUACUAUGGCCCAAUAUGUCAUAAAACUUUGCAAACAUGUCCAACUUCAGAAUUUUUAAAUAAUACCUAUUAUUUCCAAAAAAAAUUCAAAUUAUGAUAUGGCCCAAUACAUGAUAAUAUUUUUAAAAAUAGUCCUUUUUAAAAUUUAACAUAAUGCUUAUAAAUUUCAAAGUUUUCAAAACUUUUUUAAUUUAGUCCAAAAUUAGAAAGUGUGAAGCUUACCUCAGGCGGCUAGCCGCUAGCCCUCAGGCGGUUAGCCACUAACUCUCUGUCCACUUAGUAUAUUUACACUCAGGCCUUCAAACUUUCAUAAAUUAUAGUAUAGCCCAAGAGGUUUCAAAUGUUUGCAAAUAAGUCCAACUCCAGAAUUCAAAACAAUACUUGUUAGAAUCAAAGAUUGCAAAACUUUUUCAUUUUAGUUCACAUCUUGAAAAAUAACUAGCUUCAUAAAAUACUUAGCUAAUACUUGUAAAACCUUUUUGUUUAUAAAAAAUGAUGAUUUAUUAAAUAAAAUCUUGAGCUUCUCAAAUGAUAAACCAUGCAUAUAUUAAAUCAUAUCAUCUUUACGAGAAUUGUCACAAUAAUGAGUUCGUUGAGCUCUAAACUUUAUUCUUGAUCGCGCCGUUGUCCGUUGAGCGUCUUGAGCUUGAUUUCACGUGAUUCACUUCCUUGUAAAUCAUAUCCUUUAAGAACUAGUGAAAUGUAAAAUACAAUAUUUUUCAAUUUACUUAAGACACAUGAUUGUUAUCAUCAAAAUUACAAUAUAUGUAGCCCUUUAGGCUAACAAUCCAAACUUAUCAUUGGUAAUGGAAUCGGCCUGAAUAUCACACACAUUGGGAAUGCUACUUUUAAGUUGCAUGGUUCAUCAAAUUCCACCACUACACUUAAACUGACUAAUAUACUAUUAAUUCCACAAAUAACCAAAAAUCUUAUAAGUAUAUCUCAAUUAACCAAAGAUAAUGACAUUGUUGUUGAAUUUACUAAUAAGUUUUGUUUUGUGAAGGACAAGGUGAAGAAUUUGAUCAUACUACAGGGCAAGGCUGAAAAAGGUCUACUGGUGUUACUAUGGAUCACCUCCAAUACGAAUGUCUCUGAGUCUUCUACUCAAAAUCAUGUUGUCAAUGUUAAAUCUAUUGUUUCAAAUGUGUCUAUCAUUCCUCUUUCAAUGCUUUCAGUUGUCAUUUCUGAUUCCAAUAAUAAAACAAUAGCAUUUGCUAAUUGUGUAAACUUUAAAUGUUUGUUAAGUGCAUCUAUUUUACAUCAAAGACCGGGGCAUCCAAACUCUAGAUUACUAAAUCAUGUUCUUCCUUUAAAAACAUCACUGGAAACAAAGCUUGUGAUUCAUGUGAUGCUUGUGAUUCAUGUGAUGCUUGUAAACUUGGCAAAAUGCACAAACUGCAUUUUCCAGUUACUGAAACUAAAACAAAGCAUCCUUUAGAAAUUCUUCAUACAGACCUGUAGGGACCAACUCUUAUACUUUCAACACAAGGAUACAGAUACUAUGUAAGCUUUGUUGAUGAUCUCACUAGGUUCUCAUGGUUCUUUCCUUUAAAAACUAAGGAUGAAACAUUACAAGUCUUCAAAAUCUUGAAAACUCAAAUUGCAAAACAACUAAAAAGGCCUAAUUUAAACAUUCAUGUCCUUAUACUCAUAACCAAAAUGGUCUAGUGGAGAGAAAACAUAGGCACAUCACAGAACUAGGUCCUACUUUACUUGCAGAGGCCAAUUUACCUCUUAAGCUCUUGUGAGAUUCUUUUCACACAGCUGCUUAUUUUAUCAAUAGAUUACCAACUCCCGCACUAUCUAUGAAAAGUCUUUAUGAGUCUAUCUUUCAUCUUAAACUAGAUUAUACCUUCUUUAGGACUUUUGGAUGCUCUUGUUUUCCUUUCCUUAGAGAUUAUACUAAACACAAGUUCCAGUCUCAUAUCAUCAACUUGGAACGGUAUGCAAUAGCUGCUGCAAUCCGCUGCUUUGUUGAAUAUGUUGCAUGUGUGUGCUCAAGUCAACAAUUUUAAAUUUUUGAAAAGUUAUAAUUUGGGUUUGGUAUACAUGCACUACGCAGCCGGGCAAUAAUGUGUUGGUUGUUUUCGGAUAUGGAGGAAAGAACAAAGAAAUUUCUUAGGAUUUGAGACGUGUUUGCACACUUUCCUUUAAGGUUUUAUUUGCCCUCACCAAAGUUGGUUUGCUAUAUAGUUUUAAUGGCAAAUUACCCCCAAGAUAUAACAAAUCCUGCUAACCGUUUUUCCAAUUGAUGUGAAAACGCGCUCUCUAGAAGAAAACAGUUAGCCGGUUUCUCAAUAACGGCGAGCCAUUUUAUUCCAAAAUGUCAAACAAGUUGCUCUCUGGAAAUAAACGGCUAGCAGUUUUCUGUAGAACAUAAAACAUGCUCUUUGGAAUUAAACGGUUAGUCAUUUUCGCCAGAAACGGCAAGCCGUUUUCUUCUAGAAUGUCAAACCAAAAUUAAAAAAUGUUACAAUCUCUCUUACAAUCCCCCACUAGAUUGUAUUAUUUUUCUAGAUUUAUUAAUGAUAAACUUAUACAUACAAAAAGGUAUCUUUCGAUUUUAACCUUUAAUUAGUGAGUAUAUUUCAAAGCAUUUACAAGACAAUAGUGUGCUAAGCAUUAAACUUUGUCUCUUAAGUAAAUACUGGAGAUACAUCACAUAUAAGCUAUCCCAGAUUUCAAAGUUAUGUUCCAAUAUUUAGCACUAUUUCGGCCUUGUGCUCUAUCUUGGAUUCAUGAACAUUUACAAGAUUAAACCACGAUCUUACUAGAAACGACACCAUUUCUUAUGUUCACUUAUGUGAAGUUUCAAAUCAUGUCUUUAGCUACUGUUGGUUAUUUUUAUAAUCAAUUGCUACCAAUGCCAAUGUGCAAGUAUACACAAUAAGUAAUAAAGUGAUGAAUAUUCAAGAUCGUCUCCAUAGGGAUUGAUGUUACUCGAAAUGCUAUAGCAAUCACAAUAGUGCAAAUCAACUUAAGGCCGAAGUUAACAAUCAUAAAUUAAGUCCUAUCGUAAUUGAUGAUUGUGAAAGAAUAAAGUAAAACAAUACCGUAAUGAAAUAAACUAGACUAAAUGUGUCUAAGAUUCAAUUGAGGUCAUGGUAGUUGAAUGAUCAAACUCUCCUUAUGGGCUGACUGUUUUUCAUCAAUUUAACACCAGUUGUUAUGGCAAGUACUGCAACACUGGGCAGAAUUAAUCUGCAUCCUCAGCUAUCGCAUAUUGGAAGUCUUAUAACCUUAAAUCUAUUAACAAUGACCAGUUGCUAAUCUACUUAUGGUAUGGCAUUAUCAUCUUUAGUCUCUUCACCUUACAAGGUGAGCACCUAUGUCUAGUAUGUCACAAAUCUUAACUUCAAGUAUAGCCCUUAUGGGAUUCAAGAUAACUUAAUCCAGGAAACUUAAAUUAAGACCAUGUAAUACUCUAAUAAUAUCCGCUAAGACAUGCCCUUUUAUGGCUCUAUCUCAACUUGAACUAUUAAAUGGGUGGUCAACUGAAAUAACAGUUAUAUUAAUAAUAGCUAUUAGAGUAAAAUGCUACAGCAAUGACAUAACAACAUAUAAGAACAGUCAAGAACCAAUUGGUUUGUUUGUCACUCAACUACAAGCAGAUCUAGUUCAUAUUCUGAAUAAGAAAAGCAAACAUAAAUAUGUUGUUCACGGGACACAUCAGAACAAUCAAAGGAAAAAGAUAAAUAUAAGUUGAGCACGGUGAAAGACAAAUCCAAAUAUGUCUGCCAGAUUCCUCAAUGUUGCCGAAACAACAAUCUUCAAUUAUGAUCUUCUUCUCCUUUCCUCUGUAAUUAUUCUAAUGAUAAUUAAUUUGCCGUCUUUCUAUGUUGUGCACGCUUCCCUUUUAUACUGCAAAUUAGGGUAAACAAGAGUCCAUGGGCGUGCAUGCGUUAAAUUAGGAAACAUGCAAAUCCCGAUUCUGUGGUUGACUCGCUCCUAAGUUUUCUCCCGCAUUGCUCUCAGAUUGCUACAGCACUGGUUGCUCUAACAUCCGCUACAACACUGCACUAUUCCCGAUUGUGCUUUACUUCUUUUGCGGCCAUCUUCUUUCCUCCUCUUGCUCAUCUAAAGUCUCACCAUCUCCUCAUGAAUUAAGACUUUCUGAAAACCUACAAUUAUGCACCUGUUUUUAGCACAAAUUACUUUGAUUCAAACAAAACUUAUUACAACUCAACUAAAAUGAAUGUUUAUGCAAAAUAUAACCAAAAUGUAAUAAAAAACACCUUAUUUGUUCUCUAAGUGAUCUUGAUUUAAGUUUAGAAUUGAUGUAAUAACUCUCAUUUCCUAGAGUUAUCACACUCCCAAACUUAAACCAUUACUUGUCCUCAAGUAAUGACAUAUACUAACACUUCACGCAAACAAUCAUGCAACACAACUUUAGCUCUUUUUUAUCAAAUUUGUAAGGAUUCUUCCACCUUCAGAUCACAAUCCCAAUCAUGCAAAAUGACCAUAGUAAAUCAGUUCUAGACUUAAGCUUCCUUCUGUCCAUAGUGUGUGUGUGCUCCUUUGAUUGAAUUCCAGAGAUGUUGUAACAUCACUAAGAGACUGCAUGAAUUUCAGCAGUGAUAACAUUUCAUUCAUAAAUGGGGUAGCAUAAAUUUCACAUACUCAAACUGUGAUGAUUUUAAGAUUGAUAAACUGGAGAGUAUUCAACCUCCUUACUGCAAUAUUUAUCUUUCAUGUGAAUGUCAAUAAAUUGUAAUGAACUGCUUGUCUUGUUUUUGCUUCUGGAAUAUUUUUGGGAAAGGUGGUGGAUGUCUAAACUGCUGGGUAGCUGCAGGAGGUACCAAACUCUGUUUGUUUGGUUUGGUGUAGGUCGUGGCUACUGGUGUUGCAACUUCUUUUUCAGCAUGUUCUAAUUGAAUUCCCUCUGAAUUUGUUGUAGCUUGGCCCUUGUAACCAAUGUCGUGAUGGGUGGGUUGUUGUAACAUGCUUCCAUUUUGAGGUGGUUUUUGUGUUGAAUUGAAUUACAUCCCAUUUUUUGUCACAUCAACUGGGAUAUCAACAUUCUUUCCAGAUCUCAAAUUAAUUACUUUGCAGUGUUCUUUACUCUCUCUCCUAAGGUCUUCUGUGUUGCUAGGUAAGCUUCCUUGAGUUCUGCUACUCAUUGUUGUAGCAAGUUGUCCCAUUUGGUUUUUCAGGUUUCUCAAUGAUACAGCUUGACUCUGCACAAUUGCUUCAUUCUUUGCAAUGUAUUCCUUAAUUAGUGCUUCUAGUGAAGUGAUUGGAUCCUGACUGAUAUGUUUUUUCUCAUGACUCUGCUGAUGAAAACCAGAUGGUUGAGUGUUCCUAUUUUGUCCAUUUAAUGCUGGACCAUUUCGAUUCUGACUGCUCCAAGAAAAAUUUGGAUGUUGCUUCCAGCCAGGGUUGUAAAUAUUUGAAUAUGGGUUGUUCUGAGGUUGUCGAUUGAAAUUACCCACAUAGUUUACUGAAGCUGGAUUCCAGGACAAUUAUCAAAGUCGUGUUCUUCACCACAAUAUACACAAAAAAGUUCAGCAACUUGCUUUACUGUUGCUGGAGCAGAUGUCAUGGCCUUUACCAUGUUAGUCAAUGAGGUUACUUGUGCUGAUAAGACUGUAAUUGCAUCUAUGUUAUGUACCCCUGUUGAUCCUCUUGCUACUGGUUGCCUGGCUGAAGGCCACUGAUAAUUAUUAUUGGCAAUUCUCUCUAGAAUUUCAUAAGCUUCAGUGUAAGAUUUGGAUAACAGGGCUCUAUUUGCUGAAGCAUCCACCAUUAACCUUGUACUCGGUUUCAACCCAUUGUAGAAAGUUUCCAAUUGAAUGCAACAAGGAAUGCCAUGAUGAGGACACCUUCUGAGCAGUUCUUUGAAUCUUUCCCAAGCCUCGUACAAACUCUCAUCUUCAAGUUGAUGGAAGGAAGUAAUCUCAUUCCGCAACUUUGCAUUUUUUGUUGGUGGGAAAUAUUUCAUUAGGAAUUUAUCAGCCAACUCAUUCCAUGUAGUGAUGGAAUCAGAUGGUAACGAAUUUAACCAUGCUCUUGCUCGAUCUCUUAAGGAAUAAGGAAAAAGCCUCAGCCUUAAGGCAUCUUGUGUUGUUCCAGCAAUCUUGAAAGCAUCACUCACUUCCAAGAACAAUUUAAGAUAGAGGUGAGGAUCUUUAUUUGGCAAUCUAUUGAAUUGACCAACUGUUUAUAACAUUUGAAACAUCACUGGUUUCAACUCAAAAUUUGCAGCUUCUACUUCAGGUCUGAUUAUCCCAGGGUGUACAAAUUCAGGAGUUAACACGGCAUAAUCUCUAAUAGCUAUGUCUCUGUCAUCAGCCAUGUAAAUAAUUUUGUUAUUGUCUGGCUGUCUCUUGUUAACAUGUUCGUUCUGCUCUUCUUGAAUGUUGACUGGUUGUAAGGGCCCGUGAGGGUUCAAAUUUCCCACAUCCUGCAAGUUAUUCAUUCUUGAAAUAGUUUUUGAAUUCCUUUAUUCUCUUCGCAAUCUCCUGACAGUCAUUUCAAUCUCAGGAUCGAAUUGGAAUACCGCAGAUCUGUCUUUGCGCAUGCACGUACUGAUCUGCCAAUAAAUAGAAUGAAUCAAAUCAAAUUUGGCGCUAUCAAGAUUUACUUCACACUUCAAAAAUAAACAAUCAAUCCCCGGCAACGGCGCCAAAAACUUGUUGGUUAUUUUUAUAAUCAAUUACUACCAAUGCCAAUGUGCAAGUAUACACAACAAGUAAUAUCAAUUACUACCAAUGCCAAUGUGCAAGUAUUUUUAUAAUCAAUUACUACCAAUGCCAAUGUGCAAGUAUACACAACAAGUAAUAAAGUGAUGAAUAUUCAAGAUCGUCUCCACAGGGAUUGAUGUUACUCGAAAUGCUAUAGCAAUCACAAUAGUGCAAAUCAACUUAAGGCCGAAGUUAAUAAUCAUAAAUUAAGUCCUAUCGUAAUUAAUGAUUGUGAAAGAAUAAAGUAAAACAAUACCGUAAUGAAAUAAACUAGAUUAAAUGUGUCUAAGAUUCAAUUGAGGUCAUGGUAGUUGAAUGAUCAAACUCUCCUUAUGAGCUGACUGCUUUUCAUCAAUUUAACACCAGUUGUUAUGGCAAGUGCUGCAACACUUGGCAGAAUUAAUCUGCAUCCUUAGCUAUCGCAUAUUGGAAGUCUCAUACCCUUAAAUCUAUUAACAAUGACCAAUUGCUAAUCUACUUAUGGUAUGGCAUUAUGAUCUUUAGUCUCUCCACCCUACAAGGUGAGCACCUAUGUCUAGUGUGUCACAAAUCUUAACUUCAAGUAUAGCCCUUAUGGGAUUCAAGAUAACUUAAUCCAAGAAAAUUAAAUUAAGACCAAGUAAUACUCUAAUAAUAUCCGCUAAGACAUGCCCUUUUGCGGCUCUAUCUCAACUUGAACUAUUAAAUGGGUGGUCAACCGAAAUAACAGUUAUCUUAAUAAUAGCUAUUAGAGUAAAAUGCUACAGCAAUGACAUAACACAUAAGAACAGUCAAGAACCAAUUGGUUUGUUUGUCACUCAACUACAAGCAGAUCUAGUUCAUAUUCUGAAUAAGAAAAGCAAACAUAAAUAUGUUGUUCACGGGAUACAUUAGAACAAUCAAAGGAAAAAGAUAAAUAUAAGUUGAGCACGGUGAAAGACAAAUCCAAAUAAGUCUGCCAGAUUCCUCAAUGUUGCCGAAACAGUAAUCUUCAAUGAUAAUCUUCUUCUCAUUUCCUCUGUAAUUAUUCUAAUGAUAAUUCCUUUGCCGCCUUUCUAUGUUGUGCAAGCUUCCCUUUUAUACGGUAAAUUAGGGUAAACAAGAGCCCAUGGGCGUGCAUGCGUUAAAUUAGGAAACAUGCAAAUCCUGAUUUUGUGGCUGACCCGCGCCUACGUUUUCUCCCGCAUUGCUCUCAGAUUGCUACAGCACUGGUUGCUCUAACAUCCGCUACAACACUGCACUAUUCCCGAUUGUGCUUUACUUCUUUUGCAGCCAUCCCCUUUUGAUUUAAGACUUUCUGAAUACCUACAAUUAUGCACUUGUUUUUAGCACAAAUUACUUUAAUUCAAACAAAACUUAUUACAACUCAACUAAAAGGAAUGUUUAUGCAAAAUAUAACCAAAAUGUAAUAAAUACACCUUAUUUGUUCUCUAAGUGAUCUUGAUUUAAGUCUAGAAUUGAUGUAAUAACUCUAAUUUCCUAGAGUUAUCAGCUACUGCAAGACUUGAACUUUAUUAAGAGUAAAUACUCAACCUCAACCUCGUAGUUAUUUGCACCGAACAUCUCAAAUGAGAUUAUUUAUUUUUGGUGCCAAACCAGUCACAUAACAACAACUUGUUGUUACCCAUUUAACUAUGGAAUAGCGGUAUACCUAUUACAUAGUUGGGUUACCGUCAUUGGUGACUUUAUUAAUGAAAGGUUUCAAUCCCAUUUCAAAAGAUGUAUCCUUAACUAAGUCUCUUGAAAGACCUUUUGUUAAAGAAUCUGCUAGGUUCUUAUUAGUCCUAACAUAAACAAUAUUAAUAACAUCAUCUGCUAUUAAUUGUUUUACAUAUUCAUGUCUCAAGCUAAUAUGUCUAGACUUUCCAUUAUACACUUUAUUAUAAGCUCUAGACAAUGUAGCUUCACUAUCGCAGUACAAAGAAAUAGAUGGUAUCGGUUGUGGCCACAACAUUAUAUCAAACAACAAAUUUCUCAGCCAUUCUGCUUCUUUGCCUGCAGCUAUAAAUGCUAUAAACUCACUUUCCAUUGUUGAGUGAGUUAUGCACGAUUGUUUCUUUGAAGCCCAAGAAACCGCUCCUCCAGCAAUUGUAAAAAUCCAACCAGAAGUGGAUUUAUUAUCUCUUGUAUUAGUUACGCAACUAGCAUAUGAAUAUCCUUCCAGUACUUCAGGAUAAUCAUUAUAAAACAAACCCAAAUUAAUGGUCCUUUUAAGAUAACCAAGUAUCCUACCAAUUGCUUUCCAGUAUUCAACACCAGGGUUACUCGUGAAUCUUGACAUUUUGUAAACUGCAAAUGCUAUAUUAGGCCUCGUACAAUGCAUAGCAUACAUCAAGCUACCAAUAGCACUAGCAUAUUCUAGUUGUGCUACUACUCGGCCUGAAUUCUUUAGUGAUUUAAUACAGAAUCAUAUGGGGUAUUAGCUUCUUUAAAUUUCAAAUAAUUGAAUUUAAGAAGCACUUUCUCUAUAUAAUGAGAUUGACACAACGAGUAACCCCCACUAUGUUCUUCACUUUGAACACCUAAGAUAGUAUCUACUUCACCAAGAUCUUUCAUCUUAAAUUGUGAAGUUAAAUACUUCUUUGUAUCAUUUACUCCUUGCAUAUUUGUUCCAAAGAUAAGCAAGUCAUCAACAUACAAGCAUAUAAUCACACCAAAAUCAUUCGUAAAUUUAAAAUAUAUACAUUUAUCACCAUUAUUAUGCUUAAAACCAUGAGAUAAGAUUACCGAAUCAAACUUCUCAUGCCAUUGUUUUGGUGCUUGCUUUAAACCAUAAAGUGACUUGACUAACUUGCAUACUUUUUUCUCAUUUCCAGGCAAAACAAAUCCCUCAAGUUGUUCCAUAUAGAUUUCUUCAUCAAGAUCACCAUUAAGGAAAGCAGUUUUAACAUCCAUUUGAUGCACAUACAAAUUGAUCAAUGAAGUAAUUGCAAAUAGCACUCUUAUAGAAGUUAACCUUGCUACCUGCUGUACCGUAUAUCCGCCUUGGCCGUACAGCAGUUGAAUUGAUUUUUUUUUCUUUUCGUUGAUUUGAUUUCUCUUUGAUCGAAUCCAUUUCAUCAUUUACCGCCUCUCUCCAAAAGGAAACGUCUCUAGAAGACAUAGCUCCGCUAAAUGUCUUUACAUCCUUUUCAAUAUUUAACGACAAUGGUACUUUGUUAAGUACAUUCUUUCUACCCCUUUCAACCAAGAAGAGUAGUGCUUGUGAUUAAAUAAAAUUCGGAGCUAAACUCUUUUCUUUCUUUUCACGUUGACUCCUCCUUGGUUCGAAAGAUGUCAUAGACUCUUUCCUUUUAUUGUUAUUAGUGGAGGUAUCAGGAGUAUUAUCACUUGGUUGAUCAAUAAUUGAUUCUAAUUCAAUAUUGGAAUCAUGUUGAAAUUUAUUUUCAAUAAAUUCAACAUCUCUAGAUUCCACAAUCACAUUAGAAUCUAAAUUUAACAACCUAUAAGCUUUGGAAUUUUCAGCAUAGCUUAUGAAAACACUUUCUAUACCUCUAUCACCUAACUUUGAUGAUUUAGGAUCAUGUAUUUGACAAAAGGCUAAACAACCCCAGGCCCUUAAAUACAUCAAGUUUGGUUUUCUUCCUUUCCAAAUUUCAUAAGGAGAUACACGUGUUUUCAAAUAUGUAAUUCUAUUAUGAAUAUGACAUGCAGUGAGUAAUGAUUCCCCCCACAAAUUAUUUGGUAGUUUUGCAUUAAGGAUCAUGGAAUUUAUCAUAUCUGCAAAUAUCCUAUUCUUCCUUUCAGCCAAACCAUUUUGUUGAGGAGUAAAUGGAGCUAAUCUUUGGUGAAUAAUUUCAAAUUCUUCACAAUAAUUAUUAAAUUCAAUUGAGAAAUAUUCACCACUUCUAUCACUUUGAACCAUUUUGAUUUUCUUAUCUUUUUUGUUCUCAACUUCAACUUUGAAAAUUUUAAAUUUAUCAAAAGCUUCAUCUUUUGUUCUAAGUAAAUACACAUAAGUGUAUCUAGAACAAUCAUCAAUAAAAGUGAUAAAGUACCUUUUACCUCCUCUUGUUAAAAUGCCAUUAUACUCACAAAUAUCAGUAUGUAUUAAAUCCAAUAUUUGAGUAUUUCAUUCGGCUUUAGGAAAAGGUUUCUUAGUUAAUUUGGCUUGGAUGUAGAUUUCACACUUAUGACCUUUAACAUCAUUGCAAUUAAUCAACCCAUGCUUAGACAUGUAUUUCAAAGAUCUAAAAUUCAAAUGUGCUAAUCUAGCAUGCCAAACAUCACAAGACUCAACAAUAUAAGCUAAGUUGAUAUUAUUAUCAUUGAUGCUGAGUUUGUACAUUCCAUCACAAGAAUACCCUUUCCCAACAAACAUCCCAUUCUUUGAAACAAUACAAGUAUUACCCUCAAGCACAAUCUUAAGCCCAUGCUUACACAUAGAACUAGCAGAAACAAGAUUCUUCCUAACGGAAGGUACAUGAAAGACAUUAUACAAUGUAACUUUCUUUCCAGAAGUGAAGUUGAUCUCAACUACUCCUUUCCCUGCUACCAUGGUUGCAUUAUUGUUCCCCAUGAGAACCAUUUGUCCUUCCGUUUCUUUUUUGUAUGAUAAGAAAAUUUUCUUAUCAUUACAAACAUGAAUUAUUGCAUCCGAAUUGAGCCACCAAUCAUAGGACUUAGUUUAAGCCAUAUUGGUUUCGGUAAUCAUGCCAAGUUGCAUUUCAGAAACCAUAUCAUAAAUCUCUUCAGAUUUGUCUUCAAUAACAUUAACUUUAUAGGAAUUCACUUCUUCCUUUUUCUUCUUGAAUCUGCAAUCACUUUGGCGAUGGCCUUUCUUGCAACAAAAGAAACAAUUUUCAGAAAACUUUUGUGUGCUGGACUUCUUGAAUUUCUUGUCAUUCUUGACUUUAAAAUUCUUUGAAAAUUUACUAGCUUCAACAACAUUAACCUUAGUAGAAUCAUGCUCAUCCUUAGAUUUGUGAGACCUUGUCUCUUCUUCGAUUACCAAGUGUUUUUGUAAUUCUUCUAAAGUUAUGUUCUCUUUACUAUGAAGGAGUUUCUUUCUAUAAUCAUUUUAACUUUGAGGAAUUUAGCAAUAAUAGCCCCAACUUGAAAUGAUUCAGAAAUUUUAACUUUUAACUCUCGAAGCUUAGCAACUAUAAUUUAACUCAUGUAUUUGAUCAAGAAUGGAUUUUGUGUCUACCAUAAUAAAUUCAAAAUAUUUAGAGAAAAGAAAUUUAUCAGUACCUUCCUUCUCCGUUUUAUAUUUGUACUCAAGAGCAUUCCAAAUUUCCACUGGAGAAGCCAUAGAAUUUUAGAGAUCAUAGAGCCUGUCAGAAAGUGUAUUGAGUAUGUGACCCCGACACAUCAACUCAUCAUCUUCACGCCUUUUUCUUGUAGCCUUAACAAUUUAUGUAUCAUCUUCUUUUGGUUCUGAAAACGGUUCCAAUUUUAGAUCAAGAACAUAUGCCACUUUAAGAACAGUAAGGAGAAAUAACAAUUUCCCUUUCCAACGAGUGAAAUUAGUGCCAUCAAAACGAUCGAGAUGGACACUAGGAUUAAGAAAUGAAGUUAAAUUCUUCUCAACCUCCAUUUGUAACAAAUAAAACCUUAAAGAUUGUUGGUUGAUUUUCGGAUAUGGAGGCAAAAAACAAAGAAAUUUCUUAGGAUUUGAGACGAGUUUGCACACUUUCCUUUAAGGUUUUAUUUGUCCUCACCAAAGUUGGUUUGCUAUGUAGUUUUAAUGGAAAAUUACCCCCAAGAUAUAACAAAUCUUGAAUACAAUCUCUAACAAAUAAGAUUGUAUUCCAGAACUCAAGGAAAUCUGUAAUCAAUAUGGUAUAUUUGAUCUAAUGUAUGUAUCUAUUUUAAUGAAGAACAUGUUUAUAUGAAAGAUUACAACCAUUAGAAAUGAUACUUCUUCAAAGACACCCUUUUGGUUUGAAAUUUGCAUCCAUUCACAAUUGAAUUUUCAAGCCUGCUAACCGUUUUUCUAGUUGAUGUGAAAACACGCUCUCUGGAAGAAAACGGUUAGCCUGUUUCUCAAUAACGACGAGCCGUUUUAUUCCAGAAUGUCAAACAAGUUGCUCUCUGGAAAUAAACUGUUAGCCGUUUUCUCCAAACGGUUAGCCGUUUUCUCCAAACGGUUAGCCGUUUUCUGUAGAACAUAAAACAUGCUCUCUGGAAUUAAACGAUUAGCCGUUUUCGCCAGAAACGGCAAGCCGUUUUCUUCCAGAAUGUCAAACCAAAAUUGAAAAUUGUUACAAUCUCUCUUACAUAAUGUAGCUAAUAAGAACUGGAUUAAUUUCAUCCAUGCUCGCAUGAUAAUUCUCCUAUUGCUGCCGGCAAAUUCCUAGAAUUUUGCAUACAUAUUCAACAGUUAAAACUCAUUUUUUCUCUGUUCAUUGAUUCAAUUGAUAAGAUCUUUUGGAUUUGUUCGAAUAUUGCAUGCAUGAUGUAAGACAUCGUGUAGCUAGUGCUGGCUUUGGUAUGGUUGUAUAUUUUUUUUGGGCUAGAGAUACGUUCGAUUUGUCAGUAUAAUAUAUUGUUUUGAAAACCGCAAUGAAAGAUUAAAAAAGGGCCUUCCCAUUAAAAAAGAUUCAACAGUUACCAAAUUCUGCUAUUUCGAACUUCUAAAUUUCAUUUGGAGUAUUUUUAUAACAUUGUUCAAAACUUAGCGAGUACUGUAAUAAACUUAUCAUAAAGGUUAAAAAUAUAGUAGGGAAAACAUUACUAUCGUCAUCACUCAUUUUAAUUUUCUUCAAUUGGAAAAAGUAUGUGUAAGAAUUUUUUAUACUACGUGGCAUUACGUAAUUCAAUUAGAUAGGAUUCGUAGAUGUGAAGAGUUUGGUUAGAUUCUUUCUUGUAAUGAUGAUUAUGAUAGAUCGGCACAUAAUACUUGACGGUAGAAAAUUUUGCAGCACGUAACCACUUCAUUAAGAAUUAGUCGUUGUUAUUUAACCAAGACUCUAAUCCCACUCAAUGACUUAUGUGGUUGAUUUACUUUCAAAAAUUUUAAAAUAUAACAAAUAAUGCACUUGAACUACGCUUGCACUAUAAUAAGGUGGCGUUUGUUUUUUAACUUAAUGACUUAAAGUGACUUAACUUAAUUAAUUAAGUUAAUUAGAGGUGUUUGUUUUUAUAACUUAAUGAGACUUUUUAGAUAAUUUUGACUUAAUAAAAUAAGCUAAUUUUUUUGGCUUUUUACUUAAUGGAGAAAUCUGAAUUAAGUCAAUUACUUGCUAAUGUCAAAAAUAUCCAUAUUUUAUAAUUUAUUUUUCAUGUCUAUUCCAAAACUCACCUAUAGAUAUUUACCCCACAUAAAAAUCACUUGAACUACGCUUGCACUACAAAUAUAAGAUUCCUGUUUGAUAAAAGAUAAAAUAAAAUAAAAUAAAAUUCAAUUAAUAUCCAACACAUUAUAAAAAACGAUUAGUGACAUAUCAGUUACAACGGCACACACUAUGUAACUACAAAAAGUGAGUAGUUCUGAAAAUCUCAAUUUUUAGGGCCCAGCCUUAGAAAUAUUUGCGCACCUGCUUAAAACAUAAUAAAAAACAGUAAAGAAUCAAAACGAACAUUCACUAUUCUGGAAGUUGGAGUUUGUCAAUGAAAUUUUUAGAUAAUAUAAUAAUAUACAAAUAGAUUGUCAUGACUCAGUAUUUCAAAAACAAUGUGUUGACGUAAGCAAAUGAAGAAGAAAAUGUACUGAGAUGACAAGUUUCCUCAGUUUUUACAGAGUCACAGAUGAACAAUUGAAGACUGGGCAAGCCUUCAUCGAUCUGCUCCGAGCAGGGAAAACAAGACCGGUUCAAUAAAUCCUCAUCUAUAAAUAGGGUUGCUAACCUUGCAACAUUUCUCACCCCACACUAAACCAAUAAUAAUAAGUUCAGAGAUUAGACAGAGUGAGAUCCCAAAGCUAGCUAGCUAGUUAAACACAAUGAGAAGUGUUCAAUUUCUUACUGGUUUUGCUCUCUUGAUUUUGGCUUCUUCAUUGGCCUCUGCCUUUGACCCUAGUCCUCUUCAGGAUAUCUGUGUAGCCAUUGAUGAGCCCAAGAACGCAGGUAUAUUUUUUACACUUUAAUUUUCUCUGUCCUAAAAAAUCUUUUAAACUUGUUUAUGUAUACGUGUACGUUGGUCUCAAAUUCACCUUACUAAUUAAUAUUCUGAAUUCUUGGACGCAGUCUUUGUCAACGGGAAGUUCUGCAAGGACCCCAAGCUUGCCAGGCCAGGAGAUUUCUUCUUAUCAGGGCUAGACAAGCCUGGAAACACAGCAAACCGACUUGGUUUCAGUGUAAAAAAUGCAAAUGUUGAGCAAAUUCCGGGACUCAACACUCUCGGAAUAUCAGCAGUCCGUAUAGACUAUGCACCCUAUGGCCAAAACCCUCCUCACACUCACCCUCGUGCCACUGAAAUCCUGACGGUCUUGGAAGGAACACUUUAUGUCGGUUUUGUGACAUCUAACCAGCUAAACAACACACUCAUUGCAAAAGUUCUGAAAAAGGGAGAUGUUUUCGUGUUUCCAAUUGGUUUGAUUCACUUCCAGUUCAACAUUGGAAAAACAAAUGCAGUUGCCAUCGCUGCUCUAAGCAGCCAGAAUCCUGGUGUCAUUACCAUUGCAAACUCGGUCUUCGGAGCCAAUCCUCCGAUCAAUCCUGAUUUUCUUGCCAAGGCAUUCCAGCUGGACGUAGAUGUGGUGAAAGAUCUUGAGGCUAAGUUCUAAAUGUGUAGCUUAUUUGAAUAAUCAUGCCAUUUAUAUAUGUUUCUCGUUCUAAUUAUUGUCAUUAUCAGUUAGUUUUGAUGUAAUAAAGAGAUUCGUACAUGUGUACCUGUCUCAAGUCAGCUUUGUUUGAUUUCCUAAUUAACCCGUAAUUAAAUAAUGUAUUUUUCGUUCAUUGUGAUCAAUGAUCUCUUAUCUGAUCUCGGAUUAUUAUUAUUAUUAUCAUUAUUUUUGAACACGGUGAUUGGUGAACAUGUAGACUGAUAUAAAGAUUCACGUCUAGCAACUAGCAGAUGUGUUCGCACUUGCAAUCAAGGAUUCAACAAGUUGAGAUGCAUUCAAGAGCAUGUCAUCCUUGCACAUCUUAGAAAUCACAGUUCUCCAUGUAUCAAAAUCAAUAACGUUCCCCUUAAUCAGGGUAUNNNNNNNNNNNNNNNNNNNNNNNNNNNNNNNNNNNNNNNNNNNNNNNNNNNNNNNNNNNNNNNNNNNNNNNNNNNNNNNNNNNNNNNNNNNNNNNNNNNNNNNNNNNNNNNNNNNNNNNNNNNNNNNNNNNNNNNNNNNNNNNNNNNNNNNNNNNNNNNNNNNNNNNNNNNNNNNNNNNNNNNNNNNNNNNNNNNNNNNNNNNNNNNNNNNNNNNNNNNNNNNNNNNNNNNNNNNNNNNNNNNNNNNNNNNNNNNNNNNNNNNNNNNNNNNNNNNNNNNNNNNNNNNNNNNNNNNNNNNNNNNNNNNNNNNNNNNNNNNNNNNNNNNNNNNNNNNNNNNNNNNNNNNNNNNNNNNNNNNNNNNNNNNNNNNNNNNNNNNNNNNNNNNNNNNNNNNNNNNNNNNNNNNNNNNNNNNNNNNNNNNNNNNNNNNNNNNNNNNNNNNNNNNNNNNNNNNNNNNNNNNNNNNNNNNNNNNNNNNNNNNNNNNNNNNNNNNNNNNNNNNNNNNNNNNNNNNNNNNNNNNNNNNNNNNNNNNNNNNNNNNNNNNNNNNNNNNNNNNNNNNNNNNNNNNNNNNNNNNNNNNNNNNNNNNNNNNNNNNNNNNNNNNNNNNNNNNNNNNNNNNNNNNNNNNNNNNNNNNNNNNNNNNNNNNNNNNNNNNNNNNNNNNNNNNNNNNNNNNNNNNNNNNNNNNNNNNNNNNNNNNNNNNNNNNNNNNNNNNNNNNNNNNNNNNNNNNNNNNNNNNNNNNNNNNNNNNNNNNNNNNNNNNNNNNNNNNNNNNNNNNNNNNNNNNNNNNNNNNNNNNNNNNNNNNNNNNNNNNNNNNNNNNNNNNNNNNNNNNNNNNNNNNNNNNNNNNNNNNNNNNNNNNNNNNNNNNNNNNNNNNNNNNNNNNNNNNNNNNNNNNNNNNNNNNNNNNNNNNNNNNNNNNNNNNNNNNNNNNNNNNNNNNNNNNNNNNNNNNNNNNNNNNNNNNNNNNNNNNNNNNNNNNNNNNNNNNNNNNNNNNNNNNNNNNNNNNNNNNNNNNNNNNNNNNNNNNNNNNNNNNNNNNNNNNNNNNNNNNNNNNNNNNNNNNNNNNNNNNNNNNNNNNNNNNNNNNNNNNNNNNNNNNNNNNNNNNNNNNNNNNNNNNNNNNNNNNNNNNNNNNNNNNNNNNNNNNNNNNNNNNNNNNNNNNNNNNNNNNNNNNNNNNNNNNNNNNNNNNNNNNNNNNNNNNNNNNNNNNNNNNNNNNNNNNNNNNNNNNNNNNNNNNNNNNNNNNNNNNNNNNNNNNNNNNNNNNNNNNNNNNNNNNNNNNNNNNNNNNNNNNNNNNNNNNNNNNNNNNNNNNNNNNNNNNNNNNNNNNNNNNNNNNNNNNNNNNNNNNNNNNNNNNNNNNNNNNNNNNNNNNNNNNNNNNNNNNNNNNNNNNNNNNNNNNNNNNNNNNNNNNNNNNNNNNNNNNNNNNNNNNNNNNNNNNNNNNNNNNNNNNNNNNNNNNNNNNNNNNNNNNNNNNNNNNNNNNNNNNNNNNNNNNNNNNNNNNNNNNNNNNNNNNNNNNNNNNNNNNNNNNNNNNNNNNNNNNNNNNNNNNNNNNNNNNNNNNNNNNNNNNNNNNNNNNNNNNNNNNNNNNNNNNNNNNNNNNNNNNNNNNNNNNNNNNNNNNNNNNNNNNNNNNNNNNNNNNNNNNNNNNNNNNNNNNNNNNNNNNNNNNNNNNNNNNNNNNNNNNNNNNNNNNNNNNNNNNNNNNNNNNNNNNNNNNNNNNNNNNNNNNNNNNNNNNNNNNNNNNAGUUGGAUUAGGUUCUUUCUUGUAAUGAUGAUUAUGAUAGAUCGGCACAUAAUACUUGACGGUAGAAAAUUUUGCAGCACGUAACCACUUCAUUAAGAAUUAGUCGUUGUUAUUUAACCAAGACUCUAAUCCCACUCAAUGACUUAAUGAUAAAACCUCCCUUCGGACUCAUUUAGGUAACAUUCAAGUCUGUCGGUGUGAAUUAUGUGGUUGAUUUACUUUCAAAAUUUUAAAAAUAUAACAAAUAAUGCACUUGAACUACGCUUGCACUACAAAUAUAAGUUUAGAUUCCUGUUUGAUAAAAGAUAAAAUAAAAUAAAAUUCAAUUAAUAUCCAACACAUUAUAAAAAACGAUUAGUGACAUAUCAGUUACAACGGCACACACUAUGUAACUACAAAAAGUGAGUAGUAGUUCUGAAAAUUUCAAUUUUUAGGGCCCAGCCUUAAAAAUAUUUGCGCACCUGCUUAAAACAUAAUAAAAAACAGUAAAGAAUCAAAACGAACAUUCACUAUUCUGGAAGUUGGAGUUUGUCAAUGAAAUUUUUAGAUAAUAUAAUAAUAUACAAAUAGAUUGUCAUGACUCAGUAUUUCAAAAACAAUGUGUUGACGUAAGCAAAUGAAGAAGAAAAUGUACUGAGAUGACAAGUUUCCUCAGUUUUUACAGAGUCACAGAUGAACAAUUGAAGACUGGGCAAGCCUUCAUCGAUCUGCUCCGAGCAGGGAAAACAAGACCGGUUCAAUAAAUCCCCAUCUAUAAAUAGGGUUGCUAACCUUGCAACAUUUCUCACCCCACACUAAACCAAUAAUAAUAAGUUCAGAGAUUAGACAGAGUGAGAUCCCAAAGCUAGCUAGCUAGUUAAACACAAUGAGAAGUGUUCAAUUUCUUACUGGUUUUGCUCUCUUGAUUUUGGCUUCUUCAUUGGCCUCUGCCUUUGACCCUAGUCCUCUUCAGGAUAUCUGUGUAGCCAUUGAUGAGCCCAAGAACGCAGGUAUAUUUUUUACACUUUAAUCUUCUGUCCUAAAAAAUCUUUUAAACUUGUUUAUGUAUACGUGUACGUUGGUCUGAAAUUCACCUUACUAAUUAAUAUUCUGAAUUCUUGGACGCAGUCUUUGUCAACGGGAAGUUCUGCAAGGACCCCAAGCUUGCCAGGCCAGGAGAUUUCUUCUUAUCAGGGCUAGACAAGCCUGGAAACACAGCAAACCGACUUGGUUUCAGUGUAAAAAAUGCAAAUGUUGAGCAAAUUCCGGGACUCAACACUCUCGGAAUAUCAGCAGUCCGUAUAGACUAUGCACCCUAUGGCCAAAACCCUCCUCACACUCACCCUCGUGCCACUGAAAUCCUGACGGUCUUGGAAGGAACACUUUAUGUCGGUUUUGUGACAUCUAACCAGCUAAACAACACACUCAUUGCAAAAGUUCUGAAAAAGGGAGAUGUUUUCGUGUUUCCAAUUGGUUUGAUUCACUUCCAGUUCAACAUUGGAAAAACAAAUGCAGUUGCCAUCGCUGCUCUAAGCAGCCAGAAUCCUGGUGUCAUUACCAUUGCAAACUCGGUCUUCGGAGCCAAUCCUCCCAUCUAACCAGCUAAACAACACACUCAUUGCAAAAGUUCUGAAAAAGGGAGAUGUUUUCGUGUUUCCAAUUGGUUUGAUUCACUUCCAGUUCAACAUUGGAAAAACAAAUGCAGUUGCCAUCGCUGCUCUAAGCAGCCAGAAUCCUGGUGUCAUUACCAUUGCAAACUCGGUCUUUGGAGCCAAUCCUCCAAUCAAUCCUGAUUUUCUUGCCAAGGCAUUCCAGUUGGACGUAGAUGUGGUGAAAGAUCUUGAGGCUAAGUUCUAAAUGUGCAGCUUAUUUGAAUAAUCAUGCCAUUUAUAUAUGUUUCUCGUUCUAAUUAUUGUCAUUAUCAGUUAGUUUUGAUGUAAUAAAGAGAUUCGUACAUAUGUACCUCUCUCAAGUCAGCUUUGUUUGAUUUCCUAAUGAACCCUUAAUUAAAUAAUGUAUUUUUCGUUCAAUGUGAUCAAUGAGCUCUUAUCUGAUCUCGGAUUAUUAUAAUAAUUUUUUUUGUGAUGGGGGGCCACAGAUAAUUGUUCGUACCUGUGCCGACCUAGAGGGCCCUUAUCGGGGGAGAUUUUCAAAUUAUAUAUGGACUAAUCUGAAGGAUUCUCAAAAGGUCUCACAAAAGACGUAUUUAUAUAAAGUUCUGGGUUAUGCUAAAAGACAAGAUAUUCAAUAAGUAUGCCAAAUCUCCGCUGGCUAACCAGUUACACGUACCUGAGAAUCGUUCAUAAUGAUUUUGAGAUUACUGCACAAACCAUCCAGAACUGCAAUUGCUUUCAGAUUGAAGCUAAUAAACAACUCCUUCAUUCUAUCAAGCUUUCCGCACGUUAAUAGUGCAUUCAACAACGUGUUGAGAGAUUUGACCGUCCUUUGAACAUUAAAACUCGGCAUUUCAUCAAACACUUGGAGUGCGUGUUCGAGUAAUCGCGCACGUCCAUAAAAGCUAAUAACAUUGCAGAAAAUUAUUUCCUCGGGAAUAACACGGGUGUCGUGUUUGAGCUGGUGAAGGAUUUGCUGCAUUUCGUCAAACAUCUUGGCUCGGCCAAGCUUAGUGAUGAUAAGGUCAUAGUGAAGGAGAUUGUAGCGAAAGGGUUUUAAUGGAGGGGCUUCAGUGUCAUUGGCAUUAGGAUUAGGGUUUUUGAAGAGUUGCAGAGCGAGUUUCGGGUGUUUUUGGAGGUGAAGAAGAGAGGCGAGCCUGAAGGGAGAUGUGGGUUUUGCUUUAUUCAUGUAGUUUUUUUAGAUGGGGUACUGAAACUUGGAAACGCAGUUAAUAAACAUUAAAGAUUGCCUUAUUCAGGUAGUUUUGUCUAGUCAUAUUUUUUAAAUUUUUAUUAGUCGAUCACAAAGUUUGAGAGACUCUUUUAUCUCACAAAUAUCACAUUUUCCUUAUGAACAGAAAAAAUUUGUACACACAUAAUCUUGAUUUUCUGAAAUAUAAGCAUGAAAUCAUUUUCUUAAAUAUUGACGGUGUAAUCAAGACUAUUAUGUGAUUUAUUCAUUCAUAUAUAAAAUGGCAAGAAUUAAAAUCAUUAAGGUAUAUACAUGUGGUCAUUAUGUCAUACUUGUAUGAAAAUAAUAUUUUACAACACCCAAAGUGCUUGUCUGCCCAAUACUUUAUGUCCUCUUUUGAGCAUUUUCAUAUAUAUAAAUAUAAGUAAAGUAUUAAAGAGAAGAAGCAGUUAAGUGAUUAAAACUCGAUUGAAACGUUCAACCUAUCAUGCAAUCAAAUAAAUCAUCGGGUCAUUGCUAAUUUUUAUUUUUAUUCAAUAAUCUUAGAGAUUCCAAUGUUUUAGUUUCAACUUCAUUCCUGAUUCUAUGUGUCAUUUAUUUAUUAAAUGAUGGAUUUCACAACUUGUACAUUUCUUUAAUUACUAUCUAAUGGAUGAAUGCUACAUCAACUAAGACUUAAAUUGAAACUCAAAUGUUAGGAUGCCUAACUCAAAUAUUAAUGCUACUUGUGCACUUGGUUAAAAACAAAAGAUUGUUACUUGUACACAACGGCCACGUAAAUAAAUUGAGAAACAUCCCCAGUUUUAUCAGAGGAAAUUUAUAUAUUGACCUUAAUUAAAUACUAAAUAAUAUUAGACUUUAUGAUGGUCUCAGUCACUAAAGUCUUUGCAAAUUGAAUUCAUCAAUGAAAAUGGAUGCUUUACAGGCGACUCAAUCCCAAGAAAAUCAUGAAGGAAGUUAUGAUUCGAGAUGAAGAUGAUGAUGAUUAUUUUUCUUUUUCUCUUAGUAAAUGGAUGCACAGUUAGGAUAAUAAUUUUGUUUUCAAAAAAUUUGUACACACAUAAUCUUGAUUUUCUUAAAUAUAAGAGCGCAAUCAUUUUCUUAAAUAUUGACAGUGUAAUCAAGACUAUUAUGUGAUUCAUUCAUUCAUAUAUAAAAUGGCAAGAAUUAAUGUUGCGUUUACUUCAUGCAAUGAGACUGGGGUAGAAUGAAAAUGGGUUGGGAAUGUGAAUGGGUUGAAAUGGGAAUGAGAUUCCAAUGUUUAUUUGGCAAAAAUAAAUGGGAAUGAGAAUGUGCUGGAAUGUCGUUGAUGUGUUAACUUGGCAAAAUAAAUGGGAAUGAGGAAUGAAAAUGAGAAUCAAUUUACCAAAAUACCCAUAGUAUUAAAUAAUGUAAUUUUCAUUAACUAGAUACAUGUAUAAAUAUUAAUUAUAAAAAUGAUAUUAAUUAAAAAAAUUAAAUUAAUAAUAAUAAUAAAUGUUAAUAAUGAUAAUAUUAAUAAAAAUAAUAAUAACAAUAAUUAAUAAUAACUAAAAUAAUAAAAUUUAACUGUAAUAAUAAUAAUGACAUUUAAAAUAAUAAAAUUAAUUGUGAUUUGAACGAGGGAAAUUCGAGAAAUAUGAAAAAAUUAAAGGGAUAUAAAAGUCAGAUCAGGGAAUGGGAAUCCCCAUUCCCAACCCUCCAUGGAAUGAGAUUCCCAUCCCUUAUUCCCAAAUUGUGUGGGACUUACACAUUUUAUUUCCAUUCGCAAAUUACAUUCUAUCAAGUAAAUAUAGGUUUCAUUCUCAUUCCUUCAUUCUCAUUCUCUAAACCAUCAGGUAAACACACCAUAAAAUCAUUAAGUAUAUACAUAUGACAAGAAUCAAGAUCAUUGUGUCAUACAUGUAUGAAAAUAAUAUUUUGCAAUACCCAAAGUGCUUGUCUGCCCAAUAUUUUAUGUACUCUUUUAAGCAUUUUCAUAUAUAUAAAUAUAAGUAUUAAAGAGGACAAGCAGUUAAGUGAUUAAAACUCAAUUGAAACAUUCAACCUAUCAUGCAAUCAAAUAAAUCAUUAGGUCAUUGCUAAUUUUAAUUUUUAUUCAAUAAUCUUAGAGAUUCCAACGUUUCAGUUUCAACUUAAUUCCUAAUUUCAUGUGUUAUUUAUUUAUUAGAUAAUGAAUUUCAUAACUAAUAAAUUUCUUUAACUAUUAUCUAAUGGAUGAAUGCUACAUCAAUUAAGACUUAAAUUGAGACGUAAAUGUUAGAAUGCCUAACUCAAAGAUUAAUGCUACUUGUGCACUUGGUUAAAAACAAAAGAUUGUUACUUGUACACGACGGCCACAUAAAUAAAUUGAGAAACCUUCCCAGUUUCAUCAGAGGAAAUUUACAUAUUGACCUUAAUUAAAUACUGAACAAUAUUACACUUUAAUUAUGAUGGUCUCAGUCACUAAAGUCUCUGCAAGUUGAAUUCAUCAAUGAAAAUGGUUGUUUUACAGGCGGCUCAAUCCCAAGAAAAUCGUGAAGGAAGUUAUGAUUCGAGAUGAUGAUUAUUAUUUUUCUUUUACCCUUGGUAAAUGGAUGAGAUUCAAAUUGAGAAACGUGAAGGUCGGUUGCUAGAACUUCAAACAAAAAAAAAAUUAUUGUUAAUAGGUGCAUCAGCUGAGAAUAGUUACAAAACUUUUAAAUUAGCUUUUAAAUAUGAGUUAACUCUAUAACAGACAUAAAACAAUGAAGAGAAAAUCGGAAACACAAACCAAUAGAGUAAUGACAUGAGUAUAUAUUAUGAUCAAUUAAUUUGUCUUUUAAUUAUUUUUCAAAAACAUUAAUAAGUAAUUAAGUUUUGCUUGACCAAGUGGUUUUAAAGAGUUUGAGUUCAUUAAUUUGACUUGGUCCACUUACCUACCUUUCUGGAGGGCCAAAAAAAAAAAAAAAGGCGAGGUUUGUACUUUAGUUAAUUAUUUUUUUUUUCCACGUUGAUGCGUGUAUCCUUGUGGAGGUAAUAAUUAAUAACAAGUCAUAACUAGUCAUGAUCCAAUUGGAAGGGAAAACUAAUUUCCAAGAAUAUGCAAUGAUCAAAUCAAAUAGACCAAAAUCUCUAGACGACCUGGUAUUAUAUUUUUUAAUAAAAUCGUUAACUGAAACUUGAUGAUCAAGUCAAAUAUUAUCAAAACGGGUUGACUGACAUAGGUCCAUUCUUCACUUAACUGAUUAUCUUUGAAGACUUAAUUUGCUAUACAAAGGAUUUGUUGCAAUUGUACAUGUAUCAACUUGUUUUCUUGCCUUAUUGUUUUCUAUUAAUUUUUGUGAAGGCUAACAGAGCAGAUCAUAACAGCAACGGCAGUGGGAAGUCUCUUAGCAGGGGCUAUUCUAGGUGUUGCGUUUCAAGAGAUGACGGUGGCGAUUAAAGAAUCAAAGUCAAGGUGCAGCAACUUCAGAGACGCCCUAAAUAGCCUCGAAAACACCAUCAACCUGUUAAGUCCUUUGAUCAAAGAAAUGGAUAGGUUAAAUUGAGAGCUGGAGGACUCUAAUAAAAGAGAAGAGAUCAGUCGUUUGUUUCUUCAACAGCUGAAGAAAGGGGAAGCUCUGGUUUCAAAGUGCUCAAGCAUCCGUCGCUGGAACUUGUACAAGAAGAGGAAAUACGAAAAAAGGCUUCGGAAUAUGGAUUCUUCUCUUCGUGACCUUUCCGCAGUGCUCCAGGUUGGACAAGCGCUUGAUACCCAGCGCCUUCAACGUAUAAUACAAGAUAUGUACCACUAAUUAAUUAAGGGCGCCGGGCACGAUUACUUUUGUUAUGCCCAGCCGAUGGGUUGCCGCAGCCUAGCUGUUGGGGCCUGUGAG